GCGAGACUAAGCCUAUGAAGGGAGAAUCCAAGGCUUGUGCCACAUCCUACGAGUCAUUGGUAGAUUUUGCACGAAAGAUCUUGGGAUUGAAUACCGAUAUUGAAGUUUUAUCAACGCAUCGCCUCGUAAAAUCUAAUGCUGCUAGAUUACAGAACUAUACAAUCACAGAAGCUCCUAAACGAAUUUCAACUCUAAAGAUGGUUGGCUGUCACAGCAUGCCAUAUCCUUUCAUAGUUUUCGGUUGCCACUAUCAGCCGGGUGAUAAUCAUUUAUACAGGACUGUUCUAUCUGGAGAGAAUGGUGAUAGGGUUGAAGCUACUGCAAGAUGUCACAUGGAUACCUCCCAAUGGAGCCAUGAUCACGUUUCCUUCCGAGUGCUUGGUAUCGAACCGGGCACUGCCCCUGUUUGCCAUUUCUUCCCGGCAGAGGACUUUGUAUUGGUUCCAUCUACUUCUUCAAUCUAGUAAUAUCCAAGAGCUCAAGUGCUUUCAGCAUUUUAGUUGUUUAGCUUAAGUCGCCUUGUCUGAAUGUGUAAUACUAGAAAUCAAUAAAUUCGUGUGCCUCAUGUUUGAUUAUCUGUAUUCGAAUAAAACUCCGUGGAGUAGUAGCGCUACUUUUGACAAUCAAAGUUUUAUAUACUUCAAUUUCUUAGAGCAUCUCGAACACGUAUGUUACUAGAUUGCAGCCUACAAUUUUUUUCCCCUAUUUUCUGCUAAUGUAUCCCCUAAUGUAGAAUUUUUUUUUCUUGGAGCGGAGGUUUGUUAGGAGAGUAUCAAUUCAAACAAUUUACUUAGAAGACAAUUUUCAGGAGCCUGGAUUAGAAACUAUUUUUAAUUGGUGAACAAGUGCUUGUCUCUUCCUAAUUAGUCACUAAUUAGUUUAAGCAAGUCCUGGGAGGAUGUUGAAACAAUUGAUAAUUCUUCAUUAUAAUCUAUCAGUCACAAAAAGACAAUGAUUAAGAAUAGACAAAUACUAAAAAUGACGAACAUUGUGGAGGAUACAAAAAUGAAUGACACUUUUAGUAGGACAAAAGAAGUAAAAAUUAAUUUUGUGAUCGGCAUAGCUCUUAUUUUGAGUUAAAUUAUAUUGAUUCCACCAAUAAUGUAUCCUCUUAAAAAGUAAACAUUUUAUUCUCACUAUGGUAAAAUGGCAAACAUCCGUGCAUACAUUGAUUGAUAUGUAGACAAUUUUUGGACUAAUACAUAGCAGAGUUUUGAAAUUCAAGCUGACACAUCGACUCAAUAGAAUUUAGGGUCAGGAGUCAAGAGGUUAAAGUGAGUAAUGUGAGUAUGAAUCCUUAGUAUGUGAGUAAUGAAUCAUUAGUAUCAUGUCCUUUCACGUGUGUAGUUAUGUGAGUAAUGAAUCCUUAGAAUCACCGGUUAUAAUGAAUCCUUAUGCACAUUUAAUUGACUUCAUAUUUCGUACCCACAGAUAAUCAAAGAUAUAACUGGGUGAUUCACGAGUUGAUUUUCAAGUACAUGUUUCGUGAGACUAUGAGCCGGUUUAGAUUGUAAUUUUUGGGAAGUUUUACAGAAAAAUAUAAAUCGUAUCUACAAAAAAAAAAUUAAUCAAAGAUAUAACUGGUGAUUCAUGAGUGGAUAAAAGAAUUGAGUGUUUCCUAAUUGAUAAAGGACAGAGUUUUUCUUAUGUAGUAGCUUGACUUCUUGAUCGCAUAAUUGUGGCUGUCCAUCUCUUUGAUUUGGAUUCCGAUCUUAUUCAAAUACUUUUGGAGGGUAUCCUAUAAUUAGAGUUAGAGGUGGAAUUGUCCCAAGUCCCAAUGAGCUACCCAUGUCCAAAAGAACUUUGGGCGGGAUGGGUAUUGUAAUUUGAUAUUGGGUUUAAAAUGGGAUGCAUCCCAAUUAUACCAUUAUUUGAUGGAAAAUGUUGGGAAAUACUUGGGUACCCAUUGGGCCUAAAUAUCUUCCAAAAAAUUUCAUUUAUCCAAAAAUUCAUCUUUGAUUUUUUUUUUGGCAAAAAUCUGAUUUUUUUUCACUUCCAUUUUCUUUCUUUUCCUUUCUUCACUUUCCUACAAAAGAAAACCAGUUAAAAAAUGAUUUCAUUUAAACAACUUUAAAAAAAUAAAGAUAACAAUAACAAUAAAAUGAAUUGGUAAAAUUUUGGUGUCUACAAGAAUUAAUGCUUUACUAACAACUGUUAGCAUCCUUUAUGUUGAUUUUAUGCUAAUUGUUGAGCUAUCUAUAUAGAUUUCUAUAUGCAACCUUGUUAUCAAUUUUUAAUCAGUUUCUUCGUUUCUGUGCUAGCUUUAUUCAGCAUUUAAUGUGAAUUUCUUUUGUAUCAAAAUUUGGAAAUUUUAAGAAUGUCAGUAAGAAUGAAUUUGGUGUUAAAAAAUCUUGUUUCUAGUCCUUGUGUCAGACAACAUUAUGGGUAAGGUUGGAAUAUGGCUGUAUAUCUAUCUUUUUCUUUAUUUGUUAAUCCAAUUUUUGGUUUAAUCCAGGGAGAAGAUAUGUUCAUUCUUACCAAAAUGUUAUGUCUUUUAAAAGUAACUGUUGAUCGUUUUAGAGUGUAAAUGAAUUCAGGAAAAUAUAAAUUCACAAUAAGAUCAAAAGAAAUUUAAUAAAUAAAAAUAUUAAAGUUAUAUAAAAAAUAAAAAAGAAUUAAAGGGAAAAAAAUAUAGAAAAUAGAUUUGGGUAUUGGGCGGGAUCAAUCUAAACCUAUCUCAAUGUGAUCCCGCCCAAGUUAGUUCCAAAACACAUAUGGGCAAGGUUAGGUCCAUACCCAUAUGAUUCGGUUCCAUUUCGAAUCCAAGCAAAUUCCGCCCAUCCCGCCCAUUUUGCCACCUCUAAUUUAGAGUGUCAAUCACAAACUUAAUUAUGUUGAUUCACCCAAACUCACGCUUCAAUAACUCGUUCAAACCCACCCACUAAUUUUAAAUAAGUCUAAAUGGGCAUGAAAUUAAACUCAUUUAAUUAGUAGGCAGUGGAUUAACUCGAAUCACUUAUUUAUACCCAUUUAAAAUAAUUAUAUAUUUAAACUCAAGUAUUAAACAAAUAAAUUUGAAUUUAUUAUCAAUCUAAUAAUAAUAAAAUUAUUAUUUUUUAUCAGACAAUAUGUAAAAAAAUAAAAAAUUAAAUUAUAACCAUUUAAAUUCGUUUAAAUAACCUAUUUUGAUACCUCCACAGACCACUGUCUGCUCAUUGGACAUUCCACCACCACUUGUUCAGCUGUUCCUUUUGUCCAGGCGGUCGCCAGUGUCUAUCAUUUUCGAAUACCAGGUAAGGCUCUGACAUUAGGGUCCACCUGCCAUAGUGCCAUCCCAUUGAUUAACCAAGUUACAGCGCUGUCAUAUUUGUCAAGCCAUCCUUCAUUAUUGGAUCUUUUAUUCUAUAUAUGGGACUGUCCUUACUGUUCCCAUGAAAGACUGGUCCAGAAAUGUAUGGCAGCUGUGAAAUACGCUGGCUCUCUGAAUCUUGUCCCAUGAAGAUAUGCAGCUGAAAAUCCAACGCAUUGGUUUCACGAGUUUUCCUAUCCACCAUGCCUGCCAAUUAUCUAUCACCAUAAUAGAGUGUUUUUAAAGUAUACGGACCGACCGAUUCUAAACAUUGAACGAGGAUUUGGUGGGUAUUCGGUCUGAGUUAAUCAAUUGAGUUGAACAGACAUUGAUCAGACCUGCUCAAAAAUUGGGUUUGAAUAAAGAAAAUUGAGUUUUUAACUACAUAUUUUGUGAGACUAUGAGCGGGUUUAGAUUGUAAUUAUUGGGAAGUUUUAUAGAAAAAAUAUAAUCGUUUGGUUGUUAACGAGUGGAUAAAAGAAUUGAGUGUUACCUAAUUGAUGAAGGAUAGAGUUUUUCUUAUGUAGUGACUGCACCUCUUGAUCACAUGAUUUUGGUGAUUAUCGAUCUCUUCGAUUUGGAUUCCAAUCUUAUUCAAAUAUUUUUUAUUCUUUCAGAUUAUGUCUUUCUUGUGCAUUUCAAUCUUUGUAAUUUAACAAUUGUUUCUUAGAUUGGAUUUUGAUUCUGUUAGACUAUGUCUUUCUUGUGCAUUUCAAUCUUUGCAAUUUAAUAAUUGUUUCUUAGAUUGGAUUUACAUGUUUAGUUCUGGAGAGGCCCCCUUGAUCUGGAUUCGAGACCUGGCCAGUUGUAUUUCUACUCAAUUACAGAUAUUUAGUAAUUUCAUAUUUUAUUACACCAUUGUUUCUAAGAUUGGAUUUUGAUUCUUUUAGAUUAUGUCUUUCUUUUGCAUUUCAAUCUUUGGAAUUUAAUAAUUGUUUCUUAGAUUGGAUUUACAAGUUUAGUUCUGGAGAGGCCCCCUGAUCUCGAUUCGAGGCCUGACAAAUUGUAUUUGUACUCGAUUUCGGGUAUGUAGUAAUUUCAUAUUUUAUUACAUCAUUGUUUCUUAGAUUGGAUUUUGAUUCUUUUAGAUUAUGUCUUUCUUGUGCAUUUCAAUCUUUGCAAUUUAAUAAUUGUUUCUUAGAUUGGAUUUACAUGUUUAGUUCUGAAGAGGCCCCCUGAUCUCGAUUCGAGGUCUGACAAGUUGUAUUUCUACUCGAUUUCGGGUAUUUAGUAAUUUCAUAUUUUAUUACACCAUUUUUCAACUCAAUCAAAUCAUAUUUUAACUUUUGUCACACUAUUUUCCAACUCAGUUACAUUAAAAGGCAAACUUGUGAGAAAUAAAACUUGUGAGACCCCAUCAACCCCUCUCCUAUUAAUAUUACACAUGUAGAUUAUAUUUUAAAAGGAAAAUUGCCAAAUUGGUCCCUUAAAGUUUCGGAAAAAAAGCUUUUUUUACUCCAUCAAAAUUAGAAUUAGUCAAAAUAGUCCAUCAAAUAUAACAAAAGAAAAGUAUCCUUUUAGUCCGCGAGCUCAUUUUUUGAUCGGUCUUCUAGCCAAAAAGUGUGUGCCUUUCUUAGGUACCCACAAUUUAAAUAGCAAAAUGGGAAAACAAUUUAUUUUCUUCCAAAAAAAGCACAUGACAAUCAUAUGAUCACCUCCUGAAUAGGAAAUCGUAAUUAUUAUCCAUCAAAUUCAUAAUCGAAGAAAGAGUAAACUACAGGUGACCUUUACACUUUCUUGUUUGAUUAUGGAUCUGGUGGAUAUGAAUUAAGGUUCCUUUGCUAGAGGUGUGGUUAUGUGAUUGUGAUGUAUUUUUUAUUUAAGAGAAACAAAUUGCGUUUCAAUUUUGCCGUUGAAAUUGUGGGAACCAGAGAGAAGGUGCACUUUUAGGCUUAAAAAUUGAUUGAAAGUGAGUUUUGGGACUAAAGGAGCACAUUUUUUAUAAUUAUUUUGAUGCUUAUAUCAAAACCAUACAAAUUUACACCGAAUGUAUUAAAAAUUAUACAAACUGAUUUGAACUAGAUAGAAUUUAACUUGCUGUAUAAGACAAUUUAUUAUGCAUAAUAAUGUUUCUAGAUGUUAUUCUUACAUUUCUUCUGAGCUUUGAUUUGCAUCCUAUGUGACGGAUACAUCGAAUUCGUACCGACAGAUAAUCAAUAAUGCAACUGGGUGAUUCAUGAGUUGACAAAGAAUUCAUUGCUCUUAAGUGGUAGUUGCACCUCUUGAUCACAUGAUUCUAGUUGUCGAUCUCUUCGAUUUGGACCCCAAUAUUUUUCCAAUAGUUUUGACUAUUUCAGAUUAUGUCUUUCUUGUGCCUUUCAAUUUUUACAAUUUAAUAAUUGUUUCUUAGAUUAAUAACUGUCUUUUUUAUGCCAUUGUGCUGAAGAAAGGUACCAAUAAUGACAGACUUAAGAGUAAAUCAUAAUUGAGGACAAAAUUUGAGAGUUUUUAUAUAAAAAGUAUAUUAAAUGUUCUUAAAAUGUGAUGUAUGUAAAGUAAAAAUGUAAUUAGAAUAUAUAAUAAAAGAAUUCUCACGAAAAUUCACAAAAGUUUUUGGCAAAAAAUGCAAUCCAAAGAUUUGAUGAGCUAGCGUUGGAUGCGUCGACACUGGACCUCUAUGAUUGUCCGUCUACUUACUUUUAUAAUUAAGGUUUUCUGCUAAAAAUAAAAUAAUGUCUUAGGUGCAACGUUGUUUUCUUGAGAUUGACUCCGCAGCAACCACGUUUUCUUCUGAGCUCUAACUUGGCUCGCAUGUGGUGGGUACUGUUUCCGUAUAAAACAAUUUGUUAUGUGCAAUAAUGGUUUCUGGAUAUAGAUUCUUACAUUUCUUCUGAGUUUUGAUUUGCCUCUUACAUGGUGGAUACACCCAAUUGACCUCAUAGUUCAUACCUGCAGAAAAUAAUCAAAGAUAACUGGUGAUUCACGUGUGGAUAAAGAUUUGAGUGUGUUUUCUAAUUAAUAAAGAAUGAAGUGUUUCUUAAGUAAUAGCGGCACUCUUGAUCACAUGAUUCUGCUUGUUGAUCACUUUGAUUUGGAUUAUGAUCUUAUUCAAAUACUUUUGAUUCUUUGAGAUUACGUCUUUCUUGUGCAUUUCAAUCUUUGCAAUUUAAUAAUUUUUUUAAAAUGAGAUUUACAUGUUUAGUUCUAGAGAGGCCCCUGAUUUGUAUUCGGGGCUCUGUUUUGAAACUCGGACCGGACCGGCCGGUCGAACCGGGAACCGGCCAGGUAGCCGGUCCGAGUCAUAUUAAAAAAUCGAAAUUUAAAAGUCGGUCAAAAAUCGGGUUUGACCGGGUAAAAAUCGGUUUUUUCCGGUUCAACAGUAAAUUUUGUAAAAACAAUUUUAAACUUUUUAAUAUUAUGUUUUGACCCCUAAAUUGUUAAAACUUAUUGAUAUACCUCAAAUAUUUGAUACUUUAUAAAUAUUGUCCUAAAAUUUGAUGUUAUUUUUCAAUUAAAUUCAUAAUUUUAAUUCUAAACUUGUUAAUAUUUAUUAAAUAAUAUAAAUUGCUACUUGAUUGUUCUAAUUUCUUUGUAUUUUCUUGUUAAAUAUAUUUGAAACAUCAAAUAUAUAUGAAUAUACCUUUAUUAAUAUCAAUAUAUUAUUAGAUAUUAUAUAUAUAAUAUUUUAAUUUUUAAAUAAUUUUUAUUUAUGACGUAUCCGGUUCGCCCCUAUCGACCCCCGGUCGAACCCAUUGACCCCUGACCCCUGACUCGGCCGAGUCGCUAUCCGGUCCGGUUCUGAAAACAUAGAUUUGGGGUUGUACUUUACUCGAUUUCGGGAUAAGUUAGUAAUUUCACAUUUUAUUGCACUAUAUUUCAAAUCAAUUACAAUAUAUUUAAACUUUUGUUAUACCAUUUUCCAACCCAGUUACAUCGAAGAGCAAACUUGUGGAAAAUAAAACUUAUAAAGCCCCUGAUCCCAUUAAUAUUACACAUGCAGAUACUAUUAUAAUAAAGGAAAAAUUGUCAAAUUGAUCCCUUCCAUUUUCAAUAACUUUUUUAGUUCCUCACAAUUAGAAUUAGCUAAAAUAGUCCCUUAAAUAUAUAUAAAAAAUACAUCCUUUUGGUCACAGAGCUGAUUUUUUAUUAGUUUUUUGGCCAAAAAGUGCACGCCUCUUAGGUGCCCACAAUUUUGAUGGCAAAAUGGGAACACAAUUUAUUUUCUUCCAAAAAAAAAAAAAAACAAAGCACAAGACAAUCAUAUGACCACCUCUUGAAUAGAGAAUCCUAAUUUUUAUCCACCAACCUCAUAAUCAAACAUGAAAGAGUAACCUGCAAGUGACCUUUAUGCUUUCUUGUUCGACUAUGGGUUUGGUGGAUAAGAAUUAGGAUUCCUAGAGAAGUGAUCAUGAUUGUCAUCAGUUUUUUUUUUCUUUUUUUCAAGUGAAAUGAAUGUUCCCAUUUUGCCAUUGAAAUUGUGGGAACCUAAGACACAGUGCGCUUUUUGACAUGAAAACUAAUCAAAAGUGAGUUCUGAGACCAAAUGGGCGCAUUUUUAUUUAAUAUCUAAGAGACUAUUUUGAUUGAUUUUGAAUGUGAGUGACUGAAACUGUGUUUAUUAAAAAUAUGAGGGACUAUUUUGACAAACUUCCGUAUAAUAAAGAUUGACCACUUUUUCUAGGAGUUUGGACAUUAUCCAUUUGGAAGUAUUACUAUUUUGAUCCUUUAUUGUUAUAGUUUUACUCAAUUUACACUGUUUAGCUCGUUUCCAUAAGGAAUAUUUUUUCUGGGAUCUGCAAGGAAAAUCAAGGGAGCUAACGGAGGACUUGCAUGUGUGAACCACCAUGCACGUUGCAUAACAAAUUUUGCUCUUUUAUUAUUGGGCAAAAAAAAAAAAAUGGCGACCACUAAACUAUUUCUGGCAUCUACUUGUAGCUACCAAACUAUUUCUCGUCUCAAUUUAACCACUCAACUAAUUAAUCAACAUACCCUUGGUUAUUUCAUGGCAUUUUGCUCUUAGUUUACAAAUAAACCAAACACAAAUCAAGUGUCAAAAUUUAAGGGUAAUCAUAUCCACUAAAUUUCUCAAUACAAAUCUAAAAAGUCCAACAACCACUAAACUAUUCCCCUCGUACUCUUUUGACCAUUCAAAUAUAAUCACUAAAUUCUUAAAUCAGUAUACUAGCAGUCAUUCCGUCAAAUAUUUCUGUUAAUGCUAAAGGAAUGAGUUCUAUGUUCAUUUCACAUACCCAAAACAGGACAAUUUUGUAAGGUCAACUUUUUAGAUUGUUUAAAUUUUUUCCCAUUAAUAUUACACAUGCAAAUAAUAUUACAAUAAAGGAAAAUUUGUCAAAUUGGUUCCUUCCAUUUUUGAUAAUUUUUUAGCCCCUCGCAAUUAGAAUUAGCUAAAAUAGUCCCUUAAAUAUAAAAAAAAAAAUGCAUCCUUUUGGUCACAGAGCUCCUUUUGGUAAAUUCCUUCUUAUACCUUGACAUUAAAUUUUAUUUAAUAUGAACGACACAUAUUAUCUAGACGUCCAAAUAAAGGAGAUCAUUGUAACCUUUCAAAAACUUGAAUGGAGCAACAUGAAAUUGUUAUAAACCUCAAAGGUGUUUUACAUAAAUAUCCCCAUACAUUGGAACACAUUUACAAGCAGAUUUUAUCAUGCUAGUACCUUUAUAGUCAAUGAAAGCAAUACACUCAGUGCCACAUUGUUCCCUCUCCCUCUCUCUCGUUCUUCUCACAAGUUGUCUAGCGUGCUGCUUUGCUUCUCAGGACACGUUGAAGCUUUUGUUCUUUGCUAGCUAGGUAAUUAUUAUAUACCUGGCUCUCAAUUUCUGUGGUCCACUUCAUUAAUUGAUUUUUUUUUGUAAAAAUUUUAGGGUAUCAAUUUCAGACGUUUGUUUUUCUUCGUUAUUGGAAAAAUCCAGCAGCUGUUUGCAUGCUAAUAUAUGGGAUUUCUCUUUUGCUUAGAUCUGGAACACUUGCUGUCUAGCAGGAAAGAAUUAGUACCUGCAUAUUAUGUGACCCUGAAAAAAAAAAAACCAUCUUUCUUUCUGUCCUUCAUUAGUUUGGCACUAAAACUUGAGUAAGGUUAACAGGAUUGUGCGGUACAACCAACAAUAAUGGAGGGGAGAAGAUGGAUACAGAGGGAAAGGUGGAGACAGAGAAGAUGAACAAGGCAAUUGCGAUGGCAUAUGAUGUCCAAUCUAAAAUAGUAGAGGAUCUAGUUGGCGAUCACUUUCAUGUUGGCUUCUAUGACUCUAGCUCCGUUGUCCCUGGUUCUGAUGUCCAUUCUGCUCAGACUCGCAUGAUCGAGGCGGCCCUCCGUUUUGCCUCUGUAUCAGGUAUAUUCAACGCACCACUCUUAAGUUAUGGAUUGGCAGUUUAUCUCGAGUUUUCUUCUCUAAGUACAAAUGCUGUAGUUAUGAAACAAAACUGUAUUUUGCUGCAGAGCUAAGCUUUUUACUUGGGUGCAGAUUAAUUCCCAUUAAUUUCGAUUGUGACUUCGUUGAGUCAUCUACCCCGGCUAUCAAUUUGUAUAGUCUCCGACCCGUUUUGGACGUGAAUCUAAUUAGUAUAGAUAGUUUAAUAAAGGGCAAAUUCCACUUUACCCCCGGGAUUUAGCAUUUUUUACAUGACCCCCCUUAUAGUUUCAAAAACUAUACAUAACCCCCUCAUGAUUUGGAUUAAAGUGUCAAAGUGAUGGGAAUGAUCAUUCGCAACGGAGUCACCUAAAAUGUCAAAAAUACCCUUAUGUAAAGUUGAAAAUUAUUUAGGAUAAAUUCCACUUUACCCUCCUGUAGUUUAGCAUUUUUUUACAUAACCCCCCUAUGAUUUCAAAAGUUAUACAUAACCUCCCUAUCAUGAACUUUGAACUAAAUAAAUUGAUAAAACAUUUCUAAUAGAAAAGGCACUUAUGUAACCUUGCACCCAAAUGAUAAAAUUGAACACUAAAUAAGUGCUCUUGUCAGAAUCUCUACUACAUGAAAUACUUCGUCGUAAUCUUAAGGAUUAAUUUUAUAAAUACUGUCAGUGUAUAUACUAUUACCAUUAAAUAUAUAAUACAUGUGCAAAAUUUGAAUUUGACAGUAUAUAUACUUACAAUGUAUAUAAAUUUAUUCUAAUCUUAAACAGCCACCUAAUAUUAAAGAAUUAUCUAAGAUGGAAUAGCAUUUCUCUCAUGGUUGUUAAAAUCGCGAUCCGGAUCGUAGGAUCGUACGAUCCUAUGAUCCGGAUCGGCAAAAUCGAUCCGGAUCACACUCAGAAUCGCAAAUUCCUUGAAUCUAUAUAGGAUCGAGGUAGGAUCGGUAGGAUCGCAUAGAAUCGUACGAUCCUACGAUCCUACUUCGAUCCUACAAUUUUUUGCUAAUUUGUGGAAUACAAGGUUCAUUUUGCAAGUAAAAAUCGACAUUUGGGGUAGGCUUGUAAGUUCACACUCAAUUGCAGGCCUUAGUUGCAAUGUUUUAACAAAUUUUGCCUCAAAGUCAAAAGAUUCCGUCAAAAAGCUUCGGGCCUUCUUCAUCUCCCCUCAAGCAGAGCUUUGACGUUUCUCUUCUCCUCUCCGCUGCCCAAAUCAAAUCCCUAAUUUUAACCAUCAAACCACCUCAAGCUUCGGCUACAGCUCUUACCAAGAACCCACAAGACAAAUCGCUGCGGCUUCUACCAGGAACCCACAAGCUACAGUCGACAGCUAUUGCAGAAAAAGUUCAUCUUCUGCAUUGGGUGAAAAGCUGAGCAGCAAAAUCAUCAUCUUCCUCUCUCAUACUCAUACUACUUUGUAAGCGUUUAAACAUGAAUGCAAUAGUGACUAAUUAAUGGCGUGUGAAAUUAGGAUCGAAAUGUACAAAUUUUACCUUUUCUCAAGCUUUUUUCGUUUACAUUGUAGGAAAUUAUAUGAUACCAGGAAUUCUAUUCUGUUGGAUGGUGCUCCUAUUUUUUUUCUCAAUAAUUGAAAUUUGUAUUUGGCAACUUUAAUUAGUGAAACCACAGGAAGUUUUAAAUACUUGAAUUAAAUGAUGAAAUGAAAUCUAAUGCCAGAACUUUUUCUGCCCAUUUAAUAUUUGAGCUUUAUAUAUAUAUAUAUAUAUAUAUAUAUAUAUAUAUAUUAAGUUUUUGUAAUGAAUGUUCAAUAUUUGAUCGUUAACACAUUCAAUUCACACCUAUUAUGUAUAUGCACUUCUAACACGCAUAACCUUUUUUUAUAUUCAUAUAUAUACCUUUUUUGAUUAAUAUUACUUUUCUAAAAAUUUCAUUCUUCAACUACGUACAUAUUUUUCAUUAAUUCGAAAUUGUAAACAUAUUAUUGAUCUUUUGUGAUUGGCAAUUGGCAAUCAAAACAUUCUUGAAAUGCUGUCGGCUGUAACUUCUUCAUCUUUUUAUUACUUGUCAGAUAGUAAGUAAAAAAUGCUAUAUAUUGAUGAGUAACUUAUUUAUUUGAUAUCUUUUAGGAUGUACAAAAUGGUAUAUGAAUUUCAAUUUCAUUAAUUUAGUAAAUUUAGGAGCUUUUGGUGGGAUCUACGAUCCUACGAUCCGAUUUUGUGAAACUAAAAUCGAUCCUACGUGGAAUCCUGAUUUUACAAACCUUGAUUUCUCUGCCAAUUGCGAUAGUCAUGCAUCUUGUUCUUAACAACACAAAAUAUUGCUUACCUUCGAAAAAUCAACACAUAAUUUUAUUGGUAUCACUCAAAAUUGGGUCAAUUUCAAUCAUAUUUCCUGAGAUUUGACCUAAUUAAAAAGUAUGCCUUGUGAUUUGAUCAGAUUACAGUCGAAUCCCCCAGUAGCAAAACAUUUGUCAAAUACCUGGCCCUCACUUUAAAUACAAUAUUGGCAAUUAAACGCAGCCCUCACUUUAAUUCUAUUAUUUCCUUUCAAGUCAAAUACUUCUUCACACAUAAGAAAGAAAAUAAAACUUUUAGUUCAUGACCAAACAACACCAUUUCAACUUUUUUUUAUCAAUCAGUAAUAUCUAUACUAUCUUACCCUAUAGGGGAGAAAUCCAACUGCGUUGUAUAAAGGGCUAGAGAGCAAGCAAGUUCAUCUAAACCAAAGAGGUGCUCUGACACACUUUUUGAAAUUUUUUUAACUAUAAGUUCUGGAUGUAGGGUUUAAACUUCCGACGUACAAUCUAAAGAGGAAUUUUAAAUCCCUUAGUUUGAAUUGAAGUACCAAAUUCUACACCCAAUAGUACAUGCACAUGUAAAUGGGGAUAAUCAAUUGGGGAAGGAUAAAAACAGAAGCAACAUUUUGUUUUUCUUUUUUCUGUUGGUCUUUCCUCAUUUUAGUGGUUUUAGUUUUUCUUUGACUACAUUUGCAAUGGAUUUAGGUAUUUGGCUAUUCAAAAGGUUAGAUUACAAAUUGGUCAAAGUACAGGAUUAGUUCUAUAAUUUGGACAAGCCUGAUGCAAUGUGAAUAUAAAUUAAGCAUAGAAUUUGUUUUUUGGGGCAAUCAUAUGCAAUUUCUGUAAUUGAUACUCUGGGUUUAGGUCAUGCACACAUUGAAAAAAGAAAUGGUUUGAUUGCUUUUCAAUGUGUCUAUUUUCUUUCCUAGUGAAACAUCCUCCUCAUAAUUUCUAGUUUUUUCUCCUCUCCAACUUGGUCGUUUUUUGUUUCAUUUUUUUGUUUAGUAGUCAACCAACGGGCAUUAUUUAUCAUGAAAUAAUAUGCAGAGGAUCCAUCGAAGAAACCAAGAAACAUACUUGAUGUUGGAUGCGGUAUUGGUGGCAGCACCAGGUACCUAGCAAGUAAAUAUGGUUCUCAAUGUAAAGGCAUCACCCUUAGCCCUGUUGAGGCUGAAAGAGCUCGUGUUCUAACUGCUGCCCAAGGAUUAGAAAGCCAGGUUUGUAUGAACUCUCCGUCUUACAAUUUUGAACGAUUUGCAAGAAGUUAUCAAUUGUUAAAUCACCCUUGCCGCUCACUCUUUUUAUGCAAGUGCACAAUAAGUAAAAAUUUUCAUUCCUCCAUUUCUUAAGGAAUGAUGACAGAGUGCAUACUACUACUAUGGUUUUGAAAAAAUAAUAAAUUGUGUUCAUGAAAGCAAACCAGAUACUCAAAAGUUUCAAGAAUCCUAAUUUGUGAUAGUUUUGUUUUGAUUAUCCAUCCUCACCUUUACUUUUUAUACACUAAAAAUGCAAAAUUUUUGAAUCCUGAAUUUUAGGGGAUAAAAUUAUCUCAUAAUAGAAUUGAAUUCAAAUAUGUAUUAUCAAUAAGCUUAGGUAAUGAUGUUAACUCUUGAAUUUGGAUACAUACGUAUGUGUGUACAUAUACAUAUACAUACAUAUAUAUGUGCGUGUGUGUAUGUGUAUGUGUAUAUAUACAUACAUAUAUAUAUAUAUACAUGUACAUAUACAUAUACAUACAUACACACACACAACAUGCACACACAUGCACAUAUACAUGCAUAUAUAUAUAUAUAUAUAUAUAUAUAUAUAUAUAUAUAUAUAUAUAUAUACACAUAUAUGUGUGUAUGUAUAUAGAUGUAUGUAUGUAGAAUUAAUCUUCUAUGCAAUAACUAAUAAUUUAUACACUAUUAGAUUUAGAUGAAAUUCAAAUUAAGAUUAAUUAUUAUGCAUGUCAGUAUAGAGAAGAUUAACAAUAUAUUAUUGAUUAUGCCAAGUUUUAAAUUCAGAUCAAGUCACAUUUCAAAUAAACUUUGUAGAAUGACUCGGAACUUUACUCCAAAUUCCAAGUAAAAGCCACCACAAUGCUAGAAAGAGAAGUAAGAAAGAAAAAGAUGCAAAAUCAUUAUGCAGAUAUAUAGUAGUGCUGCUUUCUUUUCCUAACAGCUGCUAAAACGUACAUAGCAGGUUUCCUUUGAAGUGGAAGAUGCAUUGAAUCAGCCAUUUGAAGAUGGUUCAUUCGAUUUAAUUUGGUGCAUUGAAUGUGCAGAUCACAUAAGCGACAAAACAAAGGUUAUAUUUCUUGUCGCAGCUUCCUUUACAAUUACUAUUUCUCUUUUUUUGUUUUUUUGUUUUUAUCAAUCACGUGGCUGGUUGGUUCGAUUUGAGAAGUUGCUGCCUUCGUACACCAAUCCACAAAUUACCAAAAAUUUUGCAUUUUCCUAAAAUCAUCCGUCGAUUUCAAAUAACAGUACAUUGCCAGUGUUUUCAAGACUCAACUUAGUUCAUAGAGAUAUUCACAUUGUAAUUAAUGAUGAAUAAAAAGUGUCACUAUUUUGAAAAUUUACAAGUCAUUAUUUUGGUAUAAAUGCAUAGCCCGAUUUUAUUCAAUCACAUUAACAGAAGAAGUGGUGGUAAAGAACCCUAAUAGAGAUGGUUUUAUAAUUAAGCCCCUUAAUUAACCUUUAUUACCUAAAAGUAAAGGUAGUAUGGGAAUUUCAAACUUUUCUUUAUAUCAAUAUAGACGGUUUUCAUCCACCUUACCUAUCAGUUUAAACCAAUAAAGUCUUUUGGAUAUUUUUGAAUGAGAAGGGGGUUCAAUAACGUGCAAAUCAUAGGAAAGUUUUGUGCAUUUUACUCAAAAAGAAUAAAUUCCAGAUUGAUCCACCAUAUUAUCUAUAAAAAUUAGAAAAAAAAAAAAGAUUGAUCCAUAUUGAAUGCGGAUCCAUACGGAGGCCGUGGAAUUGAUGCAAUGACUCAUAGGUGUACCACUUGCUUUCUUGUGGAGGGAGGGAAGGGGAGGAAAGGAGGGAGGGAGAAGGGGAGUCAGGAGGGAAGGGGGAGGAAUGGUGGUGGCAGUGAAGAAAGGGAAGUGCUGGUGGCAGCGGAUGGUGAUAGGCAGUGAAUGGAAGAAGAAAUGGCUGGUAGUUUCUUCUUUUAUAUAUAUAUAUUUUUUGUUAGGUGUAUUUGAGAUCGUGUGUAUUUGUAGUGAUUUUGAGACUAUUUUUGGAGCUUGUUACUAUAGAUUCCAAAUAUAAAAACUAGUUUUCCAAAAAAACUCAUUUUAAAAACAUAGGCCAAGAUGAGACAUUACAUUAGAAAACAAAGAUGUAAUUUUCAAGGGGUAAAAUUGUAAUUAUAAUAUGUUAAAGAAGAAUCAGUUCCUCGAGCACGCUUCAUUGUAUCCAUAUAUAUGUAUUAUUUGCUUCUUGUCUUGUGAAAACCUUCAAAAGAGGACUUGCAAGGGAAAUAAUACCUACCAACUGAUGGAUUCCAAAGCACUUGUUUCUUGUGUUCUCCUCCUUCAUCUGUUGAUUGUCCUGGUAAGUUACUUUGACAAUAAAUUGUUUUUUGUGAUUUAUAUGCUGUGGACUUAAUUCUCGCUGUCUUACAACACUAUACAACCUGUACAGGGAGCCUGUGAUAUCAUACCCAAGGCCAAGGAUAGUGGUACUAAUGCAAUCAGGCUCCAGGGCAUGGAUGCUAAUAAUCCUCAUCGAAAUGAUAAGACACAUCAUGUUGCUCACGUCCAUGAAAAGAAGUCAAUGCACGAUCCUUCUCUUUCCUCAUCCCACAUGAUGCAUCAGAUGGAUCCAAGAGCAACCGUGUUUUUCGUUUUAGAUGAUCUCAAGUUAGGCAAAACAUUGAGUAUCCUUUUCCCUGACGGAGAUCCUAGUCCUUUGUCCUCUCCUUAUCUCUGGCCUAGAGAACAAGCCGAUGCUAUCCCCUUUUCAUUGGCAAAACUCCCACAGAUUCUUCAACACUUUUCAUUCCCUCAAGGAUCUCGCAAAGCCCAAGUGAUGGAACAUACACUCCGAGCUUGCGAGACUAAGCCUAUGAAGGGAGAAUCCAAGGCUUGUGCCACAUCCUACGAGUCAUUGGUAGAUUUUGCACGAAAGAUCUUGGGAUUGAAUACCGAUAUUGAAGUUUUAUCAACGCAUCGCCUCGUAAAAUCUAAUGCUGCUAGAUUACAGAACUAUACAAUCACAGAAGCUCCUAAACGAAUUUCAACUCUAAAGAUGGUUGGCUGUCACAGCAUGCCAUAUCCUUUCAUAGUUUUCGGUUGCCACUAUCAGCCGGGUGAUAAUCAUUUAUACAGGACUGUUCUAUCUGGAGAGAAUGGUGAUAGGGUUGAAGCUACUGCAAGAUGUCACAUGGAUACCUCCCAAUGGAGCCAUGAUCACGUUUCCUUCCGAGUGCUUGGUAUCGAACCGGGCACUGCCCCUGUUUGCCAUUUCUUCCCGGCAGAGGACUUUGUAUUGGUUCCAUCUACUUCUUCAAUCUAGUAAUAUCCAAGAGCUCAAGUGCUUUCAGCAUUUUAGUUGUUUAGCUUAAGUCGCCUUGUCUGAAUGUGUAAUACUAGAAAUCAAUAAAUUCGUGUGCCUCAUGUUUGAUUAUCUGUAUUCGAAUAAAACUCCGUGGAGUAGUAGCGCUACUUUUGACAAUCAAAGUUUUAUAUACUUCAAUUUCUUAGAGCAUCUCGAACACGUAUGUUACUAGAUUGCAGCCUACAAUUUUUUUUCCCCUAUUUUCUGCUAAUGUAUCCCCUAAUGUAGAAUUUUUUUUUUCUUGGAGCGGAGGUUUGUUAGGAGAGCAUCAAUUCAAACAAUUUACUUAGAAGACCAAUUUUCAGGAGCCUGGAUUAGAAUACUAUUUUUAAUUGGUGAACAAGUGCUUGUCUCUUCCUAAUUAGUCACUAAUUAGUCACUUUAAGCAAGUCCUGGGAGGAUGUUGAAACAAUUGAUAAUUCUUCAUUAUAAUCUAUCAGUCACAAAAAGACAAUGAUUAAGAAUAGACAAAUACUAAAAAUGACGAACAUUGUGGAGGAUACAAAAAUGAAUGACACUUUUAGUAGGACAAAAGAAGUAAAAAUUAAUUUUGUGAUCGGCAUAGCUCUUAUUUUGAGUUAAAUAUAUAUUGAUUCCACCAAUAAUGUAUCCUCUUAAAAAGUAAACAUUUUAUUCUCACUAUGGUAAAAUGGCAAACAUCCGUGCAUACAUUGAUUGAUAUGUAGACAAUUUUUGGACUAAUACAUAGCAGAGUUUUGAAAUUCAAGCUGACACAUCGACUCAAUAGAAUUUAGGGUCAGGAGUCAAGAGGUUAAAGUGAGUAAUGUGAGUAUGAAUCCUUAGUAUGUGAGUAAUGAAUCAUUAGUAUCAUGUCCUUUCACGUGUGUAGUUAUGUGAGUAAUGAAUCCUUAGAAUCACCGGUUAUAAUGAAUCCUUAUGCACAUUUAAUUGACUUCAUAUUUCGUACCCACAGAUAAUCAAAGAUAUAACUGGGUGAUUCACGAGUUGAUUUUCAAGUACAUGUUUCGUGAGACUAUGAGCCGGUUUAGAUUGUAAUUUUUGGGAAGUUUUACAGAAAAAUAUAAAUCGUAUCUACAAAAAAAAAAUUAAUCAAAGAUAUAACUGGUGAUUCAUGAGUGGAUAAAAGAAUUGAGUGUUUCCUAAUUGAUAAAGGACAGAGUUUUUCUUAUGUAGUAGCUUGACUUCUUGAUCGCAUAAUUGUGGCUGUCCAUCUCUUUGAUUUGGAUUCCGAUCUUAUUCAAAUACUUUUGGAGGGGUAUCCUAUAAUUAGAGUUAGAGGUGGGAAUUGUCCCAAGUCCCAAUGAGCUACCCAUGUCCAAAAGAACUUUGGGCGGGAUGGGUAUUGUAAUUUGAUAUUGGGUUUAAAAUGGGAUGCAUCCCAAUUAUACCAUUAUUUGAUGGAAAAUGUUGGGAAAUACUUGGGUACCCAUUGGGCCUAAAUAUCUUCCCAAAAAAUUUCAUUUAUCCAAAAAUUCAUCUUUGAUUUUUUUUUUGGCAAAAAUCUGAUUUUUUUUCACUUCCAUUUUCUUUCUUUUCCUUUCUUCACUUUCCUACAAAAGAAAACCAGUUAAGUAAAAAUGAUUUCAUUUAAACAACUUUAAAAAAAUAAAGAUAACAAUAACAAUAAAAUGAAUUGGUAAAAUUUUGGUGUCUACAAGAAUUAAUGCUUUACUAACAACUGUUAGCAUCCUUUAUGUUGAUUUUAUGCUAAUUGUUGAGCUAUCUAUAUAGAUUUCUAUAUGCAACCUUGUUAUCAAUUUUUAAUCAGUUUCUUCGUUUCUGUGCUAGCUUUAUUCAGCAUUUAAUGUGAAUUUCUUUUGUAUCAAAAUUUGGAAAUUUUAAGAAUGUCAGUAAGAAUGAAUUUGGUGUUAAAAAAUCUUGUUUCUAGUCCUUGUGUCAGACAACAUUAUGGGUAAGGUUGGAAUAUGGCUGUAUAUCUAUCUUUUUCUUUAUUUGUUAAUCCAAUUUUUGGUUUAAUCCAGGGAGAAGAUAUGUUCAUUCUUACCAAAAUGUUAUGUCUUUUAAAAGUAACUGUUGAUCGUUUUAGAGUGUAAAUGAAUUCAGGAAAAUAUAAAUUCACAAUAAGAUCAAAAGAAAUUUAAUAAAUAAAAAUAUUAAAGUUAUAUAAAAAAUAAAAAAGAAUUAAAGGGAAAAAAAUAUAGAAAAUAGAUUUGGGUAUUGGGCGGGAUCAAUCUAAACCUAUCUCAAUGUGAUCCCGCCCAAGUUAGUUCCAAAACACAUAUGGGCAAGGUUAGGUCCAUACCCAUAUGAUUCGGUUCCAUUUCGAAUCCAAGCAAAUUCCGCCCAUCCCGCCCAUUUUGCCACCUCUAAUUUAGAGUGUCAAUCACAAACUUAAUUAUGUUGAUUCACCCAAACUCACGCUUCAAUAACUCGUUCAAACCCACCCACUAAUUUUAAAUAAGUCUAAAUGGGCAUGAAAUUAAACUCAUUUAAUUAGUAGGCAGUGGAUUAACUCGAAUCACUUAUUUAUACCCAUUUAAAAUAAUUAUAUAUUUAAACUCAAGUAUUAAACAAAUAAAUUUGAAUUUAUUAUCAAUCUAAUAAUAAUAAAAUAUUAUUAUUUUUUAUCAGACAAUAUGUAAAAAAAUAAAAAAUUAAAUUAUAACCAUUUAAAUUCGUUUAAAUAACCUAUUUUGAUACCUCCACAGACCACUGUCUGCUCAUUGGACAUUCCACCACCACUUGUUCAGCUGUUCCUUUUGUCCAGGCGGUCGCCAGUGUCUAUCAUUUUCGAAUACCAGGUAAGGCUCUGACAUUAGGGUCCACCUGCCAUAGUGCCAUCCCAUUGAUUAACCAAGUUACAGCGCUGUCAUAUUUGUCAAGCCAUCCUUCAUUAUUGGAUCUUUUAUUCUAUAUAUGGGACUGUCCUUACUGUUCCCAUGAAAGACUGGUCCAGAAAUGUAUGGCAGCUGUGAAAUACGCUGGCUCUCUGAAUCUUGUCCCAUGAAGAUAUGCAGCUGAAAAUCCCAACGCAUUGGUUUCACGAGUUUUCCUAUCCACCAUGCCUGCCAAUUAUCUAUCACCAUAUAAUAGAGUGUUUUUAAAGUAUACGGACCGACCGAUUCUAAACAUUGAACCGAGGAUUUGGUGGGUAUUCGGUCUGAGUUAAUCAAUUGAGUUGAACAGACAUUGAUCAGACCUGCUCAAAAAUUGGGUUUGAAUAAAGAAAAUUGAGUUUUUAACUACAUAUUUUGUGAGACUAUGAGCGGGUUUAGAUUGUAAUUAUUGGGAAGUUUUAUAGAAAAAAUAUAAUCGUUUGGUUGUUAACGAGUGGAUAAAAGAAUUGAGUGUUACCUAAUUGAUGAAGGAUAGAGUUUUUCUUAUGUAGUGACUGCACCUCUUGAUCACAUGAUUUUGGUGAUUAUCGAUCUCUUCGAUUUGGAUUCCAAUCUUAUUCAAAUAUUUUUUAUUCUUUCAGAUUAUGUCUUUCUUGUGCAUUUCAAUCUUUGUAAUUUAACAAUUGUUUCUUAGAUUGGAUUUUGAUUCUGUUAGACUAUGUCUUUCUUGUGCAUUUCAAUCUUUGCAAUUUAAUAAUUGUUUCUUAGAUUGGAUUUACAUGUUUAGUUCUGGAGAGGCCCCUUGAUCUGGAUUCGAGACCUGGCCAGUUGUAUUUCUACUCAAUUACAGAUAUUUAGUAAUUUCAUAUUUUAUUACACCAUUGUUUCUAAGAUUGGAUUUUGAUUCUUUUAGAUUAUGUCUUUCUUUUGCAUUUCAAUCUUUGGAAUUUAAUAAUUGUUUCUUAGAUUGGAUUUACAAGUUUAGUUCUGGAGAGGCCCCCUGAUCUCGAUUCGAGGCCUGACAAAUUGUAUUUGUACUCGAUUUCGGGUAUGUAGUAAUUUCAUAUUUUAUUACAUCAUUGUUUCUUAGAUUGGAUUUUGAUUCUUUUAGAUUAUGUCUUUCUUGUGCAUUUCAAUCUUUGCAAUUUAAUAAUUGUUUCUUAGAUUGGAUUUACAUGUUUAGUUCUGAAGAGGCCCCCCUGAUCUCGAUUCGAGGUCUGACAAGUUGUAUUUCUACUCGAUUUCGGGUAUUUAGUAAUUUCAUAUUUUAUUACACCAUUUUUCAACUCAAUCAAAUCAUAUUUUAACUUUUGUCACACUAUUUUCCAACUCAGUUACAUUAAAAGGCAAACUUGUGAGAAAUAAAACUUGUGAGACCCCAUCAACCCCUGCUCCUAUUAAUAUUACACAUGUAGAUUAUAUUUUAAAAGGAAAAUUGCCAAAUUGGUCCCUUAAAGUUUCGGAAAAAAAGCUUUUUUUACUCCAUCAAAAUUAGAAUUAGUCAAAAUAGUCCAUCAAAUAUAACAAAAGAAAAGUAUCCUUUUAGUCCGCGAGCUCAUUUUUUGAUCGGUCUUCUAGCCAAAAAGUGUGUGCCUUUCUUAGGUACCCACAAUUUAAAUAGCAAAAUGGGAAAACAAUUUAUUUUCUUCCAAAAAAAGCACAUGACAAUCAUAUGAUCACCUCCUGAAUAGGAAAUCGUAAUUAUUAUCCAUCAAAUUCAUAAUCGAAGAAAGAGUAAACUACAGGUGACCUUUACACUUUCUUGUUUGAUUAUGGAUCUGGUGGAUAUGAAUUAAGGUUCCUUUGCUAGAGGUGUGGUUAUGUGAUUGUGAUGUAUUUUUUAUUUAAGAGAAACAAAUUGCGUUUCAAUUUUGCCGUUGAAAUUGUGGGAACCAGAGAGAAGGUGCACUUUUAGGCUUAAAAAUUGAUUGAAAGUGAGUUUUGGGACUAAAGGAGCACAUUUUUUAUAAUUAUUUUGAUGCUUAUAUCAAAACCAUACAAAUUUACACCGAAUGUAUUAAAAAUUAUACAAACUGAUUUGAACUAGAUAGAAUUUAACUUGCUGUAUAAGACAAUUUAUUAUGCAUAAUAAUUGUUUCUAGAUGUCUAUUCUUACAUUUCUUCUGAGCUUUGAUUUGCAUCCUAUGUGACGGAUACAUCGAAUUCGUACCGACAGAUAAUCAAUAAUGCAACUGGGUGAUUCAUGAGUUGACAAAGAAUUCAUUGCUCUUAAGUGGUAGUUGCACCUCUUGAUCACAUGAUUCUAGUUGUCGAUCUCUUCGAUUUGGACCCCAAUAUUUUUCCAAUAGUUUUGACUAUUUCAGAUUAUGUCUUUCUUGUGCCUUUCAAUUUUUACAAUUUAAUAAUUGUUUCUUAGAUUAAUAACUGUCUUUUUUAUGCCAUUGUGCUGAAGAAAGGUACCAAUAAUGACAGACUUAAGAGUAAAUCAUAAUUGAGGACAAAAUUUGAGAGUUUUUAUAUAAAAAGUAUAUUAUAAUGUAUUUCUUAAAAUGUGAUGUAUGUAAAGUAAAAAUGUAAUUAGAAUAUAUAAUAAAAGAAUUCUCACGAAAAUUCACAAAAGUUUUUGGCAAAAAAUGCAAUCCAAAGAUUUGAUGAGCUAGCGUUGGAUGCGUCGACACUGGACCUCUAUGAUUGUCCGUCUACUUACUUUUAUAAUUAAGGUUUUCUGCUAAAAAUAAAAUAAUGUCUUAGGUGCAACGUUGUUUUCUUGAGAUUGACUCCGCAGCAACCACGUAUUUCUUCUGAGCUCUAACUUGGCUCGCAUGUGGUGGGUACUGUUUCCGUAUAAAACAAUUUGUUAUGUGCAAUAAUGGUUUCUGGAUAUAGAUUCUUACAUUUCUUCUGAGUUUUGAUUUGCCUCUUACAUGGUGGAUACACCCAAUUGACCUCAUAGUUCAUACCUGCAGAAAAUAAUCAAAGACGUAAUUGGUGAUUCACGUGUGGAUAAAGAUUUGAGUGUUUUUCUAAUUAAUAAAGAAUGAAGUGUUUCUUAAGUAAUAGCGGCACUCUUGAUCACAUGAUUCUGCUUGUUGAUCACUUUGAUUUGGAUUAUGAUCUUAUUCAAAUACUUUUGAUUCUUUGAGAUUACGUCUUUCUUGUGCAUUUCAAUCUUUGCAAUUUAAUAAUUUUUUUAAAAUGAGAUUUACAUGUUUAGUUCUAGAGAGGCCCCUGAUUUGUAUUCGGGGCUCUGUUUUGAAACUCGGACCGGACCGGCCGGUCGAACCGGGAACCGGCCAGGUAGCCGGUCCGAGUCAUAUUAAAAAAUCGGAAAUUUAAAAGUCGGUCAAAAAUCGGGUUUGACCGGGUAAAAAUCGGUUUUUCCGGUUCAACAGUAAAUUUUGUAAAAACAAUUUUAAACUUUUUAAUAUUAUGUUUUGACCCCCUAAAUUGUUAAAACUUAUUGAUAUACCUCAAAUAUUUGAUACUUUAUAAAUAUUGUCCUAAAAUUUGAUGUUAUUUUUCAAUUAAAUUCAUAAUUUUAAUUCUAAACUUGUUAAUAUUUAUUAAAUAAUAUAAAUUGCUACUUGAUUGUUCUAAUUUCUUUGUAUCUUCUUGUUAAAUAUAUUUGAAACAUCAAAUAUAUAUGAAUAUACCUUUAUUAAUAUCAAUAUAUUAUUAGAUAUUAUAUAUAUAAUAUUUUAAUUUUUAAAUAAUUUUUAUUUAUGACGUCAUCCGGUUCGACCCCUAUCGACCCCCGGUCGAACCCAUUGACCCCUGACCCCUGAUCUCGGCCGAGUCGCUAUCCGGUCCGGUUUUGAAAACAUAGAUUUGGGGUUGUACUUUACUCGAUUUCGGGAUAAGUUAGUAAUUUCACAUUUUAUUGCACUAUAUUUCAAAUCAAUUACAAUAUAUUUAAACUUUUGUUAUACCAUUUUCCAACCCAGUUACAUCGAAGAGCAAACUUGUGGAAAAUAAAACUUAUAAAGCCCCUGAUCCCAUUAAUAUUACACAUGCAGAUACUAUUAUAAUAAAGGAAAAAUUGUCAAAUUGAUCCCUUCCAUUUUCGAUAACUUUUUUAGUUCCUCACAAUUAGAAUUAGCUAAAAUAGUCCCUUAAAUAUAUAUAAAAAAAUACAUCCUUUUGGUCACAGAGCUGAUUUUUUAUUAGUUUUUUGGCCAAAAAGUGCACGCCUCUUAGGUGCCCACAAUUUUGAUGGCAAAAUGGGAACACAAUUUCUUUUCUUCCAAAAAAAAAAAAAAACAAAGCACAAGACAAUCAUAUGACCACCUCUUGAAUAGAGAAUCCUAAUUUUUAUCCACCAACCUCAUAAUCAAACAUGAAAGAGUAACCUGCAAGUGACCUUUAUGCUUUCUUGUUCGACUAUGGGUUUGGUGGAUAAGAAUUAGGAUUCCUAGAGAAGUGAUCAUGCGAUUGUCAUCAGUUUUUUUUUUCUUUUUUUCAAGUGAAAUGAAUGUUCCCAUUUUGCCAUUGAAAUUGUGGGAACCUAAGACACAGUGCGCUUUUUGACAUGAAAACUAAUCAAAAGUGAGUUCUGAGACCAAAUGGGCGCAUUUUUAUUUAAUAUCUAAGAGACUAUUUUGAUUGAUUUUGAAUGUGAGUGACUGAAACUGUGUUUAUUAAAAAUAUGAGGGACUAUUUUGACAAACUUCCGUAUAAUAAAGAUUGACCACUUUUUCUAGGAGUUUGGACAUUAUCCAUUUGGAAGUAUUACUAUUUUGAUCCUUUAUUGUUAUAGUUUUACUCAAUUUACACUGUUUAGCUCGUUUCCAUAAGGAAUAUUUUUUCUGGGAUCUGCAAGGAAAAUCAAGGGAGCUAACGGAGGACUUGCAUGUGUGAACCACCAUGCACGUUGCAUAACAAAUUUUGCUCUUUUAUUAUUGGGCAAAAAAAAAAAAAAAUGGCGACCACUAAACUAUUUCUGGCAUCUACUUGUAGCUACCAAACUAUUUCUCGUCUCAAUUUAACCACUCAACUAAUUAAUCAACAUACCCUUGGUUAUUUCAUGGCAUUUUGCUCUUAGUUUACAAAUAAACCAAACACAAAUCAAGUGUCAAAAUUUAAGGGUAAUCAUAUCCACUAAAUUUCUCAAUACAAAUCUAAAAAGUCCAACAACCACUAAACUAUUCCCCUCGUACUCUUUUGAUCAUUCAAAUAUAAUCACUAAAUUCUUAAAUCAGUAUACUAGCAGUCAUUCCGUCAAAUAUUUCUGUUAAUGCUAAGGAAUGAGUUCUAUGUUCAUUUCACAUACCCAAAACAGGACAAUUUUGUAAGGUCAACUUUUUAGAUUGUUUAAAUUUUUUCCCAUUAAUAUUACACAUGCAAAUAAUAUUACAAUAAAGGAAAAUUUGUCAAAUUGUUUCCUUCCAUUUUUGAUAAUUUUUUAGCCCCUCGCAAUUAGAAUUAGCUAAAAUAGUCCCUUAAAUAUAAAAAAAAAAAUGCAUCCUUUUGGUCACAGAGCUCCUUUUGGUAAAUUCCUUCUUGUACCUUGACAUUAAAUUUUAUUUAAUAUGAAUGACACAUAUUCUCUAGACGUCCAAAUAAAGGAGAUCAUUGUAACCUUUCAAAAACUUGAAUGGAGCAACAUGAAAUUGUUAUAAACCUCAAAGGUGUUUUAAAUAAAUAUCCCCAUACAUUGGAACACAUUUACAAGCAGAUUUUGUCAUGCUAGUACCUUUAUAGUCAAUGAAAGCCAAUACACUCAGUGCCACAUUGUUCCCUCUCCCUCUCUCUCGUUCUUCUCACAAGUUGUCUAGCGUGCUGCUUUGCUUCUCAGGACACGUUGAAGCUUUUGUUCUUUGCUAGCUAGGUAAUUAUUAUAUACCUGGCUCUCAAUUUCUGUGGUCCACUUCAUUAAUUGAUUUUUUUUUUGUAAAAAUUUUAGGGUAUCAAUUUCAGACGUUUGUUUUUCUUCGUUAUUGGAAAAAUCCAGCAGCUGUUUGCAUGCUAAUAUAUGGGAUUUCUCUUUUGCUUAGAUCUGGAACACUUGCUGUCUAGCAGGAAAGAAUUAGUACCUGCAUAUUAUGUGACCCUGAAAAAAAAAAAACCAUCUUUCUUUCUGUCCUUCAUUAGUUUGGCACUAAAACUUGAGUAAGGUUAACAGGAUUGUGCGGUACAACCAACAAUAAUGGAGGGGGAGAAGAUGGAUACAGAGGGAAAGGUGGAGACAGAGAAGAUGAACAAGGCAAUUGCGAUGGCAUAUGAUGUCCAAUCUAAAAUAGUAGAGGAUCUAGUUGGCGAUCACUUUCAUGUUGGCUUCUAUGACUCUAGCUCCGUUGUCCCUGGUUCUGAUGUCCAUUCUGCUCAGACUCGCAUGAUCGAGGCGGCCCUCCGUUUUGCCUCUGUAUCAGGUAUAUUCAACGCACCACUCUUAAGAUAUGGAUUGGCAGUUUAUCUCGAGUUUUCUUCUCUAAGUACAAAUGCUGUAGUUAUGAAACAAAACUGUAUUUUGCUGCAGAGCUAAGCUUUUUACUUGGGUGCAGAUUAAUUCCCAUUAAUUUCGAUUGUGACUUCGUUGAGUCAUCUACCCCGGCUAUCAAUUUGUAUAGUCUCCGACCCGUUUUGGACGUGAAUCUAAUUAGUAUAGAUAGUUUAAUAAAGGGCAAAUUCCACUUUACCCCCGGGAUUUAGCAUUUUUUACAUGACCCCCCUUAUGGUUUCAAAAACUAUACAUAACCCCCUCAUGGUUUGGAUUAAAGUGCCAAAGUGAUGGGAAUGAUCAUUCGCAACGGAGUCACCUAAAAUGUCAAAAAUACCCUUAUGUAAAGUUGAAAAUUAUUUAGGAUAAAUUCCACUUUACCCUCCUAUAGUUUAGCAUUUUUUUACAUAACCCCCCUAUGAUUUCAAAAGCUAUACAUAACCUCCCUAUCAUGAACUUUGAACUAAAUAAAUUGAUAAAAUAUUUCUAAUAGAAAAGGCACUUAUGUAACCUUGCACCCAAAUGAUAAAAUUGAACACUAAAUAAGUGCUCUUGUCAGAAUCUCUACUACAUGAAAUACUUCGUCGUAAUCUUAAGGAUUAAUUUUAUAAAUACUGUCAGUGUAUAUACUAUUACCAUUAAAUAUAUAAUACAUGUGCAAAAUUUGAAUUUGACAGUAUAUAUACUUACAAUGUAUAUACAAUUUAUUCUAAUCUUAAACAGCCACCUAAUAUUAAAGAAUUAUCUAAGAUGGAAUAGCAUUUCUCUCAUGGUUGUUAAAAUCGCGAUCCGGAUCGUAGGAUCGUACGAUCCUAUGAUCCGGAUCGGCAAAAUCGAUCCGGAUCACACUCAGAAUCGCAAAUUCCUUGAAUCUAUAUAGGAUCGAGGUAGGAUCGGUAGGAUCGCAUAGAAUCGUACGAUCCUACGAUCCUACUUCGAUCCUACAAUUUUUUGCUAAUUUGUGGAAUACAAGGUUCAUUUUGCAAGUAAAAAUCGACAUUUGGGGUAGGCUUGUAAGUUCACACUCAAUUGCAGGCCUUAGUUGCAAUGUUUUAACAAAUUUUGCCUCAAAGUCAAAAGAUUCCGUCAAAAAGCUUCGGGCCUUCUUCAUCUUCCCCUCAAGCAGAGCUUUGACGUUUCUCUUCUCCUCUCCGCUGCCCAAAUCAAAUCCCUAAUUUUAACCAUCAAACCACCUCAAGCUUCGGCUACAGCUCUUACCAAGAACCCACAAGACAAAUCGCUGCGGCUUCUACCAGGAACCCACAAGCUACAGUCGACAGCUAUUGCAGAAAAAGUUCAUCUUCUGCAUUGGGUGAAAAGCUGAGCAGCAAAAUCAUCAUCUUCCUCUCUCAUACUCAUACUACUUUGUAAGCGUUUAAACAUGAAUGCAAUAGUGACUAAUUAAUGGCGUGUGAAAUUAGGAUCGAAAUGUACAAAUUUUACCUUUUCUCAAGCUUUUUUCGUUUACAUUGUAGGAAAUUAUAUGAUACCAGGAAUUCUAUUCUGUUGGAUGGUGCUCCUAUUUUUUUUCUCAAUAAUUGAAAUUUGUAUUUGGCAACUUUAAUUAGUGAAACCACAGGAAGUUUUAAAUACUUGAAUUAAAUGAUGAAAUGAAAUCUAAUGCCAGAACUUUUUCUGCCCAUUUAAUAUUUGAGCUUUAUAUAUAUAUAUAUAUAUAUAUAUAUAUAUAUAUAUUAAGUUUUUGUAAUGAAUGUUCAAUAUUUGAUCGUUAACACAUUCAAUUCACACCUAUUAUGUAUAUGCACUUCUAACACGCAUAACCUUUUUUUAUAUUCAUAUAUAUACCUUUUUUGAUUAAUAUUACUUUUCUAAAAAUUUCAUUCUUCAACUACGUACAUAUUUUUCAUUAAUUCGAAAUUGUAAACAUAUUAUUGAUCUUUUGUGAUUGGCAAUUGGCAAUCAAAACAUUCUUGAAAUGCUGUCGGCUGUAACUUCUUCAUCUUUUUAUUACUUGUCAGAUAGUAAGUAAAAAAUGCUAUAUAUUGAUGAGUAACUUAUUUAUUUGAUAUCUUUUAGGAUGUACAAAAUGGUAUAUGAAUUUCAAUUUCAUUAAUUUAGUAAAUUUAGGAGCUUUUGGUGGGAUCUUACGAUCCUACGAUCCGAUUUUGUGAAACUAAAAUCGAUCCUACGUGGAAUCCUGAUUUUACAAACCUUGAUUUCUCUGCCAAUUGCGAUAGUCAUGCAUCUUGUUCUUAACAACACAAAAUAUUGCUUACCUUCGAAAAAUCAACACAUAAUUUUAUUGGUAUCACUCAAAAUUGGGUCAAUUUCAAUCAUAUUUCCUGAGAUUUGACCUAAUUAAAAAGUAUGCCUUGUGAUUUGAUCAGAUUACAGUCGAAUCCCCCAGUAGCAAAACAUUUGUCAAAUACCUGGCCCUCACUUUAAAUACAAUAUUGGCAAUUAAACGCAGCCCUCACUUUAAUUCUAUUAUUUCCUUUCAAGUCAAAUACUUCUUCACACAUAAGAAAGAAAAUAAAACUUUUAGUUCAUGACCAAACAACACCAUUUCAACUUUUUUUUAUCAAUCAGUAAUAUCUAUACUAUCUUACCCUAUAGGGGAGAAAUCCAACUGCGUUGUAUAAAGGGCUAGAGAGCAAGCAAGUUCAUCUAAACCAAAGAGGUGCUCUGACACACUUUUUGAAAUUUUUUUAACUAUAAGUUCUGGAUGUAGGGUUUAAACUUCCGACGUACAAUCUAAAGAGGAAUUUUAAAUCCCUUAGUUUGAAUUGAAGUACCAAAUUCUACACCCAAUAGUACAUGCACAUGUAAAUGGGGAUAAUCAAUUGGGGAAGGAUAAAAACAGAAGCAACAUUUUGUUUUUCUUUUUUCUGUUGGUCUUUCCUCAUUUUAGUGGUUUUAGUUUUUCUUUGACUACAUUUGCAAUGGAUUUAGGUAUUUGGCUAUUCAAAAGGUUAGAUUACAAAUUGGUCAAAGUACAGGAUUAGUUCUAUAAUUUGGACAAGCCUGAUGCAAUGUGAAUAUAAAUUAAGCAUAGAAUUUGUUUUUUGGGGCAAUCAUAUGCAAUUUCUGUAAUUGAUACUCUGGGUUUAGGUCAUGCACACAUUGAAAAAAGAAAUGGUUUGAUUGCUUUUCAAUGUGUCUAUUUUCUUUCCUAGUGAAACAUCCUCCUCAUAAUUUCUAGUUUUUUCUCCUCUCCAACUUGGUCGUUUUUUGUUUCAUUUUUUUGUUUAGUAGUCAACCAACGGGCAUUAUUUAUCAUGAAAUAAUAUGCAGAGGAUCCAUCGAAGAAACCAAGAAACAUACUUGAUGUUGGAUGCGGUAUUGGUGGCAGCACCAGGUACCUAGCAAGUAAAUAUGGUUCUCAAUGUAAAGGCAUCACCCUUAGCCCUGUUGAGGCUGAAAGAGCUCGUGUUCUAACUGCUGCCCAAGGAUUAGAAAGCCAGGUUUGUAUGAACUCUCCGUCUUACAAUUUUGAACGAUUUGCAAGAAGUUAUCAAUUGUUAAAUCACCCUUGCUGCUCACUCUUUUUAUGCAAGUGCACAAUAAGUAAAAAUUUUCAUUCCUCCAUUUCUUAAGGAAUGAUGACAGAGUGCAUACUACUACUAUGGUUUUGAAAAAGUAAUAAAUUGUGUUCAUGAAAGCAAACCAGAUACUCAAAAGUUUCAAGAAUCCUAAUUUGUGAUAGUUUUGUUUUGAUUAUCCAUCCUCACCUUUACUUUUUAUACACUAAAAAUGCAAAAUUUUUGAAUCCUGAAUUUUAGGGGAUAAAAUUAUCUCAUAAUAGAAUUGAAUUCAAAUAUGUAUUAUCAAUAAGCUUAGGUAAUGAUGUUAACUCUUGAAUUUGGAUACAUACGUAUGUGUGUACAUAUACAUAUACAUACAUAUAUAUGUGCGUGUGUGUAUGUGUAUGUGUAUAUAUACAUACAUAUAUAUAUAUACAUGUACAUAUACAUAUACAUACAUACACACACACAACAUGCACACACAUGCACAUAUACAUGCAUAUAUAUAUAUAUAUACAUAUAUGUGUGUAUGUAUAUAGAUGUAUGUAUGUAGAAUUAAUCUUCUAUGCAAUAACUAAUAAUUUAUACACUAUUAGAUUUAGAUGAAAUUCAAAUUAAGAUUAAUUAUUAUGCAUGUCAGUAUAGAGAAGAUUAACAAUAUAUUAUUGAUUAUGCCAAGUUUUAAAUUCAGAUCAAGUCACAUUUCAAAUAAACUUUGUAGAAUGACUCGGAACUUUACUCCAAAUUCCAAGUAAAAGCCACCACAAUGCUAGAAAGAGAAGUAAGAAAGAAAAAGAUGCAAAAUCAUUAUGCAGAUAUAUAGUAGUGCUGCUUUCUUUUCCUAACAGCUGCUAAAACGUACAUAGCAGGUUUCCUUUGAAGUGGAAGAUGCAUUGAAUCAGCCAUUUGAAGAUGGUUCAUUCGAUUUAAUUUGGUGCAUUGAAUGUGCAGAUCACAUAAGCGACAAAACAAAGGUUAUAUUUCUUGUCGCAGCUUCCUUUACAAUUACUAUUUCUCUUUUUUUGUUUUUUUGUUUUUAUCAUUCUUUAAAAAUGAUUAUCUACCCUACUUGUUGAACGUAGGUAUCACAUAAAUGUCAAUAAUGUAAAAUUCUGCUGAUGUUAUUUUCUUCUUGAUGAAGUUUGUUCAUGAGUUGAAUCGGGUGGCUGCCCCUGGUGCUACUAUCAUUUUAGUUACUUGGUGUCAUAGGGAUCUUUCGCCCCUUGAACAAGAUUUGCAUCCGGAUGAGAAAAAGUUACUGACCCAAGUGGUGAGCGGAAGUCGUGCUAAGUGGAUUUCUGCUGCUGAUUAUAUGAAUUUAUUCAAGUCAUGCUCUUUUCAGGUAUUCAAUUGCGUUUACUUUUUGCGGCUCAUUUAUUCGACCAGAAUCAUUAUUUUUCUUCAUCACAAAGUUUUCCUUUUCCCGAUUAUCUAAGCCUCCUGUUGUUAAUUAGGAGAUCAAGUAUGCAGACUGGUCUCCACACGUUGCUCCACAUUAUGCAGAAAUGAGGAAGAUAACGUUGUCAUGGAAGGGAAUCAUGUCGUAUGUUAGACAUGUUGGUAAGCAUUGUGUAUUUCACUGGCAUAUAUAGCCAAUUCAUUACCAUUAUCUACCUUGUAAUUGUAUGCUAUAAUUCUUAACCAUUUCUCCAUCUUUUCUCAAUUUCAAUUAAUAGGAUGGAGGCAAAUGAGCAUCAAGUUUCUGAUGAUGCCGUCAGUGUUCGACACAUUCAAAAAUGGUCUGCUUAAGUAUUGCAUUCUUACGUGCCAGAAACCUCAGUAGUUCAGUUCCAGUGAUGUUUAAUGUGCAUGCAAAAAUAUCACUCCACAGUCGAUAAUUCCUUGUUUUUCUUUCUCAAAAGCUAAUUUGUACUUGUAUUGUUCCUCAAAACUUGAGAAUCUUUCUGAUUUUGAGAUUUACCAUUAGAAUUGAGAUCUACUAUAUUCUGCAUAUGCGUUGCACAAGAUCUUGAUAUUUGAAAUUGGAGUUUCGAAUAUCAAAACUCAUGUCAUUUCACCCAUAAUUUGUAAGUACUUUUAAGUUCAGGAGAGUAAGAGGAGCCCUAUUUUCCAUCCACUUUAAGGACAAAAGAAAGAACUAAAAAAAAAUAAAAAACUGGUCAUUGGUCAAAAAGUUUAAAAUGAAAAAAAAGAAAAGAAAAACUAAUAGUUGGUCUAGUCUCUAGUAUGUUAAAAAAUGCUUGAUUAAACCCAUUCGCUGUAUACCUGUCCUUAGACCUUCCGGUGAAUACUUGGUUGCAGUCAAAAGCAUAAAAAUUUACUAUUUCUUCUUUUUUUUUGGGGGCUGGGACCACAACUGAGCGCUUUGACUCAACUUGUAAUACAUGUUAUACCGAGAACUAGCAGACUUGGUCCACCUAAAAUUGAAAUAAAAAGAAAAAGUUCCAGUCGAGUUGUCAAAGCUGAGGUGGAACUUUUAGUUGCAUAUUAAUCCAAGUUUUUUUACUUUUCUUUUAAGAAAAGCAAAUUAGUCUAAGUUGAACUCUCUUAAUUAAAUGCUUAAAUUUGCAUGUCUCAUUCUUGACAAGUCUCUUAGUGCCUGAAGCAAGUAUAACUUUGAGAAAAGUCAAAAUUUAGUCUCCAACGGCUGGAGAUGAGAAAACCAAAUAAAAAUGUAGAAAAAUUAAGAUGCCAAGAUAAAUGAAAAGAGGCGUACCCACGGCCACGGAUGGUACACUGCAGUUUCCAAAAGAGACAUCCAAUAAAAAGUUUAAUUCUAACAAUUUGAUAUCUAAGUGAAAGAUGUCUUUCUUUUUCAAUACUUGGAAUAGUCUCUUUUUUUUUUUUUUUGAAUAAUGGCAAACCCCAUACAUGGGGGAGGGAUGUCACCUCUAAAUUUUAUUAAAAAUUUAAAUUUGAAAAGAAAGUAUUGAUUAUUCAAUACUUGGAAUAAUCAAUACCACGUAUAAUAGACAUACUGAAAUUCGUCCGGUUUAGAUUGUAAUUUUUGGGAAGUUUUAUAGAAAAAUAUAAUCGUAUUGAGUGUUUCCUAAUUGAUGAAGGAUAGAGUUUUUCUUAUGCAGUGGCGGCACCUCUUGAUCACAUGAUUCUGAUUAUCGAUCUCUUUGAUUUGGAUUCCAAUCUUAUUUAAAUAUUUUUUAUUCUUUCAGAUUAUGUCUUUCUUGUGCACUUCAAUCUUUGCAAUUUAAUAAUUGUUUCUUAAAUUGGAUUUUGAUUAUUUUAGAUUGUGUCUUUCUUGUGUCUUUCAAUCUUUGCAAUUUAAUAAUUAUUUUUGAGAUUGGAUUUACAUGUUUAGUUCUGGAGAGGCCCCUGAUCUAGACUCAAGGCCUGACAAGUUGUAUUUCUACUCGGUUUUGGGUAUUUAAUAAUUUCAUAUUUUAUUACACCAUUGUUUCUUAGAUUGGAUUUACAUAUUUAGUUCUAGAGAGGCCCCAUGAUCUGGAUUUGAGACCUGACAAGUUGUAUUUCUUCUUGAUUUUGGGUAUUUAUAAUUUCAUAUGUUAUUACAUCAUUUUUUAAUUCAACCACAUCAUAUUUCAACUUUUGUCACACUAUUUUCCAACUCAAUUACAUUAAGGGUCUGUUUGUUUGGGCGAAAAUGUUUUCUGGAAAACAUUUUCCACAUUGUCCAAUGUUUGGUUGUUAAUUAAUUUGGGAAAAUGAUUUCCAAUGGAAAAGAACUUACACCUAGAGAAGGAAAAUAACUUCCUUGUCUAUCAUUCUGAAGUUAUUUUCCUUUCACACAGCUUUCACCGAAAGAUGGAAAAUCACGGCCUCACUCCACCUCCCAUUGAGACAAUUGAAGACCCACUCCACCACCCAGCUUCCCCCCCUCUCUCUCUCUCUCUCUGGGAUAUCAAAACACUUAUAAUUAUCUUUUCUUGGCCCCUAGCAAUUCCAAACUUGAAUAAUAUUUUGAAGAGUUAAGAACUCUGGUUUCCAUAUAUCAAGAAAACAGAGUAGUGUUACUUUGAGUUCGGUCAACUUUGAUUAGUUUUCAUGAGGUACUAACUACAUAGUGGCAGCGACUUCUGGUAUCAUGUACCUUUAAUUUACUACCUUUAGUUGCCACAGUUCACUUAAUUAACGAUUAUAUGCAUGCAGUCAAUUAAUAAUUAUAUUAAAUUUUCAUUGAUGGAUCUCGGUAGUGAUCAUCAAUUAAACUUUCAAAUUUUCAUAAAAGAGACUCUUCUCCCCUUAAUGAUUUUUUUAAAAGGAAGAUAAAAAGUCAAUUAGUUAGUAUCAUUAAUAAUUCCAUUUAAGAAUUCAUGGUGUAAUAUGAAUAAAUAUUUUAUAAAAAUGAUAAUAUGAUUAUAAUGGAUAGAAACUAAAAAUAACUUGUAAUAAAUUGAAUGUUUUGAAAAUAGAAAACAUUUGCAACAUAUCAACAAACACAUCAGAAAAUAUUUUACUGACAAACCAAACACCGGAAAAUAAUGAAAAAAGGGAAUUUGGAAAAUAUUUUCACUAAAUAACCAAACACUGGAAAAAUAUGGGGAAGGAAGUGAUUUUCCAGGAAAAUGACUUCUAUCGAAAAUAUUUUCCUCAAUCCAACCAAACGGACCCUAAAAGGCAAACUUGUGAGACCCCAUCAGCCCCUGAUCCUAUUAAUAUUACACAUGCGGAUUAUAUUAUAAUAAAAGAAAGUUGCCAAAUUGGUUUCUUAAAUUUUUGGUAAAACUUUUUUUAGUCCAUCAAAUAUAAAAAAGAAAAGCAUCCUUUUAGUCCGCGAGCUCAUUUUUUGAUCGGUUUUCUAGCCAAAAAGUGCGUGCCUUUCUUAGGUACCCACCAUUUAAAUAGCAAAAUGUGAACACAAUUUAUUUUCUUCCAAAAAAAGCACAUGACAAUCAGAUGACCACCACCUGAAUAGGGAAUCCAACUUAUUAUCCACCAAAUUCAUAAUCGAAGAAAGAGUAAACUACAGGUGACCUUUACACUUUCUUGUUCGAUUAUGGAUCUAGUGGAUAUAAUUAAGGUUCCUUUCCUAGAGGAGUGGUUAUGUGAUUGUCAUGUAUUUUUUUUUUAAGAGAAACAAAUUGUGUUUCAAUUUUGCCGUUGAAAUUGUGGGAACUAGAGAGAAGGUGCAUUUUAGGCUUAAAAAUUGAUUGAAAGUGAGUUUUGGGACUAAAGGAGCAUAUUUUUUAUAAUUAUUUUGAUGCUUAUAUCAAAACCAUACAAAUUUACACCGAAUGUAUUAAAAAUUAUACAAACUGAUUUGAACUAGAUAGAAGUUAACUUGCUGUAUAAGACAAUUUAUUAUGCACAAUACUGGUUUCUGGAUAUCGAUUCUUACAUUUCUUCUGAGCUUUGAUUUGCAUCUUAUGUGACGGAUACAUCGAAUUGACUUCAUAAUUCGUACCGACAGAUAAUCAAUAAUGCAACUGGGUGAUUCAUGAGUUGAUAAAGAAUUCAGUGUUUCUUACGUGGUAGUUGCACCUCUUGAUCACAUGAUUCUAGCAAUAGUUUUGAUUAUUUCAGAUUAUGUCUUUCUUGUGCCUUUCAAUUUUUACAAUUUAAUAAUUGUUUUUUUGGAUUAAUAACUGUCUUUCUGAUGCCAUUGUGCUGAAUAAACGGAACCAAUAAUGACAUUUUUAAGAGUAAGGUUCCAUUUGAUAAAACUGAAUCUGAAUUCUGAAGUCUGAAUUCUGAAAUCUGAAUACUAAAAUAAUUAAUUUGCUGAAUUUUAAGCACUGAAAAGAAAUAUAUGAAUGUUUGAAUUUUAAUGUUAAACUAUUUAUACUGUUUGAUAAAUAUUUAUAACUGAAUGCUUAAUAAAUUAAAUUUGACAAAUUUGCCCUUAUGUCUUUUCAUCCAAAAAAGAAAUAGAACCUAUGAUUUAAUUAGCUAAAAAUGUUUGGUAUGAAAAUGACAAUAUUUAUUUUUAAAUCAAAUUAAUAUAAAAGAUGAAAUAUAUUAUAUGAGGAGUAUGGAGAAGAUGUGAAAAUCAUUCAAAAGGGAGAAAAAAGAAAUAAAAAAUCAUUAGAUAGAGAAUAUUAGAUUGUUUAAUUAGAUAAGAAUUUUGAACAUAAUUAACAAAUAAGGGUAGAUUUGGUAGAUAAGAUAAGGUAAUUGAAGUAUUUCUAUUGAUUCUUAUCAGAAUUAAGCAUUCAGUUAGGAUUUUUGUGCUGAAAAAAUUACACACAAGUUCAGCAUCACUUAACAAGUUCAGCAAAUGGAUUUUCAUUUAUCAAACUCUCAAAACAUCUGAAUGUCUGCAAAAAUUCAGAUUCAACACUUUUUUAUGUUAUCAAACAGACCCUAAAUCAUAACUAAGGACAAAAUUUUACUUCCUCAAGUACCAAUUCAAAUAAAAACAUUCAAAUUUACCUAGUAGAUGUAUGCUUUCAACCAAAAAAAAAAAAAAAACUGUAUACUUUAAUGCAAAAAAAAAAAAAAAAAACACUUACAACUGCCUUGUUGAGGCUUCACAUCAUUAAUAAGGCUCCAAAAAGUGUGUUUGGAUAGUAGAUUAUUUGGAAUAUUUUGUGAAAAAAAAUACUAUAAUACUUUUCGAUGUGAUGCAUGUGAGAUAAAAAAAUAAUUAAAAAAUAUAUUGAUGAUACAAGUAAAUAAAAUUUGGCAAAAAUUUACUAUCCAAACAAGUAUCUAUUAAUUUAUGGGAUCUUAAUUUGGCCAGGUCACAUGAAAUCACUACGUUCUCAAUUUCAACUAUAUAUUUAGUGAGACUAAGAGUUGGUUUAGAUUGUAAUUUUUAAAAGUUAUUAUAGAAAAAUAUAUUGUAGUACUUUUUUUAAAGAUGUAUAUUAUAAUUUUUGAGAGUUUUUAUAUAAAAAAUAUUAUAAUACUUUUCUUAAAAUGUGAUGUAUGUAAAGUAAAAAGGUAAUUAGAAUACAUAAUAAAAAAAUUCUCACGAAAAUUCACAAAAGUUUUUGGUAAAAAAAGCAAUCCAAACAUGGCUGAUUUGGUGAGCUAGUGUUGGAUGCGUCGACACUGGAACUCUAUGAUUGUCCGUCUACUUACUUUUAUAAUUAAGGUUUUCUGCUAAAAAUAAAAUAAUGUCUUAGGUACAGCAUUGGUUUCUUGAGAUUGACUCGGCAGCAACCACAUAUUUCUUCUGAGCUCUAAGUUGGCUCGCAUGUGGUGGGUAUUGUUUCCGAAUAAAACAAUAUGUUAUGCGCAAUAAUGGUUUCUGGAUAUAGAUUCUUACAUUUCUUCUGAGUUUUGAUUUGCCUCUUACAUGAUGGAUACACCCAAUUGACCUCAUAGUUCAUACCUGCAGAAAAUAAUCAAAGGUAUAACUGGUGAUUCACGUGUGGAUAAAGAUUUGAGUGGUUUUCUAAGUAAUAAAGAAUCAAGUGUUUCUUAAGUAAUAGCGGCACUCUUGAUCACAUGAUUCUGGUUGUUGAUCACUUUGAUUUGGAUUAUGAUCUUAUUCAAAUACUUUCGAUUCUUUGAGAUUACAUCUUUCUUGUGCAUUUCAAUCUUUGCAAUUUAACAAUUUUUUUAAAAUGAGAUUUACAUGUUUAGUUCUAGAGAGGACCCUGAUUUGGAUUUGGGGUUGUACUUUACUCGAUUUCAGGAUGAGUUAGUAAUUUCACAUAUUAUUGCACUAUAUUUCAAAUCAAUUACAAUAUUUAAACCUUUGUUAUACCAAUGUCCAAACCUUACAUCAAAGAGCAAACUUGUGGAAAAUAAAACUUGUAAAGCCCCUGAUCCCAUUAAUAUUACACAUGCAGAUAAUAUUAUAAUAAAGGAAAAAUUCUCAAAUUGGUCCUUUCUAUUUUCGAUAAUUUUUUUAGCCCAUCACAAUUAGAAUUAGCUAAAAUAGUCCCUUAAAUAUAUAUAUAAAAAAAUGCAUCCUUUUGGUCACAGAGCUGAUUUUUUAUUAGUUUUUUGGCCAAAAAGUGCACACCUCUUAGGUGCCCACAAUUUUGAUGGCAAAAUGGGAACACAAUUUAUUUUCUUCCAAAAAAAAAAAAACAAGGCACAAGCCAAUCAUAUGACCACCUAUUGAAUAGAGAAUCCUAAUUUUUAUCCACCAACCUCAUAAUCAAACAUGAAAGAGUAACCUGCAAGUGACCUUUAUGCUUUCUUUUCUUUUUUUUUUAAAUUUAACUUUUUGUUCUUUAUUUGCAAGGCAAAUGAAAAAGGAGGGGGGACAUGGACCUUACCUCCGAAUAACUCCAGGUUGUAAAGAAAAAGCUAGAAAAGAAGGCGAUACUAUUCCCUUUACAUCAUUUGCACUUACAUUUCCUAAUUGAAGGCAAGCCUAUUCUAUCUAAACGAAACGCCCCACGAGCUCUAAUAGGGAGGUCCAAAAGCUGAAGGUACGUUGUAUUGAAACCCUGAUCACACCCUACGUUUGAUAAACAAUCAGCAACUUGAUUACUUUCCCGAAAGCAAUGAGAAAUUUCAAGAAAAUUAGACAAACUUUAAAAGGUGCUUAACCUCUGUAAGAAUACUCCAUGGACAAUUAGAUCUCUUUUUUAGGAUGUGAACAAGUACCAAAGAAUCCACUUCAAUGUGUAAGUUAACAUAACCACGAGAAAGACACAACUUAACCCCAAAGAGAAGAGCGCGCGCCUCAGCUUGAAUGCUGGUUCCAUUCCCAAAAAACGAGGAGAAAGCGAGCAGGAAAUUUCCUCCAUCAUCACGCAAAACCCCACCACCACCUGCCCUCCCUGGGUUACCUCUUGAGCAGCCAUCCGUAUUAAGUUUAAACACACCCAAAGGUGGCCGACACCACCUUACAAUCUUAAAUGAAACUGUUUUAUAAAGAGAAGAGAGCGCAGAAUAAAACUCCAUCCACGUUGAGGAAAUGAACGGGUGCCUAGGGAAUUGCAACCUGAAGAGAUAUUUCACAUCCUCAAAAACAAACUCACAAAUAGCAACAUGAGAAAGAAUUUUCCCUUAGAAACGGGCUAAAUUUCUAGACUUCCAAAUAUUCCAGCAAAUCAAAGAAGGUAUAAUAAAAUGAACAAAUGCAAGGAAACCAUUCCUUCGUGCGCUAUACCACCAACCAGCAAUAUAUGCCCGAACAGAACCACCUAAAUUAAGCACGCCUGAAGCAGAGCCAAAGAAAUUCCAAACAAAUACCGCUACCUGUCCACUACAAAAAACAUGAUCCAAACACUCAACAUUUGCCUGGACACAACAAAAACACUUCGAUGGUCCAGAAAUACCAAGUUUGCGUAUCGUCAAAUCCAGGGGUAAUCGAUUUCGCAACAAGCAAAGAAGAAAAAUAGACACCUUUAGAGGAAGUCUUGGAUGCCAGAUUUUUGUAAACAUAAAUGACCUUUGCAUAUGUGGUCGCACCAGGUUAAACGCUGAGCUUAGUGUGACAACUCCUGAUUGAGACGGAGCCCAAAUCAUCAAAUCUUCCACCCCGUACUCAAAUUGAGGGAGAGAGAGCAGUCGGAUCUCGUUGAUAAUAGAUGGAGGGACCCAUAAUCCCAUUAACCGAAAAUUCCACCCGCCAUCAAUUAAAAAAUCAGACACCUUAUGAUCCGAAACACUGCCUAACCGCAAAGCCAAAGGUCCUGAACCUAACCAAUUAUCGAACCAUAAAUUAGAGCUCCCAGAAUAGACAAUGAAAGUUAUAUGUUGUUUAGCAAUUUCCCGCACGUGUAACAUCCUAUGCCACGUAUAAGAGGCCCCUUCCGAGCAAACAACCAUACCUGGAUGGGCAUUGCAGCAAUAUUUGGCCAUCAUAAACUUAGCCCAAAGAGACGCAUUUUGUCGAACCCUCUACCAUAACUUAAUGGAAAAGGCAUGAAAAACAUCAUCCAGCAACCUAACGCCAAGCCCACCCUCCUCUUUUGGAGCACAAAGAUCCUUCCAACGAAUCCAAUGGUAUUUUAAACCACCCUCAACUGAACCCCAAAAGAAAUUAGCAAACAAACGCUCAAGGGUAGCAAAAACAGAUUUUGGAGGUGAUACAAUAGCCAGCAAAUGCAAUGGAAUCGAGGACAGUACAUUUUUAAUAAGUAUAACCUUACCUCCUGGUGACAACAAACAAUUUUCCCAAGAAGUAAUCCUAGCAGCCACAGCCGUCACUAAAUCCUGGAAGUAGGUCUUCUUAUGCCUCCCCACGAUUAGAGGACAACCAAGAUAGCGAGUAGGAAAUUUCUUUGGAGAAAAACCCGUUAUGCUCUGAAUUGACGCCUUCCUACUCUGGGAUAGUUGCGGGUGAACCAAGAAACAACUCUUUGAGGCAUUUAUCCUCUGCCCCGACGAAACAUUUUCAUACUUUUCUAGCAUUUCCAUUAACAGCUUGAGGGAUACUAUUGAUGCAAUAGAAAAAAUAAGAAUAUCAUCUGCAUACCCUAGGUGACUAACUAGGGGACACCCUUGAGGAACCUUGAAACCAUUAAACCGUGGAUGCAACAGAAGUUGAUUCAAUAGCCGUGACAGAACCUCUGCGCCUACAAUAAACAAAGAAGGAGACAAAGGAUCCCCUUGACGAAGACCUCGAGAGGAUGAGAAAAAACCAAACGGCAUCCCAUUAAUCAAAACAGAAAACCAUGGAUUAGAUAUAAGACGCCAAACCAUAUCAAUACACCUUUCGCCAAACCCAAAAGCACGUAACACAUUGAUCAAAAAAAUACAAGAAACCCUAUCAUAAGCUUUAGUCAUAUCCAAUUUGAGAGCAACAUUCCCUCCCCUAUUCUUCUUACCAAUACCCAUAAUAAUUUCUUGAGCAAAUAAGAAAUUAUCAGAAAUUAACCUCCCAUGAACAAAUCCACUUUGAUUUGGAGAGAUAAUUUGAGGAAGCAACUGAGACAACCUAUCAGCUAGGAGCCGCGAAAAUACCUUAUUUAUAAAAUUGCAUAAACUAAUUGGACGAAACUGAGAAAAAUCCUUUGGAUUCUUCACCUUGGGAAUUAAGACCAGUAGCAUAGAUGCCACAUUUUUCGGCAACUCAGCACCACAAAAAAAACUAACAACAGCCUUAUACAAAUCUUGAGCAACUAUAUCCCAAGCAAAAGUGAAAAACUUUCCAGUAUACCCAUCAGGACCUGCCGCACUAUCACCAUCCAUAUCAGAAACCAUCCGCCGCACCUCCUCCAUUAUAGGAAUUUGUUCUAACUUAGCAUUAUCUGCUGGCUGAAUUAAUUUUGGGAUAAUGGCAGAUAAAUCCCAACAAGAUGUAACCUCGGCUGAAAAUAAAGAAUGAAAAAACCUGACAGCUUCAUGCCCUAUAUCAGCUUCAGAACAUAACCAGUUCCCUCUCUCAUCUUGGACUCGGUGAAUAACCGAUUGUAAUCUCCUCUUCUUUACCACUAAAUGAAAAAACAUAGUAUUUUUAUCUCCUAAAUCUAACCAACGAACCCUUGCUUUUUGCUUCCAGAAGCUUUCUUCCACUAGCAAGCUCUGAUGAAACUUCGCCUGGGCUCUUCGUAAGGAUUCCUGAGCACCAACCGAGAUAUUCCCCUCCACACGUUUCUCAGCUACAAACACCUCCUCCUCAGCUCUUUGCACAUUAUUAAAAAUAUUACCAAAACAAUGUUUGUUCCAACGACUAUGGGUUUGGUGGAUAAGAAUUAGGAUUCCUAGCGAAGUGAUCAUGCGAUUGUCAUCUGUUUUUUUUUUUUUCGUUUUUUCAAGUGAAAUGAAUGUUCCCAUUUUACCACUGAAAUUGUGGGAACCUAAGAUAGUGGCGCUUUUUGACAUGAAAACUAAUCAAAAAUGAGUUCUGAGACUAAAUGGGCACAUUUUUAUUUAAUAUCUAAGAGACUAUUUUGAUUGAUUUUGAACGUGAGUGACUGAAACAGUGUUUAUUAAAAAUAUGAGGAACUAUUUUGACGAACUUCCGUAUAAUAAAGAUUGACCACUUUUUCUAGGAGUUUGGACAUUAUCCAUUUGGAAGUAUUACUAUUUUGAUCCUUUUUUGUUAUAGUUUUACUCAAUUUACACUGUUUAGGUCGUUUCCAUGAGGAAUAUUCUUUCUGGGAUCUGCAAGGAAAAUCAAGGGAGCUAAUGGAGGACUUGUGAUGACCCAGAAAAUUAUUUUUCUCACCUCCCAACUAUUUGCAUCUCUAUUUAAAUUAAAUUUUUGUAAAAUUUGCAUUCAUUAAGUGAUUUACUUGUUAAUUGAUAAAUGAGUUUCUUUUACUUGCUUCUUUUAACUUUCGAGUGAUUAAUUUCUUAAAAAUUGUUAAUUCGUGACUUAUUAGUGAAUUUGGCUAAAAUCUUAGAAAGAUGUGAGGGCUCUAAAAUUUCAUUAUUUUUUAAAGGUAAAUAAUAAUGAUAGAAAUAUUUAUAUUAUGUGAUUUUUUCAAAUUUUUGGUAUUCUCAUUUAUUAAAAUGUCAUUUUUCAACUUAGUUGAAUUUUUAUUAUUAAUUUCCCGAUUAUUGUGUAGAGACUUUAAAGAAAUAGAAAAAUGAUAGGAUAAUGUUGGAUGUAGGAAAUUUAGUUAUAGAUAAGAUGUCGUAUGAGAAUGCGACACAUAAGCGAGUAGGUGAGAUGGUUCCUUACCACACUUUAAAGGAAGAAACUAGACUUGAGAGUUCAUUCUCUCUUUUCCCCUUUGAGCCAACCGAAAUUUUAGAAAGAGAGAGAGACUUGAGAGCUCUCAAUUUCCUCCUUCAUCUUACUCUUGAAGAUCACUUGAAAAUCCAUCACCCACCACAAUUUUUCCUCUUCUUUUUCUUCUUCUCUUGUUGAGGGAGAGAGAGAAAAUUGAGAGAGAGAGAGAGUGAGACCAAGAAAGAAGGGACACCAUCUAUCUUGCUCCUUGUGGAUUUGUGGAAGAAAUCACCCAAUCAACCUAGAAGAUUUGACCUUUCUUGAGGAAACUUGAAGGGUGAAACUUGGAAGGAAAUUUUGAGAUUGAAUCACACUAGAUCUAAUUAGAUCUUGAGGUAAGAAGCUAAAAUCACCCUUAAUCUUUAAUUUCUAACCAUGGGUAUGUUAGAUCCACUUGAUUUAAGUAAGAUCUAUGGUAGAUCAAGUAAAUCUCUUAACGUUAUAUCUCUAGAUGUCUAGUGGUUAAAAUGCUAGUUUAGCUCUUAAUUUGUUAGUUGGAUUUGCUUGAAAAUUAUCUUUUGAUGACCAAGGGCUAAUGAUUGAUGAAACCCAUAUGGAUUUGAGUGAGUUUUGUUGACUAGAUGGUUGUUUUGUUGAUGAAAAUGGAAGAAAACCCCAUGCCCACCAAGUGUUUGAUCUUUUGUUAAGGGUUGUUUAUAUGCAAAUUUUCAUGGUUCUUUUUGUUAGUAAUCUUGGCUAUAUAUUAUUUGAUAUGUUCAUGGCUUUGUUAUGGAAAAAAAUUGGGAAGAUUUGAUGGGAAAAGUAUUUGGAAAGUUCUUGUUAGAAAGUUUGCAAAAUGGACUGAAACUUUGAGUGCAUUUUCAGUCAACUUGUCAGAUUUUUUGGUAUUGAUUGAAAACAAAUUAGAGCCUAAAUUUUAUACCGUUGGAAAGCCCUUUGAGCCUAGUUUCAACGCUACCAACGGAUUUUUCUACGUUGAGUUAUAACCGUUUUCCCAAAACUGCUCAAAUGCCCUGUUAUGACGCGAUAGCUUUCUUGUGCCUCUGUGAUUGCUAUUUUUGACCAUGAAAAUGCGUAAACUGAAUUUCGAUGUAUUCAUAAGAAACAUAGAGCUAUGUCUUAGUUUCGAAACACCAUAAACCAUUUCCAAUUUUGACUUGUGUAACGUUAGUUAUAGCCCGAUUUCAAAACUGUGACAAAGCUUUAUGACUGAGAAUCUGCGAAACAGGUUGCCAAAAAACUAGUUUUCUUAAAGCCGUUGUAUCUUGGUGUUGGAAAAUCCGAAUUGACUUCUGCUUUUUACAUUUGAAACUUGACUUGAAUUUCUUUCUAUGUUAUAAAUUUCAAAGGCUAAUUCAAUUCCUGUGAAUUUUGCCGUAUUUUCAAACUUUACUAAAAAUCAAGACUGUUUCUGCCCUGUUUUAAUAAAACAGCAAGUUUGAGCUGAGAAACGAAUGAUUUCUGAUUAGAAUCUGAGAAAAGUGUCUUCUCAAAAAUUUUAGUACUUUGAAUCCAGUUCCAACGGUGUAAAGUUUCCAAUUUUUGAAGUUACUGAACUCAAGAUAUGAAUUUUCAAGUGUUGUCGCAUAAAGUUGAAAAUUUCCGAUUUCCAACAAAAUGAACUUUUUUGAACUUCCGACUUUCUUUUGAGAUUGAUAGUUCAUUUCAAACUUGAUUUCAUGGAUGAUACCAAUUCUCUUGUGACUUUAAACCUUCAUUUUGAAUCUCGGUUUUCGAUGGAGUAAAACAUUUUUGAGGCGUUGUCCUAAGUUCUGAACUUUCUUCUUUGUAUGAUCAAUGAUCUAGGGUAUCAUGAAUGAUGAUUGAUUAUAUUUCUUCAGGUGCUCAAGAGGGUUUCAAAAAGAAUCCCGGCGAGGAAAUGUAAAGGAAUUUCUUGCUCACUUGCUUUUGAAAUUGGUGAGUGUCAAGUGUAUGACUUGUUGCAUAAUACUUGAACUACUUCUGGUUGAAUAUGUGAAUUGGACUUGUUCAGACGAGUGUGUAAUUUAUCGCACUCGUUCUCUUUUACUUGACUUGAUAAUUGACCUGCUCGUACUUGACAAUUAUACUUGUGAUUGAUUUGGUGUCGAUUUGAGAGCAAUCUCUUCGACUUAUACUUGAACUUGUGGGGACGUCCAAAACCAAUGGCUAGCCAUUCAACUCAAGCCAACAAGGGCUUGGUUGAGGAGUUUGGUGAACCUUGAACACUUACUUGACUUGGAUAUACUUGAGCAAUAUCAAAAACUUGUUUGACGUGCGGGCCAGAUAGGGGGUGUAACGGUGGACGAAAUUUUGGUGAAAAGUGGGGUUCUACGGACUUGAUACUUGCUCGGUUGACGGAAUAUCAAUAUUUGAAAUUUUGGAUCAAGAUCUUGGCAAAACAGUGUGGAGUUAGCUCCUGAGAGCUUCUGUAUCCUUUAAUGAUUGUGUCUUGGUUUCUUUUGUGAAUUACAUGAAUAUUAUGUUACUGCCUUUCUAUUAUAAGUUUAAUACUUGCUGUACUUGCUUGCUUGCCUGUUUUCUUUCUUGGCCUUACUGAGCGUUAGCUCACCCCUAUAGACACAAAAAUUUCAUUUAUUUGAUUUUUAGCUUUAUUUCUUAUUUAAUUCAAUGUUAGCAUUAUUUUUUAUUAUUAUUCCUAUUAUUCUUAUUUUAUUUUAUUUUAUUGAUUAAAUGAUAGUUAGUAUUCAUUUUUGCUUAUUUUUAUAAAAUAGGUUCAUAAUUUUUAUUUUUAAGAUAUUUUUGUAUUAAAAUUUUGAAAAGAAAAAUUUUCACAAAAAUAUGUUUUAAUCAUCUUAAAUUCAAUUUCUUUAAAAUAAAUGAAAAUCUUGCAAUGCAAUUUCAAUUAGGAAUUAGCAUUUUCUUUUUUUAUCUAAAUUGAUUUUGGAAAAUAAAAAUAUAAUAAAUAAAUAAAAAUAAGAAGAUAGGUGGAGGGUUUGCAUGUUGAACAACUGGGCUAAAGGAGUAUUAAACAAGUGUAUUAGGGAAGUAUUGGACAAGUGUUAGUGAAUGCAAAUAGGAUAAGUGUCCCCAUUUUAUUGAUACCACUUGUAAAGGGAGGGAGGUAGGUGGAAGACACUUGGGAAGCUUAGGAAAAUUGGAAGAAAAAAAGAAACACAAAAAAAGGGAAAACAAUAGAACCUACGGGCAAGAGCAAAACUAAGGGGGGGGGGAGAGAGAGAAACCAAGGGGGAAUGGAUUGAUAGUUUGGCGGCUAGGGUUGAGAGAAGGGCAGCGGGAAAGAAACUAGAAGAAGAAAGGCAGGAGUGAAAAAACAAGGAUUUUGGGGAGAAGAAAAAAGGAAACCGAGGGAGAAAGGGAGGAGCUUCGGGAAAGUAGGAGAAAAAGGAAAAAACCAGAAAGCAAGGGAGAAGGAAGGGCUGCGGAAAAGGAACAAACAGCAAGAAAGAAGGAAAAAGAGGAAGGAAAAAAGCGUUUUGUGGGAGGAGGUAUAGGGACGGCGACUGGGGAACCAGAAAAGAGAAGAACAAAGCAACAAAAACUAGAGAGAAUAGGAAGAUCGAGGGAGAUUCAAAGGGAGUGAAGGGAGUCUUUGAAAUCUGGGACAUCUCACGUUCAUUUUACUUCGUCAGGGUCGAAAGGUAACUAUCGUUUCUUCCUUGUUGAUCUAACAAGAUUUUAUGAGAACCCAAGCCCGGGGACAUGAAUCUUGGACUGUUUGUUGAUGGUUUGAACUUUCGUUGGUGUCAAAACUUUGCCAUGCUUGUGUGUUUGAUAACCUCUGAUUCGGUAGAAGGUCAUGGGAUGAUUGCAGGUUUGGGGUUUGGCAGGCUUGAACUUUACCAUGCUUGAACUUUUGAAAGGAAACGGGUUUGGAGUUUUCUAUAGUUUUUUUAUCUGAUGAAUCCGUGGGGUUUUGCCUGAGACAUGGCUGGUUUUUGUGUUUGAAAACGAUAAACCCAGAAGAUUGCAAAAUUUUCUUUUCUCGCAAAAGAUUUGCCUGUUUGUAUGAUGAGUUUCUGUAAUUUUGAUGCAUUCGAAAAUUUUGCAUUUCCUCUUCGUGGUUGAGCUUGUCCUUGUCUUUUCUCUGAUUAACUAUCAUGUUUAUGGUUGUUUGGUUUAGAAAAUGUCCAGUCAAAGUUUUCCUAGAAGGAUGGAGUCUUGUUUAAGUCAGUUUUUCGAACCUGUGGGUUACCCAUGAAGAUAGAUAGCAAACCAUCCGCUAGUUUGUAUGCACCGCUUUCUCUUGUCUAUUUCUAUUGUUUCAUGGGUUCUCUUUGUUUCAUGCCUUGCUCUGACUAACCUGCUGAAUGUUAAGAUUCUCUUUGAUGAAUGUGAGUCAUGCCCAGAAUGCAUACAACAAAAGUUUGCUGGUCUGCACUUGCAUUCGCUGAUGUGUUUCCCCAUUCCUUCUUUGAUUACUUGCAUGUCCACGUUUCUGUCCUUGUUCUCCUGGCUCGCAUUUGUUUGCAUUGAAGUUUACCAUUUGGUUGAUGAUUGUUUCACCAUGUCGGUUUCCAGUUCUCUAAGAGUAUAAAAAAUUUCGCUGUUCAUUUUUGCUCACUUGCUGUUUUUAUGCUCGCUCGAUAGUGUUGUUUUUUGCCCUCACUUUCCUCUUGCUGUGAGCAAGUUACCUUGAGCCCAUAAAGCAAAAACUUGGUCAAAAGUUGGGGGGAGCUUCCUGACUUGUUGCAGCAGUAGACAUUGUCCUGCAAUGCUGAAACGUUAGCUGCUCCAAGUUCAGGUCCCUUUGCUGAAUUUUAUGUUCAGCUUCCUUGUUGGAUUUUUUGGGGGGUAGACAAUUGCAUUUGGGCGAUGUUAACAACAUGGGUUGGAAGUUAUAGCAGUGGGGUUUGGUAAAUAAAUCGAUAGGCUUUACAUGAGCAUGUUUCGGCUGCAUAAGAGAAGUUGCAGAACGAAUGGUGGCUGGAAUCUGCAGAAAGCAUAAGCUUCUUCGUGGGUUUGCAUGGAAAAUUUUCAAAAAAAAAAUACAUUCUAAACCCUCAAGUUUCCCCCUGUUUCACUACGGCCCAAAAUUUGGAAAAACAUGAUCAAUUUUGUCACUUCAAAAUCUUAAUUGCUUUUGGCAUGUUUUAUUAUGAUCUUUGAGUAUUACGGCCCAAAAUUUGGAAAAACAUGAUCAAUUUUGUCACUUCAAAAUCUUAAUUGCUUUUGGCAUGUUUUAUUAUGAUCUUUGAGUACAUUAUUUGUAACUUUUAGGAUGAAUUUUAAAGGCUUAAUAACUUUUGAUAAAUUUAUAGUUUGAUUUGUUUUAGUAAAAUAAUUAGGAAUUUUGGGUAAUUUUCUUGUUUAACUUUUUUGUGAAUUUUAGCAUUUGGGUUUUGGUAGGUUUCAUCUUAAGCCAUAAAUUUUGUUUAAAUCCUUAAUUUUUGUAAUAAUAAUGAGUUAAUCCCUCAAACUUCUUUAAUUCUUUCAAUUGGGUCAUUGCUUGUCUUAAUUUGAUGAAUAUGGGUUGUUUACUUUCGUUUGAAUGCUUUAAUUGGUUCAAUCUCAUGUUUAUUUUCAUUUCUUGUGAUUAUUUGUUAAUUAAAGUGAUGCUUUGACCUUUUUCUUUGUUUUGGAGGGUACACAAGAAAAAUUUCAUUUUAUUAGGUCACCAAUUCAAGGGAGGUACACUCUAUUCCUUUAUUUUGAUUUUACUUUAUCCUAUGUGCUACUAUGUGAUUUUAUGUUUGUAAUUGCAUGUUUUUUUUAAUGUUUUUUAUUUCAUCUAUUUAUUUAUUCAUUUCAUUUGUUUUAAUUUUGUAUAUUUAUUUUAAUUUAAUUUUUAGUUAUUUGAGAGGCAUUUAAAUGCCAAAUUGUAAUAGUUAGGUUGUUAUUUCAUUUCAUUUCAUUCUUUCUCCUUUUAGAUUGUAGUUAGGGCCCCCAAAAUAGUUAGGUCUUUAUUCGCUUUAUUUGCUUUGUGUGUUUUGCGUGCUUGUGUGUUACGUGUUACUCGAUUUUUUAGGGUCUUGCAUCUAGAUAUCAUGCUUAUGUGCUACGUGUUUAUGUGAUCUUAUGUGUUUACUUGCUUUGGUUAUGUUUUAUAUGAUUGGUUUAGUUAUAAUCAAUGUGUGACGUCACCACACUAGUCCAACGCUAGUUGUGGCCCUAUUUCCCUUUUUUCUCACUAGUCCAAUACUAGUGAGAACUCAUAAACAUGGACUAGUCCAACGCUAGACUCUUAGGGACCGUUCACACGUUAGACCAUGUUUGUGUGAUAAAAUCACUACAUUUUCAUGCAUAUUUUUACUUUUUAGGUUUUUUUUUUCAUUUGGCAUGAUAUUUCCCCCAUAUGUAUGACCCUUAUCCCUUAUAUUCCCCAUAUGUAUAUCCCUUAUUCCAUAUUCCCCCUAUAUAUAUAUCUCUUAUCCCCAUAUGCGAUAGAUGACGUUAGACUUGCAUUUCAUUUAAGAAUUAGAACUAGGUUAGUACAUUUGCAUGAUUAGAUAGGAGAAAUACCCCUCGAAUAUGGGAUAUGGACGAGUUAAUUGGCUUUCUAACUUUAGCAUGCUCGUAUUCCCUCUAUAAAAAGGGAAAAUCUAGUCACGAAUCUUAGUUCCCCGCACCCGUACGUUAUGAUGUAUUCCUUUAGGUCAUGUAUAUGUGUAUAUUAUUAUUUUCCUUUCUUUUCUUAGAAUCUCAUAUUUUUGCAUAUUCGUGAUCUCUUCGAAGACUCAUUCUUGGGUAUCACAAUUAAUGUGAUUUGCACCAAUUAAGCUUUGAAGAGAUAUUUCGACUCCCCGAUAUCCUUCUAGGUUUAGGUUUUGUAUCCAUAUGUGAUAAAUUUUUAGGUUAAAAAUAAGAAAAUCUUUGACUAAAUCACGCAACUAGCUUUGGCUAGGUUGAAAGGGUGUUUUGGAUUUUAUCCUUGCCUUCCAUUUCUUCAAAUGUGACUCCCGAACACUUUUCUCUGAUUUUCGAAGACUUGGAAUCGUUUAAAAAAGGGUUUUCUCUACUUUUCAUUUUAAAAUUUAUUUUAGAUGACUUGGUACACCUUAACUCAAUAUCAAGUGACGACUCCUUUUUUUUAUUAAAAAUCCUUUUUAAACUAUUAUUUUGGGGCCAAAACCGUCGCACUUUUAAGUCCCAUUUUGCUUUAUUUAUUUUUCUAAAAAUAAAAAACUCAUUUAACUCAUUUUCACUUAAAACAAACCAAAAUUCAUUUUAUAAAUUCGUAAUUUAAUUUUUUCAAAAAAAAUGGGGGCGCGACAACCCUCUUAAGUUUAUUUUUCUUAACAGGAAUUUGAAGUGGAAAGAUUUUGGAGAAGCUGGCUUUGAUUGUCCUUUGGUCCAUUUGGGGAUGUAAAUGAUUUAGUCAACUUUUGGUGGUUGUAUUUUGGAAAAAUUGAUGUAACUUUUGAAAAUAUUAUGAUGUAGAACUGGAUGACUAUUGAAUGAAGCGACUUUUCUUUAUAUUAGUUUUCGUAUUGCUUGAUUAGUUCUAAGUUAUACUCUUAGCUUGUAUCGAGUCCUGGUGAGAGUUAGGCAGGCGGCCCGCCGAAACCCUAGAGUUCGCCCUAAAGUGAAGUGGGGUCGUCACAGUUGGUAUCAGAGCUUUAGGCUUCAGAUCUUUGUAAUAUAUCCUAAACUUGAAAUUUAGGAUGUCGGACUGUGGGAUUAACUUGAAUAUUACAUGAAUUGGAGAACCUACUAUAUCCUAGUGGUUAAAGAGAAUUGUUACGUGAGAGUUUCUUAUAUGGAAUUGGUGAAAACAAAACUGAGAAAUUAUGUGGUGCUACAUCGAAAGAAAACAUUAUGUGAGAGAUUAGUAGUGAAAGAUUGAAUGAGAUUCAAAAUAUCUUUGUACUUGUAGGAAUGGAAGGAAUUGAUGCAAAUAUUGGUAUUAGUUAUAGGAGAUAAGAAACCGAGAUUUGCUAGUUAAUUCCAUAUAUGAUGGUUUUGAACCAAAACAAAAGCGUUUUCAAGGGAAUAAAAUGCAUUUUUCAUUUGUUUACCUACUAGAAAAUUUCCACUUUACUAAGAUGUAUUAGUUUUAUUUUCAAACGGUAGUUGGAAAUAACACCUAUGUGCUCCAAGUACUUUAUAACAUACCAAUCUUGACAAGUAUGUGAAUUCCACUUAAUUUACAAAACUAGAAAUUGGUGAGCAAUUGAUGAGUUUUGUUGGAUUUUUAUAUAUGCUGAACCCGAGAAAGAGGUUGAAGUUUUCUAACCAAAUCUUCCAAUUCUUGAAUGACACUGAUAUAUUCUCGCACCUGAAUUUCCCUAUGCUUUGAACAAGAAAUCCUUGAGUUUUUGGAAGAAUUGGGAACUCGGGCUCUGGUAAUGUAAAUCUUGAACUUGAUGAGAUUUUAUUACUUUGAUUGCUCUUCUUAGCAUUUUCAAAAAACUUAUCCAAGAUUUGAAUAUGAAAUUCUUGGUUUUCAAGGAGAGAGCUUAUCUUCAAGUGUAAGAACUGAGGGAGCUUUGAAGAUGUAGAGUGAUUGCAUCUGAGAGCCUGAAGUUAGUGUGACCGAGGAGUAAGAGAGUACUAAUGAUUUCGUAGAUAGUUCUAGGAGUUCCAUAACUGCAUUGACUAAAGGGAAAGACAACUAAGAGAUAAAAUGGAGAGGCUAAAGUUUGAUAAAAUGUAAUGACGAAGGUUAGGACAUGAAGGAUCUGAGUGCUAGAUCUAAAGCUGAACAAAUUGAAGAGAUUGGAAUUAUGAAGAUUGUCGUAGCCUAGGCGAGUAAAUCCCUGGUUAAGGUUUCUAUCGAUGGUUGUUCGAUUUGAAAUUUAAUAUUUAUCUUGAAUGUGUAUUGUGCUAGUACUGCAGACUUGCUUAAUUUCUGAUAUCUUUGGAUAUUUCUUGUUAUAUGUUUACUUGUACUUGUUGUGAUCGUAUACAUCAAUCUUGUGAAAUCUGAUAAUUGUACUUUGAAUUAUGAUUGACUUUGCAUCUAUGAUUACGUGAUCCUUGCCCUUUUAUACCUAUAUGGCCUUAGACUUGUGUGAGAAAUGGAAACCGGAGAAUGGCAUUGAGAAUAUAGGUAGUAUAGAGUACGGUUUAAAGAUAUAUGUUGAAGAUAUUGGUGUCUGAUCAUGAUUUGAGUUAGUCAUUGUUUGGGGUGCAAAGUAACUUGAUAAUUCACUUUAGUCAAUGGGACGAAUGAAUGUUAGUAUUGAUGAUUUAGUACUCUAUUUACGCUUGAACAUAAUGGUCUGUGUAUGAAGAUGAUCCAGGUUUAAGAGUUGUAAACUUUCACUUAUGUGUUGGUGAAAGACUUUUGUCCUAUGAGUAGUAGUUAAGUUUCAAUGAUCCAUGAGUAAACGGGAAUGUAAAUUGGUUCUUCGAGUCUUAGAUAUAAGCUAGAUAGUUUAUGAGAAGAAAUUUAAUCUAUCUUUUGACAAUGGAACCUGUUAUACCUGACUUUAAAAUAAUAAUAAUAAUAAUAAUAAUAAUGAUAUAUUCAAAAAUUUUCAAUUUGAUAAUAUAUUUCUUUGCCUUUCUACGUCUUUUAGAUACUGAUAUUUAAAUUUGCUAUAAAUGAGCUUGUAAAAGUAAUUUAAAAUUUUUGAUCUUGUUUUUUCUUGUUUAAGUUAUUUGGGUAAUUCUUUUGUACAGUAUUUUCAUGAAAUUUGAGUUAUAAAGAUCAUAUCUUUUAUAAAAGAAAAUGUUUUAUCCAAGUAUUUUAUGUCCUUCCCAUCUUAACUUUUCACUUUAGAGUUAACUAAGAGAGUCUCUUUGCAAACAACCAAGAAUUUAAGAAUUUAUUCUUAUGAGUGUUAUUUUGAAAAUUUUAUAUCUUUCUCUUAAAAACUUCAAACAUUUUUAUUUUUGUUAUAAAGUAUAUUUUCUUUGUGGAGAGGAAUGAACUCAAGAGCCUUAUUAUAUCUUAAGUAAGGUUUGAAUGUAUUGGAGUAAUUGACUAGAGGAGUAUGAUAAGAUAUUAUUGAGUUUAAGGUUUAUCCUUUAGUGUUUUGAUAUUUGUAUAUAUUUGUAUGGAACUGGAUGUGAUUUUUUUUAAGUUAUUGAUUACUUGAGAUUUCUUUCUAACCGUUUUGAAAGAUUAAUAGGGUUAAGACCCAGUAGGACAAAAUUACUGUGUUGUUAAGAUCUUAUAGAAUUUGAUAUACGAGACAUUAAAGUUCAUUGAGAGUACUUAGGGACCAUUGGAAUAUUGAGAUAAGGAUUACAUGAUUUGUUCUUGGAUUGGAAUACGUAGAUUGACAAAUUUCUUGAGGUGAUUUUUAUCACUUAUGAUUGGCUUAUUAAUGAGGUAAUUGAAUUUGCGAAAACUCAUGAAAAGAUUUAAGGAUACAUGACUUACGUGAUAUCUAGUAUAGAAUAGGUUUUACAAUUCUUAAGAACGGGACGCAGAAGAGAUAUCUGGAGUCUUCGAGCUAAGGUGAGAAUUUCGAGGACGAAAUUCUUUAAAAGGGGAGAGGAUGUGAUGAUCCAGAAAAUUAUUUUUCUCACCUCCCAACUAUUUGCAUCUCUAUUUAAAUUAAAUUUUUGUAAAAUUUUCAUUCAUUAAGUGAUUUACUUGUUAAUUGAUAAAUGAUUUUCUUUUACUUGCUUCUUUUAACUUUCGAGUGAUUAAUUUCGUGACUUAUUAGUGAAUUUGGCCAAAAUCCGAGAAAGAUGUGAGGGCUCUAAAAUUUUAUUAUUUUUGAAAGGUAAAUAACAAUGAUAGAAAUAUUUAUAUUAUGUGAUUUUUUCAAAUUUUUGGUAUUCUCAUUUAUUAAAAUGUCAUUUUUCAACUUAGUCGAAUUUUUAUUAUUAAUUUCCCGAUUAUUGUUGGGCUAGCAUUAAGUGCGAAAUUUUGGAGUGGUGACAUGGAAUUUAGUUUUAAGAUGAAAUUUAGAGCAUGUAGAGAUUUUAAAGAAAUAGAAAAAUGAUAGGAUAAUGUUGGAUGGAGGAAAUCUAGUUAUAGAUAAGAUGUCGCACGAGAAUGCGACACAUAAGCGAGUAGGUGAGAUGGUUCCCUACCACACUUUAAAGGAAGAAACUAGACUUGAGAGUUCAUUCUCUCUUUUCCCCUUCGAGCCAACCGAAAUUUUAGAAAGAGAGAGAGACUUGAGAGAUCUCCAUUUCCUCCUUCAUCUUACUCUUGAAGAUCACUUAAAAACCCAUCACCCACCACAAUUUUUCCUCUUUUUUUUCUUCUUCUCUUGUUGAGGGAGAGAGAGAAAGCUGAGAGAGAGAGAGAGAGAGAGAGAGACCAAGAAAGAAGGGACACCAUCUCUUAAAGUUAUAUCUCUAGAUGUUCUAGUGGUUAAAAUGCUAGUUUAGCUCUUAAUUUGUUGGUUGGAUUUGUUUGAAAAUUAACUUUUGAUGACCAAGGGUAAUUGAUUGAUGAAGCCCAUAUGGAUUUGAGUGAGUUUUGUUGACUAGAUGGUUGUUUUGUUGAUGAAAAUGGAAAAAAACCCCAUGCCCACCAAGUGUUUGAUCUUUUGUUAAGGGUUGUUUACAUGCAAAUUUUCAUGGUUCUUUUUGUUAGUAAUCUUGGCUAUAUAUUAUUUGAUAUGUUCAGGGAUUUGUUAUGGAAAAAAAUUGGGAAGAUUUGAUGGGAAAAAUAUUUGGAAAGUUCUUGUUAGAAAGUUUGCAAAAUGGACUGAAACUUUGAGUGCAUUUUCAAUCAACUUGUCAGAUUUUCUGGUACUGAUUGAAAACGAAUUAGAGUCUAAAUUUAUACCGUUGGAAAGCCCUUUGAGUGUAGUUUCAAUGCCACCAACGGAUUUUUCUACGUUGAGUUAUAGCCGUUUUCCCGAGAUUGCUCAAAUGCCCUAUUAUGACGCGACAGCUUUCUUGUGCCUCUGUGAUUGCCAUUUUUGACCAUGAAAAUGUGUAAACUGAAUUUUGAUGUUUUCAUAAGAAACGUAGAGCUAUGUUUGAGUUUCGAAACGCCAUAAACCAUUUCCAAUUUUGACUUGUGUAGCGUUAGUUAUAGCCUGAUUUCAAAACUGUGCCAAAGCUUUAUGACUGAGAAUCCGCGGAACAGGUUGCUAAAAAACCACUUUUCUUAAAUCCGUUGUAUCUUGGUGUUGGAAAAUCCGAAUUGACUUCUGCUUAUUGCAUUUGAAACUUGACUUGAAUUUCUUUCUGAAUUAUAAAUUUCAAAGGCUAAUUCAAUUCUUGUGAAUUUUUCCGUAUUUUCAAACUUUACUAAAAAUCAAGACUGUUUCUGCCCUGUUUUAAUAAAACGGCAAGUUUGAGCUGAGAAUCGAAUGAUUUUUGAUUGGAAUCUGAGAAAAGUGUCUUAUGGAAAAUUUUAGUACUUUGAAUCUAGUUUCCAACGGUGUAAGGUUUCCAAUUUUUGGACUUACCAAACUCAAGAUAUGAAUUUUCAAGUAUUUUCACAAAAAGCUGGAAAUUUUUGAUUUCCAACAAAAUAAACUUUUUUGAACUUCCGACUUUCUUUUGAGAUUGAUAGUUCAUUUUCAAACUUGAUUUCAUGGAUGAUACAAGUUCUCUUGUGACUUUAAACCUUCAUUUUGAAUCUUGAUUUUCGAUGGAGUAAAACACUUUUGAGGCAUUGUCCUAAGUUCUAAGCAAAUGAACUUUCUUCUUUGUAUGCUCAAUGACCUAGGGUAUCGUGAGUGAUGGUUGGUUAUAUUUCUUCAGGUGCUCAAGAGGGUUUCGAAAGAAAUCCCGGUGAGGAAAUUUAAAGAAAUUUCUUACUCACUUGCUUUUGAAAUUGGUGAGUUUCAAGUGCAUGACUUGUUCCACAAUACUUGAAUUGCUUCUUGUUGAAUAUGUGAAUUGGACGUGUUGAGACGAGUGUGUGCUUUAUCGCACCCGUUCUCUUUUACUUGACUUGAUAAUUGACCUGCUCGUACUUGACAAUUAUACUUGUGAUUGACUUAGCGUCGAUUUGAAAGCAAUCUCGUCGACUUAUACUUGAACUUGUGGGGACGCCCAAAACUAAUGGCUAGCCAUUCAACUCAAGCUAGCAUGGGUUUGGUUGAAGAGUUUGGUAAACCUUGGACACAUACUUGACUUGGAUAUACUCGAAUAAUAUUAAAAACUUGUGAAGACUUGCAGGCCCGGUAGGGGGUGUAACGGUGGACAGAAAUUUGGUGAAAAGUGGGGUUCUACGGACUUGAUACUUGCUCGGUUGACGAAGUGUCAACAUUUGAAAUUUUGGAUCAAGACCUUGGCAAAGCAGUGUGGAGUUAGCUCCUAAGAGCUUCUGUAUCCUUUAAUGAUUGUGUCUUGAUUUCUUUUGUGAAUUACAUGAAUAUUAUGUGACUGCCUUUCUGUUAUAAGUUUAAUACUUGUUAUACUUGCUUGCUUGUCUGUUUUCUUUUUUGGCCUCACUGAGCAUUAGAAUACCCCCGUAAGUUUGUUUUCUUUAGCAAGAACUUGAAGUGAAAAGAUUUUGGAGAAGCUGGCUUUGAUCGUCUUUUGGUCCAUUUGGGGAUGUAAAUGAUUUAGUCAACUUUUGGUGGUUAAAUUUUGGGAAAAUUGAUGUAACUUUUGAAAAUAUUAUGAUGUAGAACUGGAUGACUAUUGAAGGAAGCGACUUUUCUUUAUAUUAGUUUUCGUAUUGCUUAAUUAGUUCUAAGUUAUAAUCUUGACUUGUAUUGAGUCCGGGCAAGAGUUAGGCAGGCGGCCCGCCGAAACCCUAUGGUUCGCCCUAAGGCGAAGUGGGGUCGUCACAGGACUUGCAUGUGUGAACCACCAUGCACGUUGCAUAACAAAUUUUGCUCUUUUAUUAUUGGGAAAUAAAUGGCGACCACUAAACUAUUUCUGGCAUCUACUUCUAGCUACCAAACUAUUUUUCGUCUCAAUUUAAUCACUCAACUAAUUAAUCAAUAUACCCUUGGUUAUUUCAUUGGAUUUUGCUCUUAGUUUACAAAUAAACCAAACACAUGCAAAUCUAAGUGUCAAAAUUUAAGGGUAAUCAUAUCCGCUAAGUUUCUCAAUCCAAAUCUAGAAAAUCCAACAGCCACUAAACUAUUCCCCUCGUACUCUUUUGGCCAUUCAAAUAUUUUUCAUUUCAAUAUAAUCACUAAACUCUUAAAUCAGUACACUAGCAAUCAUUUCGUUAAAUAUUUCUGUUAAUGCUAAAGGAAUGAGUUCUAUGUGCAUUUCACAUACCCAAAACAGGACAAUUUCGUAAGGUCAAUUUUUUAGAUUUUUUCCCGUCUAGAGUUUUAGAUUUUUAAUUAACAAAAAAAAUUAGAAUGUUUAAUAGUUGAAAUUAGUAGAUUUAAUGAUAAAAUUUGAAUGAAAGAUCGGUAAUAUAAAAUUUAAUGUUAAAUUUAAUAUAGUAGAAGACGGGUUUUUACUUUAAGUGCAAGUUUAAUUCCGAAUUAUACCCGUUUUACUGCAAGCAUAUAGGCCAAAAUCGUAAUAUUGGGUAUGUAUCGGGUCGAUUCCACGAGGAGCAAUUAAAACAAUUAUUAGAUACUAAUUUACUCUAUUAUUUAGACUCACAAUAAAUUUGAGCAGAAAAUUCAGAAUUUAAUUCAACUACAAAAAUUCUUAACUAGAUAAAUGCAAUUUCACAAUAGGAGUAGAAUUCACUAAAUAUUAAGAUCUAGGGAUGUAGAUUCCACAUAUGACACAAAAGAUCUAAAACGAAUGAAUUUAACACUUGUUACUACUCUUGUUUAACCAAGGAUUCAUUUCCAACAAUACCAAAAUCACAUUCUCAUGAUAAUAAUGGGUUAAAACAGAUUAGUUUUUCCUAAUCUCUUGGUAAAUACUAAAUCUGUUUUGUGCGUACAUGAAAUGUAGAUUUCAUCCACUUGAAUGUAUUUCUAUUCUCAUGAAUAUACUACUCAAGCUCUACUUAUGUCAUUCCAUUAUUGUUACCAUUUCUCAAUGAGUAAAAACAACUAUAAACCUGCUAUCGGUGAUCAAACAACAACAAGUAAUCCCACAUACACAAGUAGAUAAGUUAAUACAAGAUAUAACAAGUAUAAAUCACAAUCACUUCAUAUCACUUGGCCAUAAGUUUCAUCUACUCCCUGGAUAAAGGAAAUUAGCUACUCAUGAAUGAUGAAACACUCAUAACUUCAUUAAUGUAAAUCAUCAUGAAUUACAAAUACAAAAAGAGUAAAGAAAGUCUUAGCCAAGAUAUGGUGAAGCCUUCCAAAAAUCUCCUUUGUCUUGAACUUAGAUGAUUACAAGAUGAAACCUCAAUUGCCCCUUGCAAGUUUCCAGCUAGAGAGAAUAUGUUUGUUAGUAAGAAUACUAGCUACCGAUGGAUGUCAGACCUCUCCCAAAGUCUUUGCAUAAAAACUGCUCAAAGGCUCCAUUUUUCCAAGUCAAAUUCCAACCCUUGAUUCCCAAAUCUCCACUUUGUUAUCAUAGUCAAUAACCAAUGUUUUUGACUUGAAAAUAUGCCACCUUUCUUGCCCUAUUGUCUUCUAAAGCAUGUGCACCGAAUUCCCUUGCAUCUUAUAGCUGGAAAGUGGUAUGAACACAAGAGAAAUGGCUGAGCAAAUUGCAGAAUUUCGGCUACAAAACGCUGCAUCAACUCGCAUUUUGUCUACUCGCGUUUUCACUCUGGCCUUAUUUCAACUACAAAUUUCUCCAUGAUAAAGGCCGAACUAACUUUUGUACAAAACAAGAAAGUUGUAGCCCUUUGAGUUAGCUUUCCAAAUCUUUAAGAAUCAUCCUAAUCGGAGUUUUGUAGCCUGAGAUAUGAUUGAAAUACUAUGACCUGGUCAAACCUCUGUUUUAACUUUCGACCACAGAAUGCAGCUUCUGUAUUCUGACUUUUUUUCCAUGAAAAUGGCAGAAUUUGAUUUCGAUGUCUUCAUACGAAUUGUAGGUCUCUUUCUUACCUUUAAAAUGGUAUAAAGAACACCUCAAUCGGCUAAGUGUAGCUCCAUAUAUGGUCGAAAUACCGAAGAGUGUCAAAACUGACUUGUAUUGCAUUUCCUCACUUGAACGUUUUUCACUUCAUUCUUCUUGUUACCACUUAAAUUCAUCACCAAAUAUCUAUUUUUCACCUCAUUUGACAUCCUUUGGUGAUUGAAUCAUCAUUCCUGCAUAAAAAUGAAAUUUUUACCAUUAAAAUCAAUAGAAAUGCAAUAUUAUCCACUUUAACCAAAAAUAUAUAGUUUUACCAAAAACCUCUUUAUUUUAAUUAUAAAACUAAAUAAUCAACUCAAAAUUAACUAAUAAAAUGCACUUAAAAAUACGUAAAAUAAACUCUUAUCAGUAGAUUUAAUGAUAGUAGAUUUAAUAUAGUAAAUUUAAUAUAGUAGAUCGCUAAUUUAAUAGAUUUAAUGAUAAAAUUUAAUAGUUGAAAGGUCGCUUAUUUGGUGAGUUAAGUGACCAAUUUGAAUGAAAGAUCACUAAGAAUAUAUUAUCUGUAUAGUUCAAUAGCUAUUUAAGAUUUUUGUCUCAUAUCUUUGGAUGAACUCGCCUAUAGUUUUUAGUGUGUGCAGAGCACCUGCAACUCAUUCCAUUAGGUUUAACAUCGAAGCUGGACAAAACGGCCACUAAUAUACAUAUUUGUGAGUUGAGUGGUCAUUUUGAUUAAAAAAAAAUAAAUGAGUGGUUUAAAGUAUACUAUUAGAGCAGUUUAGUGGCUGUUGAAAUUUUUUAUCUUCAAGUCGAGAAACUUAGUAGAUAUAUUUACCCUUAGAUUUUGACACAUGAUUUGCACAUGUUAGGUUUAUUUUGUAUAUUAAGAGCAAAAUCUAAUGAAAUGGCUACAGUGUACUGAUUAAUUAGUUGAGUAGCUAAAUUGAGACAAAAAAUACUUUGAUGGUAAAAAGUAGAUGCAGGAAAUAGUUUAAUGGCCAUCGAGAUUUUUGGCCCUUUAUUAUUUGCCUUUUAGCAAUAUUUUUCAAAUUAUAUAGUUAGGAAAACAGAAUGAUAACUGGAUACAAAAAGGAGUUUGCAUACUCUUUAGAAUAUAAUAACCAACCGUAAAUUAAAUGUAAAAUGCCUUACUUUUUUUUUAUAUACGAUACGCUUUAUGUUGUAAUAGAAAGUUCAGGGUUUGACUUAUUAAGAAGGAAGAAUAGUUUAAAGAAUAGAGUAAAUCUUAUAUAUACACUAAUAAAAUAUACAUCAUCAUUGUUCGAUCCAUAACAUAUAUAUAAAAAUUGAAUUUCAAAUUCAAAUUUUUCUUAAUUAUCACUCAUCCAAUACUGACAGUGUAUACAAUAUCAGUAUAUGAAAGAUUAAUUCUAAAAACUAAGGUAUAAUUCCAUUUUCACCCUCUAAUUAUUUCUCAAAUCUCUUUUUGGUCCCUAGAUUAUUAACUAGGACAUUUUGUCUUUAAACCUAAGCAAAAUCAUUAACAAAUCUCCGAAACUAAUAGGAUAGUAGUCAAGUGAGAAGCAUGUUUGCAUGUUGUGAGGGUAUAAAAAAAAUAAAAUUAAACAAGCCAAAAAAGAAUUCUAGAAUUAGAGGGAAAAAAUAAAUUUACAAACCAAAGUAGGAGUCUGAGCAUAGCCAAGAACUAAAGUGUCUCAAUUUAGAACUUAGGGGCCCAAAAAAAUUUAUAGCUUAGGGAUCAAAGUAGAAAUCAUGGUAUGGAUUAGGGAUUAAAGAAUUAAGGAACAAGUAGGAAUCAAAAUACAGUUGAAGAGUGCAAUAUGAAAUCAACCAAAAAAAAAAAAACUCUUAAGAGCAUAACAAGGUUGAUUUUGUAAUUAAAAUCCAACUUGUACCUUCGGGAUUAAUGUUUAUUUAGUAUGAACCCAUUCAAUGAAGGACGUAAGUAUAAACUUUCAAAAACUCGAAGGGUGCUACAUGGAAGGUAGUAAAAGAUUGUAUCGUGUUACUACCUUUACAGUCUGAGAAGACAAUAUACUCGGCACCACAUUGUUCUCUUUCUCUCUCUUGCUUCAUCGUUCUUCUCUCAAGUUUUCUUGCCUGCUGCUUUGCAUCUCGAGGAGCAUAGAAGCUUUGUUCUUUGCUAGGUACUUAUGAUGCACCUGUUUCUCAAUUCCUGUAGUCCACUUUAUCAUUACUUGAUUUUAUCCUAAAAAUGUUGUGGGCUAUCAGUUUCAAAGGUUUGUUUUUCAUAGUUUUGGGAGAAUCCUGUGCUGUUUGCUUACAUGUUACUAUCCUCCAAAUAUUCAAUCUCGGUUUGGUAGAGUAAGCUGAUAAUACGUGAGAUUUCUCUUUUGCUUAGAUCUGCAAUAAAAAUUCCAGGUUACAUCCAUUUGGUAAUGUCAUACUAAUGCAAAUUUUGUUAUUCUUUCCUUUGGGGAAAGAGCGGGAAUUGUUCCCUGAAAUGAGAACAUUUCCUUGCAGAAAUACUCUUUAAGAUUCCACACCUAAGACUCUCCCAAAAGUAUUCCCAAAGUAACACUUGGUGUCUUGCAGCAGGAAAUUAGUAUCUCCACAAGGAGCAACUAGAAAAAAAACUUUUGUGCCCAAUAAUUCAUAUUGCUUUAGAAAUUGUAUAUGCUUCUGAAGAAAGUUCUUAAGGUAAUCUUGUGCAUGACAUUUCCUGUUUGACAGUCUUAAAAUUAAAAAUUCAAGUUUUAUACAUAUUCUUACCUUAAAAUAAGCAAAUAAACGUAGGUUUUAGUCCACCAAAAAAAAAAAAAAAAUUGUGCCGGGCUUUGUGGAUCAAGGGAGUACUUCACCAUAAAAGCAAUUAUGAGUCCUGUAAAAAGCUCAUCUUUUGUUCAGCUCUUCAUUAGUUUGGCACUAAAAAGUUGUUGAGGAAUGAACGUCAACAGGAUUGUGCGAUACAACCAACAAUAGUGGGAGGGAAGAACAUGGAUACAGAGGGAAAGACGGAGAGUGAGAAGAUGAAUAAGGCAAUCGCGACGGCAUAUGAUGUCCAUUCCAAAAUACUGGAGGAAAUAGCUGGGGAUCACUUUCACAUCGGCUUCUAUGACUCUAGCACCAUUAUCCCAGGUACUGAUGUCCAUUCUGCUCAGACUCGUACAAUUGAGGCGGCCCUUCGUUUUGCCUCUGUAUCAGGUAACUCCACCCCUCCCUCCUCUGCUAAAGUAUAUGCAUUGACAGCUGAAAUUACGAAAUGUAACUGUACUUUGCACAGCUAAGCUUUUCACUGGGUUGGAGAUGCCCAUUAAGUUUCGAUUCUUGACUUCGUUUUGUCAUUUCCCAUGACAAUCAACUUGUUUUAGGCCGAAGAUGUAGGGAGUCAGACCGGUAGGCAAGGCGAUGAAGCUUUGGAUAGAAUCUUUCAUUCAUGAAGUCAACAUAUUCAAAGUCCUAAAGAAUUAAGACUGAGGGUAAUCCGACGCUUUUAAUAAAGAAACUUUUGGGCAAUAGAAGAAAUUUAGGGGCAGAGGUUUUGAUCUCAAAGCACUUUUAGCCAAGUUCAAAAUAGUGAUUUUGAAAUAACUUUUGUGUCUUGAAAAAAAUAAAAUUUGACCACCUUAUCAUGAAUUUUGAACCAAAUAAAGUGAUAAAUAUAUUUCAAAUAAAAAAGACACUUGUAUAAUUAUGCACUCGCGCAAUAUAAUUAGAAACUUAAUAAGUACUUUUUUCAAAAAAUCUACCAUGUGAAAUAUUUUUUAGUAAGCUUCCGUAAUCCCAAAUAGGAACCUUACAUUGCAGAAUUAUCUAAGAUGAAAUAUUAUUCCUCGGCCAAUAGCAUUAGUCAUGAAUCUUAUUUGAAACAAGAAAAUCCUAUACCAUGUGAUAAACGGCUUAUAUGAUAAACGCAAACUAAAUUAUGGUUCAUCUUCUUUAUUUUAGAAAUUCUCAUAUUUAUAUCCGUCACUUAUAUAUAUCGUGAUUUUCAAUAGCUUUUUGUAAGUAAACUCUUUAAAAUAUUAUUCCUUCACCAAUUCCAUUAGUCAUGUAUCUUAUUUUUCGUAUCACAAAAUAUUUGUUACCUUUGAAAAAUCAACACAUAAUUACAGUGGUAUCACUCAAAAUUGGGUUAAUUACAAUUACCUUCAAUGAGAUUUGUCCUAAUUAAAAAAUAUAUAUCUUGUGAUUUUAUCAUAUCACAGCCGAGUCCCGUGAUAGCAAAACAUUUGUCAAAUACGCGGCCUCCUCACAUAAGAGUUGUUAGAAUUGCUUCUCAAAAUCAGAUAUUUCCAAAAGAUCCUAAGUACUCAUUUGCAAUUCAAGCCAAUUACAAAAUUUUGCCGUUGAAGUUUGUUCAGUUUUCUAAACUAACGUUAUGGUAUGUGCAAAGCACAAUCCAACAUUUUGAAUACAUGUAAUUUUGUCAAGUAGCCCUCUUCCCCACCCCACCUAACCCCUGACCGGCCCCGCCGCAAAAAAAUGAAAAAAAUUAGUUAGUUGCUGUUAACUUGAAGUUAUGUCCACAAUUAUUAAAUCUAAUGAAGCCAUCCAGCUUGGGGUAAGGGCUAAGUCAGUGGGAUCGUGGUUGAACUAGUAAGUCACUUAUUGAAUUGAUGGAAUUCUAUAAAGUAAUAAAAUAGUAUAAUGAAGUUAUUGGAAAUUAAAAAUAUGAAAAAGUAAAAAGAUAAAAGCUAAUAUCUUUACAAUAAUAAAGGUUGUGUAGAUAGUUAAUUUGGUGUUAAUUUUAUGCAUUUUCAAAUUUACCCUUAUAUCUAUUAUUCAUUAACCCUUAUUUCUAUUAUCAACUGACACAUAAAUCUUAUUCAACCAAAGUUACCUGUCUCCAAUUUUCACGUUCUCUCUAAUCAACAGUUUUUAUUACUUCCCAAACCAUCUUCUAAAGAUAUCCAUUCUUCUCUAGUCAAUCAACCAUUUCUCCCAAAUCUUAAUGCCGCUUCAUAUGGUACAUUGCUGUAUAAUACACUUUUGAUUAUAUAUUACAUAAAAUAGUUAUAUUUACUUGAGCUAUUUAUGUGAUUCUUUCAAUUAAAUUUUUUUUUGAUAAAUUGCACACACAUCGAAUGUGUCUCGAUAGCUACUAUGGAUAACUCUAACUUGUAUUAGCUUGAAUAGUUUAACUUUUAAAUCACAUUAUACUUGUCCCAAUAAUGUCAUAUUUGUGCUUUUAUAUUAUAAUAGGUACAAACUAUAGUGUAGUAGAAGCAUGUUUGGCAGUUCUAAUAAAUCUAUCGAAAAUUUUGAAAUAAUGUGUAAAUAUAUAGAAAAGGCCAUAGCAUUCUCGCUUGAAAGAAAAUUUUUUGCUUAUAAUAGUAUUUUGGGAUUACCUCUCAAAUAAAAUUUUUUUCAUUUUUCCCCCCAAAAAUGCCCAGAUUUUUGGCCUUCCAAUUUAACCGCAAGCCUUCACCGAGCUUAAACGAAUGCCUGCCUUAUCCAGCUAAUCGGUUUAAUUAGACCAGCCUAGUCCCAUGGCUGGUAGUGGCUGUCAAACUACCAAAAAUAAAAUUUAUAAUGAGACCUACUUCCAAAACUGAAUGAGUAUAGUGAUGAGUAGGGUCGUCUCCUCAAGCAACUGAUAAAUUUAUCACACACAGAGAAUUUCGGGGAUUUUAGGAAGGAAAAUAAAAAUAACAAAUUAAAGAUUUAAGGUACUGAAUUUAAAUUCGCAAGAGUGCAGUAGUUAAAGAAUAUAAUAAACAACUAAUUGACAUGACCUAGUCAAGAAAAUAAUUUCGGCAUCGAUUCACGCAAUUGAUCAUAGAUAUCAAGAAUAAUUCACAUGCUUGCAAAUAAAUUGGUUCUAGCAAUUUAGCAAUCGCCAAACUACCAAUCUCUCCUUAAUUUUACAGUAGUCCAGAGACGCUCUUAAACUACUCCCUUGUAAAAUAGCUAACCCUAGAGACGUUCGAAAGAUUUAAUCUAUUCACAUCCUUACGAAUUAGAGAGACCCAAUUCUAGUUAACAAAUACACAUGCGGGUUCAUUUAAACUAGAUUAACUAUUCCUAUGACCCAGAUUAGACUGCUUACGAGGCAAUGAAAUUGUGUCGUUUACCACUAAUUUAAGACAAUCAAGUGAUACGCACCCUUGUCCUAAUUGGCAGUAUACUAUUCAGAUAAUUGAACAACUGGUCACAUUGAUCCAAUAAAUCCAAACAAUAAUAGACUAUUAAAACAAGGAAUAAUCAAAUACUCACAAAUGCAGAAUUUAAAAUAAUUAAAAAAUCUCACAAUUGUCCGUGCACCGGGUGUUGUUUGUUCCUCAACUAGAUAAAGGAACUAGCCUUGCCUCAUAACGAUGAAGCAAUUGAAAACUUUCAUGGAGUUUUGUUGAUUGAAAAACAAAGAAGUUAAAAAGACGCGGCCGCUAGUUUUCUAACUUAGGUUUAGGAGGAAAAAAAAACCAAAUAAAGACUCCAGUUACCAGAUAAGAUACUAAUCUAUCGCUUGUCCUAUUUAUAGUGUCUCCGCCGCUGCCAAAUUCGUUAAUCGAGGUGCUUGUUCCUAUAAGGAUUCCCUUUCUUUAUUUCUCUUCUUUAGUUGUUGCCAAAAGGGACUCUGAAGAUAUUUCCUAAUUCCACGCAACUUCAAAAUACGUCUCCCAAGAGUAGCGGCAGCAUCCAGGAAUAGGUCACAAGGUCCGUCUUUUUAACGUAAUUCUACGGUCUUUGGCGUGGGCACGCUCUGGAAUGACUAGUCUUCUAGAAAUUUGUCUCUUUUUACCACUUUUGACACCAAUUGCCUGCAAUAGACGCAUAUACCAAUUAUGAGCAGAAACCUAUUACUCUUGGACAAUAAGUGGCCAAAAUCAAGAUUAAACAUCAACAAAUAAAAUGCACAAUUAUCUCACUAUCACUGGAUCACCUUGUUAAUUGAUUUAUUUAGCAAUGUUGAUCAAGUUUAAUAACUAUGCUUUUUAAACAAAGUCAGUAAAAUUGGCAAAAUAGCUAUUACCUUAGUCCAUUCUCCCUUCUAUUAUUGCGGUUGACUAUAAUUAGAGUCGGUUUUAGCAAAACCAAAGCCACAUGAUUUCACUAGCAAUAUCCGUCGGUCAUUGAUGUCUGGUUGCAUGGACCACCAUUUAAUUGUCCUCGAUAUUAACAAUUUUUCUUCAUGUUUAUUUACAGGUAAACAAAAUUCUUUUUUAAAUUAAAAUAUUUGAGUUUAAAUCCCAAAAGAGAGUGAUGCAUCCAAAUUACUCUAUUGGUAUAUUACACAUAAAUUUUAACGCUUCUAUGCCAAAAAAGCGUUCUAAUUGGAGACCGAAGUAGAAAUUCAAGAUAAAUACUUAUUUAGAGCUAAGAAAGAAAAUAAAACUUUCAGUUCAUGAUAAAAUGGACCAUUUUCAAUUAAAGCACCAAAUUCGACACCCAAAAGGAUAUGCAGAUGUAGAUGAGGAUAGUAAACUUGGGAAGGAUCUGAGCAAUAGCUGUUGUAGGCCUAUAGGCAUAAGAAAAAGAAAAAAAAAACAGAGAGCAAAUUUUUUUUUUUGGUCUUUCCUUUUCUUUCUCAUUUUUAAGUAGUUUUAAUUAUACUUUAGGGCAAAAUACACUUUACCUCCCUCUGAUUUAACAAGUUUUCACAUAAUCCUCCUAAAGUUUCAAAAGUUAUAUAUAACCUCUCAUAGUUUGAAUUAAAGUAUCAAAAUGACGGAAAUGAUAAUUUAUAACAGAAUCCAUAAAAAAUGUUGAAAUUACUCUUUUUUAAAAAUUAAAAUAGUUGAAGUAACUAAAAUAUAUAAAUAUAAUAUGCAUAACACUCUAACCCUACAUGAUUUUAUGUUUUAUUAUAAAACCCCCUUAUGGUUUAGUACUUUACCGUAUUAUCCCCUUAUAGUUUUCAAAAUAUAUGCAUAAUCUCCCGUAGUUAAUAAAUAAUUUUCAAAUUUACAUAGUGGUUCUUUUAACAUUUUAGUUGACUCCAUUGUGGAAUGUAAAUUCUAUCAUCAUUUUGACACUUUAAUCAAAAUUAUGAGGGAUUAUGUAUAACUUUUGAAUCAUAGGAGGUUUUGUAAAAAAUGCUAAACCCCAGGGGGUAAAAUGUAUUUUGCCCUUUAACUUUCUUCACAAAUAUUUGGCUAUUUAAAAAGGUUAGAUCACAAAUUGGUCAAAUUACAAGAUUAGUAUUGUAAAUUGUACAAGCCAGAAGCAAUGUGAAUAUAUAUUAAGCAUAGACUUUUUUUUUUGAGCAAUUAUAGGCUAUUUCUGCAGUUGAUACUCUAGGUUUAGUUCAUGAACACCUUGGAAAAAAAAGUGGUUUGAUUCUUUUUCAACGCGUUUAUUUUCUUUCCUAGUGAAACAUGCUCCUUAUAAUUUCUAGUUUUUCUCCUCUCCAACUUGGCUAUUUUUUUGUUUCAUUCCUUUGUAGUGGUUAACUAACCGCCAUUGUUUAUCAUGGGAUAAUAUGUAGAGGAUCCAUCUAAGAAACCAAGAAACAUACUUGAUGUUGGAUGCGGUAUUGGUGGCAGCACCAGGUACCUAGCAAGUAAAUAUGAUGCUCAAGUUAAAGGCAUCACCCUAAGCCCUGUUGAGGCCGAAAGAGCUCGUGUUCUAACUGCUUCCCAAGGAUUAGAAAGCCAGGUUUGUAUGAAUAUAUGCAUUACAAUUUCCAAUCUAGUCUACUUCCUACUAGAAUAUGAUUUUCUUAUUGUUUCUCACUUUGCAUUCUUACUUUUGUUUUGAACGAUUAGCGUGCUAAAAUUGUUGAAUUGCCAAACCACCCUAGCCGCUUACACUUUUAUGUAAGUACAUAUUCUGAUUUUUCCAAUUAUUAAGGAAUAAUGACAGAAUAUAUGAAUACCACCACUAUGAUUUUGGAAAAAUUGGUGAGUGUAUAUAUUUAUGAAAAGGACGCACUUUUUAGAUUUUGACUAUGUAUAAAAGAUACUUGUAUUCACUUUUGUAUAUCAUGCGGACUUGUUUGUGCACAUUUACCAGUAAAUUUUGUGAAAAAGUUGCUACAAUCAUUUUUCUUAAAUUCCCCAAUAUUUUCUUUAAUAGAAAGCAAGACUUGUAUCUUCAUGGAAUUUAUGCCAAGUCUUAAAUUUAGAUCAAGCUGUACUUCAAUUAAAUUUAGUAAAAUAACUGGGAACUAGGUUCCUUUACACAUGAUUACCAUUGGUUUCCCUUCCAAAUUCCAAGUAACUGCCACCAUGACACUAGCUAGAAAGAAAAAUUAAGAAGAAAAUUUUUAAUCGUGAUCAAGAUAUAUCAGUAGUGUUUCUUUCUUUCCCUAACAACUGCUGAAACAUACGUAUCAGGUCUCUUUUGAGGUGGCAGAUGCCUUGAAUCAGCAAUUUGAAGAUGGUGCAUUCGAUUUAAUUUGGUGUAUUGAAUGUGCAGAUCACAUAAACGACAAAACCAAGGUUUUCUUUUUCUUUUUCUUUUUUCCUUCUCGCAGCUUCGUUAAUUUACAAUUACUAUUCCUCUUUAUUUUGGUUCUUUUCAUUCUUUUCCAAAAGAUAUAUAUAUAUAUAUAUCUUCUUGUUGAAUGUACGUAUCACAUAAAGGUCAGUAACAUUAAAUUCUGCUGAUGCUAUUUCCUGUUGAUGUAGUUUGUUCAUGAGAUGAGUCGGUUGGCUGCCCCUGGUGCUACUAUUAUUUUACUCACUUGGUGCCACAGGGAUCUUUCACCCCUUGAACAGGAUUUGCAUCCAGAUGAGAAAAAGUUACUGAACCAAACGGAGAGUGGAAACCGUGUUAAGUGGAUUUCUGCUGCCGAUUAUAUAAAUUUAUUCAAGUCAUGCUCUCUUCAGGUAUUAAUGGCAGUUGACUUUUGCUGCUCAUUUAUUCGAUCACUAUCAUUAUCUUUCUUCAUUUCCGCAUUUUCUUGAUUUUUUAAGUCUCCUGUUGUUAAUUAGGAUAUCAAGUAUGCAGACUGGUCUCCACACGUUGCUCCACAUUAUGCAGAAAUGAGGAAGUCAACGUUGUCAUGGAAGGGAAUCAUGUCGUAUAUUAGACAUGUUGGUAAGCAAUGUCUAUUUCACUCGCAUAUAUAGCCGAUUCAGUACCAUUAUCUAUCUUGUAAUCAAUGCAUACCAUAUUUCUUAACCAUUUCUUCAUCUUUUCUCAAUUUCAAUUAAUAGGAUGGAGGCAAUUGAGCAUCAGGGCGCUGAUGAUGCCGUCAUUGUUCGACAGAUUCAAAAAUGGUCAGCUUAAGUAUUGCAUUCUUACGUGCCAGAAGCCUAGGUAAUUCUAGGGAUGUUUAAUGUCCUUGUAUAAAUAUCACUCCACAGUCGAUAAUUUGCACUUAUGCUUUUCUUCCUCGAAAGCUAAUUUGUCUUGGAAUUGGAUUCUGAUUUGUGCUUAUUUGAACAGUUUUCAACAAUGUUUUGAAACUCGGAUCAUUAAUUGAACCGGCGAAGUGAUCAAGUCAAUAUUCAAUCAUUUGGAUCGGUUCAAUCCUAAUUCGAUGAUUUUAUACACACACUUAUGCGAAGAAUAACUGUGACAGUCCCACCUCACCCUAAGGCGAACCAAAGGAUUCGGCGGGCCGCCUGCCCAACUCUCGUCGGGACUCAGUCGUUCCUCAAGCAAAAUCGAAAUAAAACCACAGGAAUAACUAUAGCAACAAUCCAAAACUUAAAGCAACUUAUGUACAUCCAUCUCAAAAGAAGUACAACCACCACUAUACAAAGGUUCUCAAUUCCUCAUACAUCCAGCCCGGGCCAAACACUAGGGCGAGAACCAUUAUAAAAGAAAUUUCAAAGAACUAGACCAAGCUAGUCUAUACAGAGCUCUCGUCCUUGCUCGCCUUCCCCUGUUAAGGAAAACAAAACUAAAGGCAUGAGCUAAAAGCUCAGUGAGCUUCCGAACACAUAAGCAACAAUAAAGCCAAUGUAUUAACCAUAGAUAACUAAUAAUUCAAGAAACAAGUACAAUGGAAAGCGAUAAACAUUCAUUAAAAGGAUACGGGCUCACAGGGAGCCAUAUAUUCGUUCGUUCGUUCAUUCUCCUGUCAUUCCUCUUAUUCCUCCAGUCAAUUAAAUAAAAUACAUUUUUGGUAAAUAAAACCCUCGUUCGUUCUUUUGUUUCGUUCACCCCCUCCUGGAAAUUGGCCAGGCCCCACCAGACUACAAGGUAAUACUCGAGUAUACCAAAUUCACCCAGGGUCACCAUAUCGCUCGACCGAGUCCACUUCUGUCUCGAGUCGAUCGGUAACGAAGGGCAGGGCCCAAUUCAGCCAAAAGGUUUACAUCAUGCGCAACUAAUGUAGCAAUCAUUAAAUCAUUGAAAAUUUCACGUUUCAUUUAGGUCGAGAGCGGUAAAGUACACGCUCGCCUAGAAAACUCGUUUUGAAAAUUCUUGAAAGCACUUAACACAUUAUCAAACAAGAACACAAGUCAUGAAGUCAAGAAAAAUAUAGCAAACAAGAAACACUCACCUAAUUAUGCAAAAUAACGGGUAAAAUAUCCUUCCGGAUAUGACCCUCAGUCACCGAGAAAACCUAAAAUUAAACGAGAGAGAAUAUUACAGUUCAUCGAGCAAACAAGUAAAUGAAAUCAAAGAAAAACCGGCAAAUGAUAAGUAAAACGUAUAAAGACGCCUUUAUAGUGAAAAGGGGAUAUUUGGACCGGAGGACGGAAAUAACUAGAGUUUCAUAAACCAAACGCAAAACUAACUCAAACGGGUUAUAAAAUGUCAGGCGGAAAACACUUGGACCAAAGACAACUCGGACUCCAACGAGAUAGGCUAAAAAUAUUGUUUUCGGAAUCGUUUAGAUAGUUCAAAAUCAACUCAUACCCAAGCAGCUAGUAUAGACUAAACGUCAUGGUAAAAAUCAUGUGAAAAGGAGGACAAUACUACCUUACGUUCACACUUAAAACCUCACUUAAAAGUGGUUCACUUAUGGCCGAGAAAACCCUAAAUCAUACCUCUAUAUUUUGGGAAGGAGUAAGUAGCAUUUGAAGUUUUAAACUAAAGAGGUAUCAUGUUUUAAAAUGGAAAACCGGUCAUGGUAUUGGCCAAACAAAAGUAUACAAGUUCAAAUAGAAACUUAGCCCUCGAGCGAAAAUUUGGGCAACACGCCCUUUGUAUUUACCUAUUUCCCAACCAUUUAUGACUUCAUUAUUUUCUCUAUCAAUUCCAAAGUCAUACACAAUAUAAACUCAUUAUAAUAGCCGUUCCAUAGGCUCCAGAUCAUACAAGUACAAAAUCAAGCUAAUGACAUGUGCGGAAAUGAAGUUUAGUUUGGAAAACAAAAGACAGUUUUAACGUUACUUAGCGGAACAGACGUAACAGGAGCUACACUUAUCGGAUUGAGGUGUAAUUUAUACCGUUUCGAAGCUAAGAUAAAGGGCUACAAUUUUUAUGAAGACCACUCAGUCUAGUUCGUGGUGUAGCUAGGUCAAAAUUCCAAUGUACCAAACCAGAAUCGCAUAAACAGGUCAGCUAACCGCAUUAUGGUUAAAUGAUCAUAUCUUAGGCUACCAAAGUCCAAUUGAGGUGUUUCUAGGGCCGUUGGAAAGCUAAGACCUAGUACUACAACUUUCAUGUUUUGGUCAAGAUCCAAUUCGGUAAGGAUCAGAGUGAAAAGGCACGGUCAGACUGGGAGAAAUGUCCACCCUGUCCAGCCAACUAUUCUUGUGGCAGUUUGCGGUAUUUCUGACUUUUCUCAGGCUACACAGCUCGGAUUGGGCUGAAAUUUUAAGGCAACUAUAAAACACCAUUUCCUACAACUUUCAUGUUUUGACCCAAAGCUAAUUCGGCCUCUAACCUAGCCAAACAGAAACGGGCAGAACAGGGUCAUAUGGAACCCUAAUCUGGAAUUUGAGUUUCAAACCAACAAUUUUGCACAAUCAAUCAUUUCCAACACAUACCAACUCCAUCUUACACUAUAACAAACCAUUAAUCCAUGGUUAACCAACACUAAUCAUAUGAAAUCAGAAAAAUCAUGAACAAAAGAAAAAUCCAUCAAUCUCAACCAUAGGUCAUGGAAUCAUCCAUAAAAUCACUUAUUCAACCACUACAAAUCACUAAUUGAACAUUAUCAAGAUUAAAGGAAAGGUUCCUUAGUCACUUACCUUGCAAACCCAAGAAAAGACCCAACUUAGCACCUUUGCUUCUCAAACCACUUCACCACACACUUUAAUCCUACCAAGAGAAAGGUUUUUAUGGAGCAAAUCAAGGUUUUAACGGUUAGUUUGUGAGAUUGAGCAAGAAAUAGAAGGAAGAAAUUGGAAGCUUUUCCUCUUUUUUUUUCUCCAAGAAGUUCGGCCAAGAGAGCAUAAGAAAUGGAAAAGUUUUGGUCAAAAUUAGCUUUAAGAAGGAAACAAAUAUCUUGGUCGACAGUUCACCCUCGAAUAGAAACGCGACAUGUGGCACCUUUUAUGUUUAAGCUUAUCUUCUAGUCUCUCCAUACUAAUUAAUCUAGCAAACCUCUAAUUAUCUCCUAGCAUCUUGUAAAUUAAUCCCAUAACGCAAAACUUAAGUUAGUUGUCCGAAUAAUACGCACUUAACGCACUAGAGGUCCCACGUCAAACUACACUUCAAAUUUAACGUACACUAAAUUAUAUCAAGAAAAUGAUUUGAAAACUAUAUUCACUUAUAAAAAUGUAUAGAAAAUUAAUAUAUUGAAGAAAAGUAUAAAUUUAUAAACAAGGAAAUAAAAUAAUGUUUAGAAAACAUAUAAAAUUUUUUUUUCGGGUUCUCAAACUCUCUCCCCCUUAAGAAAUUUUGUCCUCGAAAUUUUUACCUUCAUUUGUCUCAGACGAGUCCGGAACUGUUUGGUUGCCUAACGCAUACACUUUUGCCGGUACACUUGUUCGGUUUCCUCUUUCAUUCACUUGUCUUGAUUUGGCUCCAUCCAGUUGCGGAGUAUUACCUUCACGUGGCUGUCUCCUCGGACAAUUGCUCACCUGGUGGUCACCACUUCCGCAUAUCAAACACUUCCGCCAUUUCCGCCAACAAGCAUCCUCGGUGUGAUUAGCCUUUCCACAGUAGCCACAAGUCAAGCGAGAAGCCAUCUUUUGGUUGUCUUGAGUAAUCUCCUCAGGUCUGAUUUGGCUUCCUUUAGUAGACCUUUCAUCUACCGCCCCUAACGUCCAUGGUGGGCGGAGUAACGGGUUCAUUUUCUGCACUUUAGGAGGCGCUAUCGUUUCGCUCAAUUCACCCACUAUACUAUCCGAUGCACCCCUUUUCUGGGUCUGGGAGGCCUUUAACUGUGCCUUUGCAUUCUCGAUUCUUUGAGCUUUCUCAAGGGCUUCCGUAAACGUAUUCACUUGUACCGCUGCUAAUGCUUCUUGAAUUUUCAAAUUCAAUCCUUGUAUAAAUCGUCUCACUCUUCUCGGUUCUGUGGCUACUAAUUCGGAAGCAAACUUGGAUAGUUUGGUGAAUUUCGUUUCGUAUUCAGCCACACUUAAGGUCCCUUGGCGUAGCCCAAUAAAUUCGUCCUCCCUCCUUUCCUAGACUAAAGGUGGGAGGUACUUCUCGUUAAAUUCUCUUAGGAAGUUAGCCCACGUCCAUAUGGUCCGUUCUCUUUUCCACUUUGCUCUAAUUACGUUCCACCACGCUCGGGCUGGUCCUUCAAAUUGAAACACUGCAAAGUUUACUUGCCUUUGCUCAGUAUAGUUCAAAACUGUGAAAAUAUUCACCAUGGCCUCUAACCAUUGUUCAGCGAUAUCCAGAUCAGGCCCUCCAGCGAAUUUUGGAGGUGCAAACUUUUGAAACCUCUCAAGAGCCCGAUCUUCUCUUAUUUCCGGGUUUUGGGGUUGAUUUACAGGCAUUUGAUCUUGUUGGUCCACCAACCUUGCUAAGAUGUUUGUCAUUUGUUGAAUUGCCGUCGCCAUUUGGUCCCCAGCUUCAACCCUCGGUCCUUGCUCUUGUGCAGCUGUUGUUUCCCUUUUUUCUCUUGGCUCUUGAGCUCGUUUAUUCCCACGGUCACGUCCACGUCCACGACUACGUCUCCCGUCCAUCUAUAUGUUUUCCCUCUCUCUUUUCUUUUCCUUUCCCCCCCAAAAGGUAAUUUAGUGCAUAAACACAGUAAAUUGACUAAAGUAACAAAUUCCAGCAUACCAAAUACACAAUUAAACAUAGACACACAUAACACACCAUAUAUCAAGAAGACAGAUGAUCAAAUUACACAGAGGCAUAUCAAAUUAGACUAAAUAACCCCGUCCUAGUUUCAGUUGAGUAACCCCGUCCAGUCUCUCACGUCACUUUCUAUCCAAACCAGAUAUCCGUCGACCUCUUAUACUCAUUCUCGCCGAACAAAACCUAUUCAUGUUCCCAAAAAUGUAAAUCUCACAUACUUAGCAUCCUCAACUCUAGAGUACUCGGGCACGAGAAUCCGAGAUAAGACAAUUCACAUCUCGAGCUGGCCAGUCCCAAGAGUAAACCAUCUACAAUCAAAAUUCCUACCAGACGUACCUAUCUAUGGUUCUCAAAUACCACAAGAAAAUUUAAGGCCUAUAACAUCCACAAUUCAUAACUCAUGCUCGAACGAGCACUUACUUCUUCAUACCCAUUCACCACUCAGUCCAGGCUCACUCCGCGCAGAGACCACGCGAAACAGACUCUGAUACCAACUGUGACAGCCCCACCUCAACUUAAGGCGAACCAAAGGGCUCGACGGGCCGCCUGCCUAACUCUCGCCGGGACUCAGUUGUUCUUCAAGUAAAAUCGAAAUAAAACCACAGGAAUAACUAUAGCAACAAUCCAAAACUUAAAGCAACUUAUGUACAUCCAUCUCAAAAGAAGUACAACCACCACUAUACAAAGGUUCUCAAUUCCUCAUACAUCCAACCCGGACCAAGCACUAGGGCGAGAACCAUUACAAAAGAAAUUUCAAAGAACUAGACCAAGCUAGUCUAUACAGAGCUCUUGUCCUUGCUCGCCUUCCCCUGUUAAGAAAAACAAAACUAAAGGCAUGAGCUAAAAGCUCAGUGAGGUUCCGAACACAUAAGCAACAAUAAAGCCAAUGUAUUAACCAUAGAUAACCAAUAAUUCAAGAAACAAGUACAAUGGAAAGCGAUAAACAUUCAUUAAAAGGAUACGGACUCACAGGGAGCCAUAUAUUCGUUCGUUCGUUCAUUCUCCUGUCAUUCCCCUUAUUCCUCCGGUCAAUUAAAUAAAAUGCAAUUUUGGUAAAUAAAACCCUCGUUCGUUCUUUCGUUUCGUUCACCCCCUCCUGGAAAUUGGUCAGGCUCCACCAGACUACAAGGUAAUACUCGAGCAUACCAAAUUCACCCAGGGUCACCAUAUCGCUCGACCGAGUCCGCUUCUGACUCGUGUCGAUCAGUAACGAAGGGCAGAGCCCAAUUCAGCCAAAAAGCUUACAUCAUGCACAACUAAUGUAGCAAUCAUUAAAUCAUUGAAAAUUUCACGUUUCAUUUAGGUUGAGCACGGUAAAGUACACGCUCGCCUAGAAAACUCGUUUUGAAAAUCCUUGAAAGCACUUAACACAUUAUCAAACAAGAACACAAGUCAUGAAGUCAAGAAAAAUAUAGCAAACAAGAAACACUCACCUAAUUAUGCAAAAUACCAUGCAAAAUAUCCUUCCGGAUAUGACCCUCAGUCACCUAGAAAACCUAAGAUUAAACGAGAGAGAAUAUUACAGUUCAUCGAGCAAACAAGUAAGUGAAAUCAAAGAAAAACCAGCAAAUGAUAAGUAAAAUGUAUAAAGACGCCUUUAUAGUGAAAAGGGGAUAUUUGGAUCAGAGGACGGAAAUAACUAGGGUUUCAUAAACCAAACGCAAAACUAACUCAAACGGGUUAUAAAAUGUCCGGCGGAAAACACUUGGACCAAAGACAACUCGGACUCCAACGAGAUAGGCUAAAAAUAUUGUUUUCGGAAUCGUUUAGAUAGUUCAAAAUCAACUCAUACCCAAGCAGCUAGUAUAGACUAAAUGUCAUGAUAAAAAUCAUGUGAAAAGGAGGACAAUACUACCUUACGUUCAUACUUAAAAUCUCACUUAAAAGUGGUUAACUUAUGGCCGAGAAAAUCCUAAAUCAUACCUCUAUAUUUUGGGAAGGAGUAAGUAGCAUUUCAAAUUUUAAAUUAAAGAGGUAUCAUGUUUUAAAAUGAAAAACCGGUCAUGGUAUUGGCCAAACAAAAGUAUACAAGUUCAAAUAGAAACUUAGCACUCGAGCGAAAAUUUGGGCAACACGCCCUUUGUAUUUACCUAUUUCCCAACCAUUUAUGACUUCAUUAUUUUCUCUAUCAAUUCCAAAGUCAUACACAAUAUAAACUCAUUAUAAUAGCCGUUCCAUAGGCUCCAGAUCAUACAAGUACAAAAUCAAUCUAAUGACAUGUGCGGAAAUGAAGUUUAGUUUGGAAAACAAAAGACAGUUUUAACGUUACUUAGCGGAACAGACGUAACAGGAGCUACACUUAUCGGAUUGAGGUGUAAUUUAUACCGUUUCGAAGCUAAGAUAAAGGGCUACAAUUUUUAUGAAGACCACUCAGUCUAGUUCGUGGUGUAGCUAGGUCAAAAUUCCAAUGUACCAAACCAGAAUCGCAUAAACAGGUCAGCUAACCGCAUUAUGGUUAAAUGAUCAUAUCUUAGGCUACCAAAGUCCAAUUGAGGUGUUUCUAGGGCCGUUGGAAAGCUAAGACCUAGUACUACAACUUUCAUGUUUUGGUCAAGAUCCAAUUCGGUAAGGAUCAGAGUGAAAAGGCACGGUCAGACUGGGAGAAAUGUCCACCCUGUCCAGCCAACUAUUCUUGUGGCAGUUUGCGGUAUUUCUGACUUUUCUCAGGCUACACAGCUCGGAUUGGGCUGAAAUUUUAAGGCAACUAUAAAACACCAUUUCCUACAACUUUCAUGUUUUGACCCAAAGCUAAUUCGGCCUCUAACCUAGCCAAACAGAAACGGGCAGAACAGGGUCAUAUGGAACCCUAAUCUGGAAUUUGAGUUUCAAACCAACAAUUUUGCACAAUCAAUCAUUUCCAACACAUACCAACUCCAUCUUACACUAUAACAAACCAUUAAUCCAUGGUUAACCAACACUAAUCAUAUGAAAUCAGAAAAAUCAUGAACAAAAUAAAAAUCCAUCAAUCUCAACCAUAGGUCAUGGAAUCAUCCAUAAAAUCACUUAUUCAACCACUACAAAUCACUAAUUGAACAUUAUCAAGAUUAAAGGAAAGGUUCCUUAGUCACUUACCUUGCAAACCCAAGAAAAGACCCAACUUAGCACCUUUGCUUCUCAAACCACUUCACCACACACUUUAAUCCUACCAAGAGAAAGGUUUUUAUGGAGCAAAUCAAGGUUUUAACGGUUAGUUUGUGAGAUUGAGCAAGAAAUAGAAGGAAGAAAUUGGAAGCUUUUCCUCUUUUUUUUUCUCCAAGAAGUUCGGCCAAGAGAGCAUAAGAAAUGGAAAAGUUUUGGUCAAAAUUAGCUUUAAGAAGGAAACAAAUAUCUUGGUCGAAAGUUCACCCUCGAAUAGAAACGCGACUGUGGCACCUUUUAUGUUUAAGCUUAUCUUCUAGUCUCUCCAUACUAAUUAAUCUAGCAAACCUCUAAUUAUCUCCUAGCAUCUUGUAAAUUAAUCCCAUAACGCAAAACUUAAGUUAGUUGUCCGAAUAAUACGCACUUAACGCACUAGAGGUCCCACGUCAAACUACACUUCAAAUUUAACGUACACUAAAUUAUAUCAAGAAAAUGAUUUGAAAACUAUAUUCACUUAUAAAAAUGUAUAGAAAAUUAAUAUAUUGAAGAAAAGUAUAAAUUUAUAAACAAGGAAAUAAAAUAAUGUUUAGAAAACAUAUAAAAUUUUUUUUUCGGGUUCUCAAACUUUCUCCCCCUUAAGAAAUUUUGUCCUCGAAAUUUUUACCUUCAUUUGUCUCAGACGAGUCCGGAACUGUUUGGUUGCCUAACGCAUACACUUUUGCCGGUACACUUGUUCGGUUUCCUCUUUCAUUCACUUGUCUUGAUUUGGCUCCAUCCAGUUGCGGAGUAUUACCUUCACGUGGCUGUCUCCUCGGACAAUUGCUCACCUGGUGGUCACCACUUCCGCAUAUCAAACACUUCCGCCAUUUCCGCCAACAAGCAUCCUCGGUGUGAUUAGCCUUUCCACAGUAGCCACAAGUCAAGCGAGAAGCCAUCUUUUGGUUGUCUUGAGUAAUCUCCUCAGGUCUGAUUUGGCUUCCUUUAGUAGACCUUUCAUCUACCGCCCCUAACGUCCAUGGUGGGCGGAGUAACGGGUUCAUUUUCUGCACUUUAGGAGGCGCUAUCGUUUCGCUCAAUUCACCCACUAUACUAUCCGAUGCACCCCUUUUCUGGGUCUGGGAGGCCUUUAACUGUGCCUUUGCAUUCUCGAUUCUUUGAGCUUUCUCAAGGGCUUCCGUAAACGUAUUCACUUGUACCGCUGCUAAUGCUUCUUGAAUUUUCAAAUUCAAUCCUUGUAUAAAUCGUCUCACUCUUCUCGGUUCUGUGGCUACUAAUUCGGAAGCAAACUUGGAUAGUUUGGUGAAUUUCGUUUCGUAUUCAGCCACACUUAAGGUCCCUUGGCGUAGCCCAAUAAAUUCGUCCUCCCUCCUUUCCUAGACUAAAGGUGGGAGGUACUUCUCGUUAAAUUCUCUUAGGAAGUUAGCCCACGUCCAUAUGGUCCAUUCUCUUUUCCACUUUGCUCUAAUUACGUUCCACCACGCUCGGGCUGGUCCUUCAAAUUGAAACACUGCAAAGUUUACUUGCCUUUGCUCAGUAUAGUUCAAAACUGUGAAAAUAUUCACCAUGGCCUCUAACCAUUGUUCAGCGAUAUCCAGAUCAGGCCCUCCAGCGAAUUUUGGAGGUGCAAACUUUUGAAACCUCUCAAGAGCCCGAUCUUCUCUUAUUUCCGGGUUUUGGGGUUGAUUUACAGGCAUUUGAUCUUGUUGGUCCACCAACCUUGCUAAGAUGUUUGUCAUUUGUUGAAUUGCCGUCGCCAUUUGGUCCCCAGCUUCAACCCUCGGUCCUUGCUCUUGUGCAGCUGUUGUUUCCCUUUUUUCUCUUGGCUCUUGAGCUCGUUUAUUCCCACGGUCACGUCCACGUCCACGACUACGUCUCCCGUCCAUCUAUAUGUUUUCCCUCUCUCUUUUCUUUUCCUUUCCCCCCCAAAAGGUAAUUUAGUGCAUAAACACAGUAAAUUGACUAAAGUAACAAAUUCCAGCAUACCAAAUACACAAUUAAACAUAGACACACAUAACACACCAUAUAUCAAGAAGACAGAUGAUCAAAUUACACAGAGGCAUAUCAAAUUAGACUAAAUAACCCCGUCCUAGUUUCAGUUGAGUAACCCCGUCCAGUCUCUCACGUCACUUUCUAUCCAAACCAGAUAUCCGUCGACCUCUUAUACUCAUUCUCGCCGAACAAAACCUAUUCAUGUUCCCAAAAAUGUAAAUCUCACAUACUUAGCAUCCUCAACUCUAGAGUACUCGGGCACGAGAAUCCGAGAUAAGACAAUUCACAUCUCGAGCUGGCCAGUCCCAAGAGUAAACCAUCUACAAUCAAAAUUCCUACCAGACGUACCUAUCUAUGGUUCUCAAAUACCACAAGAAAAUUUAAGGCCUAUAACAUCCACAAUUCAUAACUCAUGCUCGAACGAGCACUUACUUCUUCAUACCCAUUCACCACUCAGUCCAGGCUCACUCCGCGCAGAGACCACGCGAAACAGACUCUGAUACCAACUGUGACAGCCCCACCUCAACUUAAGGCGAACCAAAGGGUUCGACGGGCCGCCUGCCUAACUCUCGCCGGGACUCAGUUGUUCUUCAAGUAAAAUCGAAAUAAAACCACAGGAAUAACUAUAGCAACAAUCCAAAACUUAAAGCAACUUAUGUACAUCCAUCUCAAAAGAAGUACAACCACCACUAUACAAAGGUUCUCAAUUCCUCAUACAUCCAACCCGGACCAAGCACUAGGGCGAGAACCAUUACAAAAGAAAUUUCAAAGAACUAGACCAAGCUAGUCUAUACAGAGCUCUUGUCCUUGCUCGCCUUCCCCUGUUAAGAAAAACAAAACUAAAGGCAUGAGCUAAAAGCUCAGUGAGGUUCCGAACACAUAAGCAACAAUAAAGCCAAUGUAUUAACCAUAGAUAACCAAUAAUUCAAGAAACAAGUACAAUGGAAAGCGAUAAACAUUCAUUAAAAGGAUACGGACUCACAGGGAGCCAUAUAUUCGUUCGUUCGUUCAUUCUCCUGUCAUUCCCCUUAUUCCUCCGGUCAAUUAAAUAAAAUGCAAUUUUGGUAAAUAAAACCCUCGUUCGUUCUUUCGUUUCGUUCACCCCCUCCUGGAAAUUGGCCAGGCUCCACCAGACUACAAGGUAAUACUCGAGCAUACCAAAUUCACCCAGGGUCACCAUAUCGCUCGACCGAGUCCGCUUCUGACUCGUGUCGAUCAGUAACGAAGGGCAGAGCCCAAUUCAGCCAAAAAGCUUACAUCAUGCACAACUAAUGUAGCAAUCAUUAAAUCAUUGAAAAUUUCACGUUUCAUUUAGGUUGAGCACGGUAAAGUACACGCUCGCCUAGAAAACUCGUUUUGAAAAUCCUUGAAAGCACUUAACACAUUAUCAAACAAGAACACAAGUCAUGAAGUCAAGAAAAAUAUAGCAAACAAGAAACACUCACCUAAUUAUGCAAAAUACCAUGCAAAAUAUCCUUCCGGAUAUGACCCUCAGUCACCUAGAAAACCUAAGAUUAAACGAGAGAGAAUAUUACAGUUCAUCGAGCAAACAAGUAAGUGAAAUCAAAGAAAAACCAGCAAAUGAUAAGUAAAAUGUAUAAAGACGCCUUUAUAGUGAAAAGGGGAUAUUUGGAUCAGAGGACGGAAAUAACUAGGGUUUCAUAAACCAAACGCAAAACUAACUCAAACGGGUUAUAAAAUGUCCGGCGGAAAACACUUGGACCAAAGACAACUCGGACUCCAACGAGAUAGGCUAAAAAUAUUGUUUUCGGAAUCGUUUAGAUAGUUCAAAAUCAACUCAUACCCAAGCAGCUAGUAUAGACUAAAUGUCAUGAUAAAAAUCAUGUGAAAAGGAGGACAAUACUACCUUACGUUCAUACUUAAAAUCUCACUUAAAAGUGGUUAACUUAUGGCCGAGAAAAUCCUAAAUCAUACCUCUAUAUUUUGGGAAGGAGUAAGUAGCAUUUCAAAUUUUAAAUUAAAGAGGUAUCAUGUUUUAAAAUGAAAAACCGGUCAUGGUAUUGGCCAAACAAAAGUAUACAAGUUCAAAUAGAAACUUAGCCCUCGAGCGAAAAUUUGGGCAACACGCCCUUUGUAUUUACCUAUUUCCCAACCAUUUAUGACUUCAUUAUUUUCUCUAUCAAUUCCAAAGUCAUACACAAUAUAAACUCAUUAUAAUAGCCGUUCCAUAGGCUCCAGAUCAUACAAGUACAAAAUCAAGCUAAUGACAUGUGCGGAAAUGAAGUUUAGUUUGGAAAACAAAAGACAGUUUUAACGUUACUUAGCGGAACAGACGUAACAGGAGCUACACUUAUCGGAUUGAGGUGUAAUUUAUACCGUUUCGAAGCUAAGAUAAAGGGCUACAAUUUUUAUGAAGACCACUCAGUCUAGUUCGUGGUGUAGCUAGGUCAAAAUUCCAAUGUACCAAACCAGAAUCGCAUAAACAGGUCAGCUAACCGCAUUAUGGUUAAAUGAUCAUAUCUUAGGCUACCAAAGUCCAAUUGAGGUGUUUCUAGGGCCGUUGGAAAGCUAAGACCUAGUACUACAACUUUCAUGUUUUGGUCAAGAUCCAAUUCGGUAAGGAUCAGAGUGAAAAGGCACGGUCAGACUGGGAGAAAUGUCCACCCUGUCCAGCCAACUAUUCUUGUGGCAGUUUGCGGUAUUUCUGACUUUUCUCAGGCUACACAGCUCGGAUUGGGCUGAAAUUUUAAAGCAACUAUAAAACACCAUUUCCUACAACUUUCAUGUUUUGACCCAAAGCUAAUUCGGCCUCUAACCUAGCCAAACAGAAACGGGCAGAACAGGGUCAUAUGGAACCCUAAUCUGGAAUUUGAGUUUCAAACCAACAAUUUUGCACAAUCAAUCAUUUCCAACACAUACCAACUCCAUCUUACACUAUAACAAACCAUUAAUCCAUGGUUAACCAACACUAAUCAUAUGAAAUCAGAAAAAUCAUGAACAAAAGAAAAAUCCAUCAAUCUCAACCAUAGGUCAUGGAAUCAUCCAUAAAAUCACUUAUUCAACCACUACAAAUCACUAAUUGAACAUUAUCAAGAUUAAAGGAAAGGUUCCUUAGUCACUUACCUUGCAAACCCAAGAAAAGACCCAACUUAGCACCUUUGCUUCUCAAACCACUUCACCACACACUUUAAUCCUACCAAGAGAAAGGUUUUUAUGGAGCAAAUCAAGGUUUUAACGGUUAGUUUGUGAGAUUGAGCAAGAAAUAGAAGGAAGAAAUUGGAAGCUUUUCCUCUUUUUUUUCUCCAAGAAGUUCGGCCAAGAGAGCAUAAGAAAUGGAAAAGUUUUGGUCAAAAUUAGCUUUAAGAAGGAAACAAAUAUCUUGGUCGAAGUUCACCCUCGAAUAGAAACGCGACAUGUGGCACCUUUUAUGUUUAAGCUUAUCUUCUAGUCUCUCCAUACUAAUUAAUCUAGCAAAUCUCUAAUUAUCUCCUAACAUCUUGUAAAUUAAUCCCAUAACGUAAAACUUAAGCUAGUUGUCAGAAUAAUACGCACUUAACGCACUAGCGGUCUCACGUCAAACUACACUUCAAAUUUAACGUACACUAACUUAUAUCAAGAAAAUGAUUUGAAAACUAUAUUCACUUAUAAAAAUGUAUAGAAAAUUAAUAUAUUGAAGAAAAGUAUCAAUUUAUAAACAAGGAAAUAAAAUAAUGUUUAGAAAACAUAUAAAUUUUUUUUUCGGCUUCUCACAAUAAAAUAUCUCAUGGACGAAUUUAAGACAUCGUCUGAAACUUUCGGUGUUCUCAACAUCCUUUCUCUCAACUUUCGGUGUAAAGCUGUGCAAAGUUGUGUAAAAAGACAAUAUAACUUUCGGUGCUCUUGAGGUUGAUGGCAAGUCAAGCUGCCCUCCAGCCGGAUCCGUUUCUUCUCCCACAUUCCAAAAGAAAUCUUUUUCUGAACUCUUUGGUAAUGGAGCUUCUCAGCCCAUUUUGAAUAUCAAUGCAGUGUCUUCGACUCAUUGGGGGGAACCUGCGAUUCUUUUUUCUCAAACUGAUCUGGCCACACUUGCUGCUCCAUACAAAUUUGCUUUGGUUGGUAAAUUUUCUAAGGGUCGUCCUUCUAUGGAGGAUCUCAGGAAAUUCUUCCUAUCUCUUGAUCUAAAAGAGGCUGCUAAGGUAGGUCUUUUAGACUCCAGACAUGUAGUGAUUAACUUGGGGAAUGAGGUGGAUUUCCAUCGGAUUUGGGCUAGAGGUAUAUGGUAUGUUUAUGGUGCUCCUAUGCGUGUCUUUAAAUGGUCUCCUGCUUUCCAUGUGGACAAGGUGCCUUCGGUGGUUCCAGUUUGGUUUAAGUUACCAAAAUUGCCGCUGCAUUACUUUAACAAAGAAUGCUUGUUCCAGAUUGCAGGCGUUUUGGGGAAUCCUUUGUUUGUAGAUUCUGCAACCAUGGUGGUUUCCAGGCCAAGUGUUGCUAGGGUGUGUGUAGAAGUAGACUUGUUAAAACUUCUUACUCCUAGGGUGUGGAUUGGUAAUGGUGAUCAUGAGGGCUUUUGGCAAGCUUUAAUUCCAGAAAAUCCGCCUAAAUAUUGUGCCCAUUGUUUUAAGCAGGGACAUAUCCAAGACGAUUGUCAUAUGCUAUAUCCGAUCUUAAAAUUCAGAGACCGUUAGCUUCCAAAAAACAGGAAGGUCAUACACGCUUUCAACCUAUUUCUUCACCGGGCUUGGGCAUAAUAGGCAAACAGGAUGAUUGUUUUGGAAAAGAGGUGGAUCCAAUCAUUGUAGCUAGCAAACAAAAUGAUCAAUCUGGGAAAGAGGUGGAUCCAAUCAUUGUAGCUAGCAAACAAAAUGAUCAAUCUGGGAAAGAGGGCCUGCUACUACGGAGGAGGAGGUGGGUGUGGUUGAUAAGGAGGGACCUUCAAAAACUCCUAAAGUCACAACUCCUUUUGUUGAAGAUGCAAAUAUUUGUACUGGGAUUUUCACAGAACCUGCUACAUGUUCACGUUCUGAUACUCAGGCGGUGGUGUCUCAGCAUGAUCUUGAUGGGCUGGAAGAUACUAUAAUGGUGGCUCCCACUGUUGAUCCCUCAAACAGGCAACUUGACAAUUUGGAACUUAUGGCUGGAAAGGAAAACCAGCAAGCCCGUUCUGCUUGUCAGCUGGAGUAGAAUGCGCUUGUCAUUGAUAUAUCUCAUUGUGGUGUGCAGGAGAAUUUGUAGGCAAAACAAUCAUCUGCGGUUGCGGAUAUCUUUAAUCUUGACCCGAUCAUUCAACAAGUCAGUGAAAAGCUCCAGCAUGAGGAAGGUUUACAGGUGGUUACGCAUGGCAAACCGAAAGGUAUCAGGGCUAAAUUUUCAUCUGAUCGUUCGCUGCGAUCAAAAGCCAAGGUUUCCUGAAACUCUUCCUCUUCCUUGUCUCAAUGAUUAAGUUUUUGUUUUGGAAUAUUAAGGGUAUAUCUCGCACCCCAAAUAUUCGAAGAUUGAGGUAUUUGGUAAAACAAUAUUCCAUUCAACUAGUAGCUAUUUGUGAACCGAAAACUCAAGUUGCAGAGAUCCAUUCGAUCAGGAUGAGACUUAAUAUGGAUCACGCUGUAUUUAGUAGUACGGGUGAUAUUUGGAUUUUUUAUAAAGCCUCUAUUUUUUGUCGUAUAGUUGGAGAAUCUAAUCAACAUUUGUCAUUACAAAUUGAUUCUGCAAUAUUUGCUGUUCCUAUUAUUUUUUCAUUUGUCCAUGCCAAGUGUACUGCCCUUCAAUGAGUGGAAUUAUGGAAUAGCCUUCUUGUGGACAAACCGACUCAGUCUGCCUGGUUUCUUGUGGGAGAUUUUAAUGUCAUUGUCUCGGAGGAGGAGAAAAGGGGUGGGGUGCCGUUUAGACCAGAGGAAGGUUGGGAUUUUUUGAACUUUAUGUCUCAAGCUGGGAUUUCUGAUGUGGGGUAUUCAGGGUCUAUUUUCACAUGGUGUAACAAUAGAUAUGGUCGGGCACGUAUUUGGAAGAGAUUAGACAGGUUACUUAUGAAUCAGGUUUCUUCCAAUUUAGGCUUAGGUUUUGCCGUACAACAUUUGUGUAGAGACCCAUCAGAUCACGCUCCAUUGUUAUUGUCGGCUCUUACAAAAUUGGAUAACAAGCCAAAGCCAUUUCGUUUUUUGAAUUUCUGGACAUCUAAACCAGAACUGUUGGAUGUGGUUAGGUGCAAUUGGAGCGGAAAUUUUUCAGGCCCACCAUUAAAGGUCCUUGCAGCCAAGCUUCGGAAUGUAAAGGUGGCAUUACGAACGUGGUCGCGCGAGGUUUUCGGUGACAUCUUUGAAGCUGUAAAGGUGGCGGAACAACGUGCUCUCAAUGCUGAGUUUAGUUAUGAUGCUGAUCCGUCUGAGGCAAAUUUAGUUGUAUUAAACGAAGCACAAGCCCAGCUAAGGCGUUCACAUGCACUUGAGAAUAUGUUCUGGCAACAAAAAUCCAGGAUUAAGUGGUUAAAGGAUGGCGAUAGGAACUCCAAGUAUUUUCAUUCUGUGGUGGUGGAACGACAAAGUACAUCAUUAAUCCAUUGCAUCAAGUCGUCUGUUGGGAAGUGGUUGGACAGUACAUCUAAUAUUGAGGGAGAGGCUGAAUCAUUUUUUAGACGUCUGUUCAUGGCAGAAUCAUAUGCUCAAUCCUUUGAAACUCUUGAGGUUAUCCCUAAAUUAAUUACUUCACAAGAUAAUGUGAUGUUGGAGAAAAUCCCAUCCAAGGAAGAAGUUAAGUUAGUGGUGUUUUCUAUGGAUGGUGAUAGCUCGGCUGGUCCGGAUGGCUUCUUGGGUAAGUUUUUUACGUUUGCAUGGGACAUUGUGGCUGAGGAUGUAUAUGCGGCAGUUAUUAGUUUUUUUUUGUGGGGAGGUUUUGCCUAGAAGUAUCUCUUCAACUUCAAUAGUGUUGAUUCCAAAGUUGACUUUACACAAUUUCGUCCUAUAAGUUUGUGUAACUUUAUCAACAAGGUGAUCUCAAAGGUUUUAUCGGAUAGAUUGUCUUGUCUCCUUCCUAAGAUUAUUUCGCCUCAGCAAAGUGGAUUUGUCAGAGGAAGGCAAAUUUCAGAUAAUUUUUUGCUGGCUCAAGAGCUGAUUUCUGGAAUUCGGCAGUCUAAUCAGGGGGGGAAUGUGGUUUGAAGUUGGAUAUGGCCAAAGCUUACGACAGAGUCUCAUGGCUUUUUUUGUUGCAAGUACUGCGACGCUUUGGUUUUGGUGAGCGGUGGAUCGAUAUGAUUUGGCGAUUAAUUUCCAAUGUCUGGUUUUCGGUUCUUAUUAAUGGCUCCCCAUGUGGUUUUUUCCAGUCAACUUGGGGACUGCACCAAGGAGAUCCCAUUUCGCCGGCUCUUUUUGUUAUUGGGGAAGAGGUUUUAUCUAGAUUGCUGAAUUCUUUGGUAGGAUAGAGAGGUUUCCUUCCCUUUAAAGUCCCUCUUUCAUGCCCUAUUGUCACGCAUCUAGCUUAUGCAGAUGACGUGAUUAUUUUUUGUAGUGGAGUUAAGCGUACUUUGAAGAAAGUCAUGAGUGUUUUGAAGACUUAUUGUAGUGUAUCUGGUCAGCAACUUAACUGUCAAAAAAGCUGCUUUAUUAAUCAUGAUGCUUUGACUUUACCUCGUAAGCAUGUCAUUUCACAAAUCUCUGGUUUUCACGCCAAGUCACUUCCUCUUAGAUAUCUUGGCUGUACUCUCUACUCAGGGAGAAGGAAAAGCAGUUAUUUUUCAGAUAUCUGCAUUUCAGUUGCUAAGAGAGUUUUGUCUUGGAAGGAGAAGCUUUUGUCGUCUGGAAGGAGGUUAGUGUUACUCAAAAGUGUAUUAUCAUCUUUGCCUAUACAUGUCUUAGCUGCUUCGACUCCUCCGAAGGGUGUUCUCCGCACCCUUGAGAAAGCAUUUGCAAAUUUUCUAUGGGGUACAACUGAAAAAAGGUCUCGGUAUCAUUGGAUUGCAUGUGAUUCAUUGUUAAACCCGUAUGCCGAAGGGGGUGUGGGAGUGAGGGCUUUGACUGAUGUGUUUGAUGCCUUUUCAUUGAAGUUAUGGUGGUCUUUAAGGCAAUGUCAGUCCCUUUGGGCUGAAUUUAUGCACACUAAAUAUUUACAUAAAUUGCAUGCUUGCGAAGCGGAAUUUCAGCCAUUACAAUCGGUAACUUGGAAGAGAUUGGUUACAUAUCAGUCUUUGGCAAAUUUCCAUAUUCAAUGGGUGUUGCAGAAUGGCUUGUUAAACUUUUGGCAUGAGAAUUGGACUGAUACAGGUCCUUUGUGUCAGCAGAUCGAGAUUUUUGGAGAUCACACAGUGGUGGACUUUGUUUUAAAUGGUCACUGGAACAUUCCAAUGCUUCAUCAAUGGCUCCUAGAAAAUAUUGUAUCUACGAUUCUACAAAUAACUCUCUCUGAUGUUUUUUUCUAAUCAACCGGAUACGAUGGUAUGGGAUUUAGAAAUUUCUGGUUCAUUUUCCUUUUCCUCAGCAUAUAAGGUGGUCCGCAACAUUGCUAACAUUGCUAACACGUCAAUCUUUUCAUCUAACAUUUGGGUGACGGCCUUGCCAGUAAAAAUCUCAUUCUUUAUGAUGAGGAUGCUAUCUUGGAGACUGCCGGUGCAGGAUGUGUUGCAACGCUUUGGUGUGUGCGGUCCAUCUCGUUGUGUUUGCUGCCAAAAUCCUGGGUUGGAUUCAAUUGAUCAUGUUUUCUGUAUAGGUGAAGUCCCUCGCCAAGUUUGGCAAUCGUUUCAAGUAGAGAUUGGCGAGUUUUCCACGCCUUCAACGGUAAAGCAUGUAGUCAUUCAAUGGUGGUUACGGCCAGCUAAAAACAUGAAGCUUAAAUUGGUUUAUCAGCUGCUGCCAUCGCUGAUUUGCUGGCAUCUUUGGAAAGCUAGGAAUGCUGCAGUUUGGGAAGGCAAGGUUUUGUCGGUCAUGCAGAUUCAUACUUUUGUUCUUUCUGAUCUCUAUGAUAUUUUCCAAUUACAUUUUCCAGACAUGGGAGUGGGAAGGUACUCGUGGCCAUGUUUUUACUCUUCACUGGUGAGUUGGAAAAAAACAUUUAAGUUCAUCCUGCUUAAGUGGAUCCCUCCAUUCUUGUCGAUAUGUAAACUGAAUACUGAUGGUUGUUCUCUAGGUAAUCCGGGAAGGAGUGGUGGUGGGGGGGUUUUGAGGAAUAGCUCGGGAUGUUUUUGUUAGGUUUUGCGUGUUAUUGGGGGGUCAUGUCGAGUUUACAUUCAGAGCUGAAGGCCUUGUUAUUUGGAGUUAAGCUUUGUGUUAUGUGAGGUUUCUUUUGCUUGUAUUUGGAAUUUGCUUGUAUUUGGAAUCAGAUUCUUUACUUCUAGUCCAAAUGGUUAAGGGGGUUAGUUGAUAUCCAUGGGGUUUGCAACGAGAGCUGGAUCAAUUGCUCACUUUUAGGCAUUUCUUUCAAUCCGUCACUCAUUGUUAUCGUCAAGCGAAUGUGCCUGCAGACCGCUUAUCUAAGGUUGGAACUGAGUUACAGUCCAAUAUAGUGUAUGAUUCAUGGUUGCAAUUGCCACGUUUGAUUCGUGGAGACCUCAAGUUGGAUAGGUUAGGUUAUCCUAAUUUUCGGGUUUACUAAGCAUUUGGAUUUCUGGAAUGGAAUCUAGGACGUCCACAAUCAUUCAAGCGCUGUUGCUGCUGCUAUUGUUUCACUGUUGCUGCUGUUGUUGUUUGGCUCUCCGGUUGAGCAAUUCUCUCUUUUGCUGUUUGGAUGUUUUUGCACCACUGUUUGGCAUCUGCUGAUGUAAUGUGAAAUUUAUUUCUCAAUAAAAGCUAUAAUAUUUUGCAUAAAAAAAAAGACAUCGUCUGAUAAAAAGUUAAAUAUUUUUAAAUGCCAAUAAAUUUUAAAAUUAUAAAUUUAAACAAGUAAAUUCAUCUCAAGUAUACCUACUAGGAAAAAAAUCUUAAAACCUAUGCAAACCACAACCGUAUUAUGAAAUUAAACAAAAUGCAUUGGAAUUUCUAAAAUUAAACAAAAUCUAAUAGAACUACACAAGAAAAUGGCGACUUUGAGUUUGACGGUGAGAAAUAGAGAGAGUUUGGUUAAUCUUUUAGAAAUCAAAGUUGGGAACAAAAGAUUCGAUAGCUAAGUUUUAUGUUUAAAACUUUAGGUUCAUUUUUUAAAAAAAAAAGAUGAGAAAAAUGAAAAUCUGCUAUUCAUGGAUCGAUCCAGUUUGAUUGGUUCGAUCGUUUUUUUUGUGAUUUUGACCGAUUUUUAUGAUAAAUCAACACUAGUAGUGAACCGGACUUGAGACUUGGAUGGUUAGCGGUCUGACCAAUUGAACCGGCCAGUCCGAUCUGGUUUUCAAAACUUGCUCCAUUUGAAUUAGUUGUUUUUCAAAGUGUUUUUGAAAUAUUUUACUAUAGUAAUGUAUGCAAAAAAAAUUUAUUGUAGAUGUUUUUAAUGAUAUUUCUGAAAAUAUAUUUUAGAAUAUUUUUAAAAUUUAAAAUUUUAAUGGGGUAUUUUUAAAAUUUUAUAAAACCUUACAACCACCUACCACUCACACGGGAUCCUCAGUGCCACUUCUAUAUUUAUGCCAAGUGUCCUGUUUAUUUAAAUUUCUUCUACUAUCACGUGAUAUGUGGGAUUGACACUCGAUCUAGCACCGAGUAAAGGCACAGAAGAUCCCAAUUGCCUAUCACUACCCCUUCCCUCCUCCUCCCCCUCCUUCCUCUUCCCCUUCCUUUUCUCCUCUCUUUCUUCCUCCUCCCUCGUCCUCUCCUCCCAAUUGACUUGUUCAAAGAGAUGAAAUGGCAACCUCCUAUUUUACCAAAUGUUGUAUUUUUGACAUAUAAACUAAAUAAACAAUACAACAAAACUUGGUUUAACAGAAACCCUAACGGGGUAGAAGACGUUUACUGCCAGUAUCUGGAUACAUUUCUUCUGCCAGGAUGCUAGGCAUAGGAUUCUUAUAGUGGCAUAUUACCGAAAAUUUGCCUUUUGAAUGAGGAAAAUUGAAUCAUUUUUUUCUCAUGUGUUCUGAAUUUUUACAGGAGUUCGACUUUAUAGAACUCUUUGUUAGAUUAUUAAGGUAAAGUGAUUCGCUCACUCUAUUAUUCUUGUCAUGCUCGAAUAUUGCUCAGUUUUGUACGCUUCCUACAUAUGGUAAUUACACGGUAAAAACAAAAAAAAAAGAAAGAAACAGAAAACGCACUCAACGCUGCUGACUUUCAUUUACCUAAAUCACAGAAUACUUGCUUGAAAGAAGAACGGCGUACAUUACAUAUCAGAUAUUUCGACGCAAACAAAGAAAAUGGAGAAAAACAGACCAGCUAGCUAUAUGAGAUAUAUGUCCGUACACGCAUCAAGAGGGGGCUUCCAUGGACAUUAGUUAUUUGAUUUUGAUACACACAAAUUCAGUGUCUAAGGUGGGACCAACACCAUUACUAUGGCACGUACAAAAGAAGCGAUCCAAGCUUUCACCAUGAAUCUUUCAAACUGGUUACUCAUCCGCUGGCUUUUCGUCCUUCGACUAAGCUUGAUAAAAAAGAAAGGAUUCUGGCUUUGCCUCAAAAUCUUUAACAAGAGGUUUCUCCUCUUUCGAUUUAGCAUCAUCACCAUGGUAAAAGAGAAAGGACCCAGACUUUGAGUCAAAGUCUUUCACAAGGUGCCUUUCCUCCUUAUCCUCCUUUGAUUUAGUGUCAUCACUAUAAUAAAAAAAAAGGGAAAGAUUCAGGUUUUGAUUCGAAAUCAUUCACAAGCGGUUUCUCUUUUUUAGACUUAGCAUUGUUGCCAUGGUAAAAGAGAAAGGAUUCGGGCUUUGCUUAUAAUCUUUAACAAAUGGUUUCUCCUCGUUAGAUUUAGCAUCGUUGCCAUGAUAAAAUAGAAAGGAUCCAUACUUUGCCUCAAAGUCUUUCAUGAGAGGUUUCUCCUCCUUGGCAUCCUUGCCAUCAUAAAUGACGGGUAUUUUACAUAUAUACAAGUUAAAAAAUACCGAAUUACACCCGUUCACUGCAAGUAUACAGGUCAACUAGUAGUUUAGGGUAUAUAUCGAGUCGAUCCCACAGGGAAGAGUGAACAAUUAUCGAUAUUACUAAAGCUUCUCUAUUAUUUAGACUAUCAAUGAAUCAUAACAAAUUUAACCUACUGAAAUUAUACAAAAUAACAAAUGAAAGCUCCUUGGGUUGUGGUAUCCCUAACUACUCAUGCAAGUGCUAUAUUUGGAUCAUUGAGUACUACAUCUAGGCUAGUUAUGGUGUAAUUUCCUUAUGCAUUUGAAUCCUACUUUCGUAGUGAAUCAACUAUACUUAUAACUAAUCCAUACCUAUUCUCAUGGUUAUGAAAUUAGCUACAAGUUCAUUUAUUCAAUGAAAUUACAUGAAAUGAAUCACUAAAACCACAUAAGUGCACCUCUACUUUCGUGAGUGUACUCCCUAUGUUUAGCACUUCUUGAACCAGUGUUAAAUCUCAAUUUUCAUUGCAGAAACAACACCUUAGAUAAUCACAAUUAAUGGUACCAGAUUAAUCAUGAUUUAAAGAGGCAAAGUGCUAAAUAACUUGCUCAAAUCGUAGCAAUCAAAUAACCAAACAAUUAACACUAACAAUCAUAGAAAGUUCAACCAAACCCAAGGCUUAAACUUUAAACACACAUAUUGAACACAAAAUCCAGAACUUGUAUAUUAACUAAACUUGGAAUCAAAUACAAAAGAUAAAGAGUUUGGAAGGAAUACAACCCUUGUCAUAUGAGCUUUCUUCCUUGCCUUCUUCAUCCUCCAUCUUCAUCCUAAUCUAGAUAAUAAACAAGAAUGGAAAAGCUACACUACUCUAUACUAAGCUAAACUAACACUAGGGAGAUGAAAGAGCUACAUUUCUGCAGCUUCAAGCUUUCUCCCGUAGCUCACUCUCUAUUUUUCUGCUAUGGACUCCAAUCUCUUCCUCCUUUUUCUCUUGCAAUGAAUUUGGCUAUUUAAUGAUGAAAGUUGGUCAAGAAAUGAGGCCUCCACCUUCCUUUUACAGCUGGGAAUGUUUCUCACAUGUCUAGCAUCGCAUGUGAGUUGGUGGGACUGAAAUUGAGUUUUACGCGUACAGAGCAGCCUUUUCUGACCACAAUCCGACCAUAAAUCCGGCCAAAUUCCUGCCGGAUUGCUACAGUAAUUUUGGAUGCUACAGUGAUCCGAGCUGCUACAGUACUCGGAUCCGUAUGGAUCCGAGCUCGGUUCCACUUACCCAGAAACAGCCGAGGGUUCGGAUGAAUAGUGGAUCCGAGUGCGGAUCACUUGCUCUGUUUUUUUGCCCAACUUCAACCGAUCUUUUCUUGAUGUUAGAAGCUGUACCAGCUCAUGUCUAAAACAUAAAAGUUGUAGCCUUUUGAGUUAUCUUUCCAAUGCAUCAAGAAUCACCUCAUUUGGAUCUGUGUAGGCUGAGAUAUGACGGAAAUACCCUUGCCUGCUUCAUGCCUUGUUCCAGUUUCGACCAAAUGAAAUUGGCUACUGUACUUCGGAUUUUUGACUUGGAAAACCUUCAAACUGGAUUCAGAUGUCUUCACCAAAGUUGUAGAUCUAUCUCUUAUCUUCAAAUGGGUUCAAGAAUCAUCCCAAUCCGAUCAUUGUAACUCAAGUUAUAGCCGAAAUACGAAAAUGUGUCAAAACUGUCAAAAUACACAAAAUCCAAGUAAAAAGUGAUAAAAACCUCAUUUAACCACUUAAAAGCAUUUUUCACCAAUUAUAGCCAAAAUGAUUCAUAUUCUUCCAAUAAUAUAACCAAAGUGACUAAAAAUAAUAUAAAAUGUCAUACAAUUAUUACGUAAAUUAGUCACUUAUCAAACUCCCCCACACUUAAAUCAUUGCUUGUCCUCAAGCAAUUCACACAUAAUCAAAUGCAAUGAUUCAAGAGGUGAAAUAAUAUAUGCACUUUGUCCAAUUUAAUUCCUCAAGACUUGGAAAAUAAUCAUUAUACAAUUAUUCAAUUUACACUAAAUACUCAUAAUAUCAAGUAAAGGAAAGAUAAUUAUACCCUAAAUUCAACAAGUUAAACUUAAUCUCUUACCCUAACUUAAUUUUACAAAUAAGCAAAUCACAUAGUCAAUUUAUAGCUUUCCUCCUCCUAUAAUCAUCUUUUUCUCAAAAUUCUAUAACUAAGAGGGAUUUAUUCACACAAAUUUUACUUAAAUAGUGAGAAUGCCUUUUUACGCGAAAAUCGACACUUUUAGGUGAAGAUCUCCGGUUACUCAACAUUUCACUUAUUCAAGUUGCUAUGCAUACUCUUAAUUCAAGUACCUUUUUACGCGAAUGUCGACAUUUGUUGAUGCCAACCCCCGGUUACUCGGUACAUGAAUCAUUGGAGUAGAACAAUUUUUAUUUACUUUCUUUUUUUUUCUUUUUUUUUACUUUUUUUUUCUUUUUCAGAAAUAAAGGACAAUAAAUAGAUAACCCCUCUUAGAAAAUAUAUAAGAAUAAUCAAAGGAGGAAUAUAACCUUUAUCGACUAUAUCAAUCACUUACUUGCAAAAUUAAGUAAAGAGAAGAAAUCUCAUUAAACAUGUAAAAUUAUAGGCAUAAUUUUCCUCACUUUACCAAAUAUACUUUCUAAAAUGUAAAUAUUCUAAUUGCAUAAUAUUAUUUCCAAGUUAAAUGAGGACUAAACCUUCCAAAAUACAUAUAACAUUUCAACAAUUGGAAGAAUAAGGUUGGAUCAAUUAGCCCUUUUUGAAUGAAAAUGCAAAAUUUGAAGAACUUUUGGGCCAUAGUGAAAUAUUGGAAAAGAUUUUAGAAAAAAUUUCACAGAGUUUCUCCUUAUAAAUGGAUGAAAACUCCCUGCCAACAAACCCAAUUUCAAGCAAAUUAUCCACAUGGCAAACAUUUCAAACACAAUUCCAACAUUUCUAAGCAUUUAAAUCCACAAAAUAUCAUCACAUAGGCUUAAAAUGCAAGUUCAAAUAUUUUCCUCCCCCACACUUAAACUUCACAUUGUCCUCAAUGUGAGAAAAGGAAAAUAAAUAAAGAGUAAAAGAAAAUACUGCUCAAUUGAACUUGCGCAAUCCGAAUCCAUGUCCAAGUGAUGAAUUUCCAACUGUAUUUAAGAAAGAGUGGAGAGUUCACUUAUUGCACCCUGAAAAAGACAAAAUAAAAACAAAUAAAUUUCUUAAAAAUAAAAGGUUGCAAUCAACAAAAUCAUUCAAUUUAAGGAAAAAGGAAAAAUGAUCAAGCAUGUGGAACCAUACAAUGUUCAAGGGAUAAAAACAUGAAAUGAGCUAAUCUUUGCUAAUCAAAUAUAUGCAUUAGUAUCCAAAGCAAAGGGAAGCUAAUUUCACACAAAAAAUCCACAAUCAUGAACAAAAUAAGUUCCAUUUAUACAUUUUGUCAUCAAUGAUCAAAUCCCUUCAAGUACAAAAGUAAUCUCAAAAUGGAGGCAAACACACCAAACCAAAAUAUAAAUGACCUUCGUGAAAAUUCAUGAAAUACUAAAAACUAUUGAACCACAAAAAUUAUAAGUGCAUUUAUGAAUUUCAUCAAUUAAGGCCAUCUUCAAUUCACAUCUUCUUUUAGAAUUACCUAAGAAUUCAAGAAAUCAUUCAAUCAAGCACCUUUUCAUUCAUUAGGUAAUCUAAAUUACUCACAUAACUACCAAAAACUCCCACUAAACUAAUUAAAAUGCUACAUUGGCCACUUAAUAUGCAACUUCGUCAUCAAGCCAAAUUAAGCAUAAAACUAGCAAGAAUUCACCAAUUAAGUACAAUAAAUGCAAAUCACAAAAUUUAUUCAUCACUAACAAUCACCAAUAGCAUCAAUAAGCUCAAAUAAAUGCACCUAACUUCACAUAUUAAAAAUUGCCUAAAAAUAGAAAAUAUUCAAUCAUGGCAAAAUUCAAAUAACAAAGUUAGGUGAAGAUUUGUUACCUCAAGGUGGUUUGGUGAUGUUUAGAGAUGAAUAUGAUGUGAAAACCCCCAAGAAACUUACUCCAAUUUGACCUCAAUUUAGUGAUUCAAGAAAGUACAAUCCUAACUAUUAGUAAGGUUGAAACCACUUUAGAGUUGUUUUUUGAAAAAAUAUGAACUAUGAAAUUCACUCUAGAGGAUAGGAGAAAGUGAUUUGGUGAAGGUUAUUUGAAGAUUAAAUGGUGAAAAGUGGUGUUUUAGUGAGUGAUGUGUGUUUGAGGUGUUAGUGUGUGAGUUGGGUUGAAGAAGAGAGGAAGAAGAAGCUGAGGAAGAAGAAGAAGAGAGAAAGUGCGCGGAUUCCCCUCUUGUGCGCAAAAGUGGCCAGAAUCCGGCCAGUUUCCGGCCGGAUUCUUGGCCGGAUUCUGCUGCGAAAAAUUUUCUGAUUGCAGAAGUGGAUCCGAGGCCUCGGAUCCAUUGAAUCUGCACUUAUUGCAGAAUUUUUGCAAUUUUCAGUUUGACCCCAAUUCUUCAAAAUACACCCUAGAUCAUUUCUAUGUCAAAAUAAUCGUUCACGCACAUGUAAAAUGUUCUAAACAUGCAUUCUAAACCUCUUUAAUGCAUCAAAAAUCACAAUUACUGAAUUUGAGGUAUUGAGAUCUUUGAUCAAACUUCGCCUUUUUCACCUCAUUUGGUCACUUUUGCAUCUUUUUCCAAAACCUACAAAUGAAAAAAUAACAAAAUAACUCAAACUCAUACUUUAAACAUAAAAUCACUCCAAAGUAACACCAACUUAAACAAGCAUUGGGUUGCUUCCCAAUAAGCGCUUCUUUAAAGUCAAUAGCUUGACUAUUUCUCCUCAUUUUUCAAGGAGGUUUAGUUAACGAAUAAUCCACCAUUUUAGGCCUUGGUGGAUCAUUAAAUGGUGACUUUAUAGCCAAAGCCACAUGAUCUAAUGAUGUGAGAAAUGAAAGUGACUUACCUAUCCCAAAUGUUUCAUAGAUAUUACCUUGAAUAUACACCACUUGAGAACUUACCAAAGGAAAUGUCAUGAGAGUAUCUUGGGCAGGAAUACCUUUAGAACCUAUACUUUCACUGCACUCCUCAAGAGGGGUGAAAAAUGAGUCAUUAAAACUCACCUCUUGAGGCUCAAAGUUAGUUUCAAAGGUAUUAUCAUGUGAAAUGGAUAUUUGCUCAUUGAAAUAUAAUUGAGAUUCAUCAUUUUCAUCCAAAUGCAAUCCAUUUUCACAUACAACAUUUCCACCAUUCAUGCUAGGAUCAUUUUGCAAAUUAUUAGAAGAAAUAACUUCACACAAUACAUUCAAUUGCUCAUGUAUAUCACCAAAGUGAGAAGCUAAUUCAUCUAACCUUUCUUCAAUCCUAUCAAAACGGUCAGAAGUUGCAUUUGCUAACUUUUCUAUUGCUGAAUCAAAUUGAUUAGAAUAAUUUUUUGAAGCUAGCUCCCAAAAUGCAUUAGAAUCAUUAGCUAAUGGUUCACUUUCUAACUCCCAAGGCAGAGGUGCAUUAGCUAACUUCUCUAUUGCCAACUCCCAAGAUGGUUUUGAUUCACAUUGGACACUUUCAAGUUGGUAAUCAUAAAAAUUUUCAAAAUCACUAUAUGCACAUUGAUUAUUCCAACCAUAAGCAGGAGAAUUGCUCCAAUUAGCACUAUAUUGAUCAAAACAAGGAUUGUAAUGCUCUAAUUCAUCAUAAUAAUCCACAUUUUGUGCUUGCAUACAUGUAUUAGUAGCAUGAUAACCUCCACACAAGUCACAAAUCACAUGAUAAGAAUUAAAAGCAUUAGCAUUCCUCCCUUGCUCAAUUUCAUGCAUCAUGGUGUCCAUUUGAACUUGUAACUUAAUUACAUCAAAUUUUGCCUUUAAGCACCUUAAACCAUCUUCAAAAGACAUACAUUCAGUAAAUUCUUGGUUACCUCUGUUGAAGGAGCUUUGCACUUGGUAACCAUCCAUUGCCAAACCUCCAUUUCUCAAGCAUUGUCCUCCCCUGUUUUCUACUCUCCUUGAUCCCCUAAACAUGCUCUCAAAGUAGCUCAAAAACAAGUUUAGUCAAGAAGAAUAGAUGACUUUAAACAUACAAAAACAAGACAUUAAACAUAAAAGACUCAACAAGACUCAAAACAAACAAGACACUUAACCAACAAAAACAAGUGAAAUUGUCUAAAUUAAUAAAGUUGCUUUUCACACCGAUAUUGCCAAAUCUUCCCCGGCAACGGCGCCAAAAACUUGACGGGUAUUUUACAUACGUGCAAGCUAAAAAAUACCGAAUUACACCCGUUCACUGCAAGUAUACAGAUCAACUAGUAGUUUAGGGUAUAUAUCGGGUCGAUCCCACAGGGAAGAGUGAACAAUUACCGGUAUUACUAAAGCUUCUCUAUUAUUUAGACUAUCAAUUAAUGAUAAGAAAUUUAACCUACUGCACUUAUACAAGAAAUUAACAAAUGAAAGCUCCUUAGGUUGUGGUAUCCCUAACUACUCAUGCAAGUGUUAUAUUUGGAUCAUUGAGUACUACAUCUAGGCUAGUUAUGGUGUAAUUUCCUUAUGCAUUUGAAUCCUACUUUCGUAGUGAAUCAAUUAUACUUAUAACUAAUCCAUACCUAUUCUCAUGGUUAUGAAAUUAGCUACAAGUUCAUUUCUUCAAUGAAAUUACAUGAAAUGAAUCACUAAAAACCACAUAAGUGCACCUCUACUUUCGUGAGUGUACUCCCUAUGUUUAGCACUUCUUGAACUAGUGUUAAAUCUCAAUUUUCAUUGCAGAAACAACACCUUAGAUAAUCACAAUUAAUGGUACCAGAUUAAUCAUGAUUUCAAGAGCUAAAGUGCUAAAUAACUUGCUCAAAUCAUGGCAGUCAAAUAACCAAAUAAUAAACACUAACAAUUAUAGAAAGUUCAACCAAACCCAAGGUAUAAACUUUAGAAACACAUAAUGAACACAAAAUCCAGAACUUGUAUAUUAACUAAACUUGGAAUCAAAUACAAAAGAUAAAGAGUUUGGAAGGAAUACAACCCUUGUCACAUGAGCUUUCUUCCUUGCCUUCUUCAUCCUCCAUCUUCAUCCUAAUCUAGAUAAUAAACAAGAAUGGAAAAGCUACACUACUCUAUACUAAGCUAAACUAACACUAGAGAGAUGAAAGAGCUACAUUUCUGCAGUUUCAAGCUUUCUCCCGUAGCUCACUCUCUAUUCUUUUGCUAUGGAUUCCCAAUCUCUUCCUCCUUUUCUCUUGCAAUGAAUUCGGCUAUUUAAUGAUGAAAGUUGGUCAAGAAAUGAGGUCUCCACCUUCCUUUUACAGCUGGGAAUGUUUCUCACAUGCCUAGCAUCGCAUGUGAGUUGGUGGGAUUGAAAUUGAGUUUUACGCGUACAGAGCAGCCUUUUCUGACCACAAUCCGGCCAUAAAUCCGGCUAUAAAUCCGGCCAAAUUCCGGCCGGAUUGCUACAGUAAAUUUGGGCUGCUACAGUGAUCCGAGCUGCUACAGUACUCGGAUCCGUAUGGAUCCGAACUCGGUUCCACUUACCCAGAAACAGCCGAGGGUUCGGAUGAAUAGUGGAUCCGAGUGCGGAUCACUUGCUUUGUUUUUCUGCCCAACUUCAACCGAUCUUUUCUUGAUGUUAGAAGCUGAACCAGCUCAUGUCUAAAACACAAAGGUUGUAGCCUUUUGAGUUAUAUUUCCAAUGCAUCAAGAAUCACCUCAUUUGGAUCUGUGUAGGCUGAGAUAUGACCGAAAUACCCUUGCCUGCUUCAUGCCUUGUUCCAGUUUCGACUAAAUGAAAUUGGCUGCUGUACUUUGGCUUUUUGACUUGGAAAACCUUCAAACUGGAUUCAGAUGUCUUCACCAAAGUUGUAGAUCUAUCUCUUAUCUUCAAAUGGGUUCAAGAAUCAUCCCAAUCCGAUCAUUGUAACUCAAGUUAUAGCCGAAAUACGAAAAUGUGUCAAAACUGUCAAAAUACACAAAAUCCAAGUAAAAAGUGAUAAAAGCCUCAUUUAACCACUUAAAAGCAUUUUUCACCAAUUAUAGCCAAAAUGAUUCAUAUUCUUCCAAUAAUAUAACCAAAGUGACUAAAAAUAAUAUAAAAUGUCAUACAAUUAUUACGUAAAUUAGUCACUUAUCAAUAAAAUAGAAAGGAUCCAGGCUUUCCGUCGAAAUCUUUCUCAAGUGGUUUCUCCUCCUUAGACUCUGAAAUCUUUCUCAAGUGGUUUCUUUUCCUUAAUAUCAGUGCCAUGAUAAAAGAGAAAGGAUCCAGACUUUUCCUCAAAGUCUUUCAUAAGAGCUUCUCCUCCUUAGACUUAGUAUCGUUGCCAUGAUAAAAGAGAAAGGAUCCAGGCUUCAAGUCAAAGUUCUUCACAAGGUGCUUUUCAUCCUUUUCCUCCUUUGAUUUAGUGUCAUCAGUAUGAUAAAAAAAGGAAGGAUCCAGGUUUCGAAUCAAAAUCUUGCACAAAGGUUUCUACUCAUAGUCCGUAGGGUCCUUCCUUGCUUCCGUGAUGCAUGCAAACUGCACAGUAGCGCAAAUAACAACAUAAAAUUAGAAACCAGAGUCAAUAUGGUAGCACACUAAAAGGUGACCCCUCGUAUGGAAAGAUAAUAAAUGUCGAAAGACAACUAGCUUAACUGGUUGGAAUAUUAAUUAGGUGUUCUAAAAUUCUUGAUUUUACUUUUAAGUCCUCGUCAGACGAAUUCCUCUAACUAAGAAAGUAAAUAUUGUAAAACAAUGCCAAAACUCAAGUUACAAUGAAGUUUAAGUAUCGCACUCACAUUGGGAAUAUUUGGAAGUCAAGCAUUUAUGAUAAUAGAACUAAAGAGCCAUCUAAAGAGCUUCUAUUCCCUUAGUGGUGAUGGUUAGAGCUAGAUGAGGAUAAACGUGCAGAAAGGAAGAAGAAUGUUUUUUCUCAGGUAGGCUUAAUUAAUUGACGGGUUUAAUAUUUCCUAUACAGUCGAGCAAUUAUCUCUUAUUGAUAAGUGACUAAUUUACGUAAUAAUUGUAUGACAUUUUAUAUUAUUUUUAAUCACUUUGGGUAUAUUAUUGAAAGAAAAUGAAUCAUUUUGGCUAUAAUUGGUGAAAAAUGCUUUUUAAGUGGUUAAAUGAAGUUUUUAUCACUUUUCACUUCACCUAAAAGUGUCGAUUUUCGCGUCAAAAGGCAUUUUCACUAUUUAAAUAAAAUUAGUGUGAUUAAAUCGCUCUUAGUUGUAAAAUAAUAAUAAAAAAAAAAAGGGAUGAUUAUAGGAGGAGGAAUGCUAUAAAUUGACUAUGUGAUUUGCUUAUUUGUGAAAUUAGGUUAGGGUGAGAGAUUAAAUUUAACUUGUUAAAUUAGGGUAUAAUUAUCUUUCCUUUACUUGAUGUUAUGAGUAUUUAGUGUAAUUUGAACAAUUGUAUAAUGAUUAUUUUUCAAGUCUUGAGGAAUUAAAUUUGACAAAAGUGCGUAUAUUGUUUCACCUCUUGAAUCAUUGUAGUUGAUUAUGUGUGGAUUGCUUGAGAACAAGCAAUGAUUUAAGUGUGGGAGAGUUUGAUAAGUGACUAAUUUACAUAAUAAUUGUAUAACAUUUUAUAUUAUUUUUAGUCACUUUGGGUAUAUUAUUGAAAGAAAAUGAAUUAUUUUUGCUAUAAUUGGUGAAAAAUGCUUUUAAGUGGUUAAAUGAGGUUUUUAUCACUUUUUACUUGGAUUUUGUGUAUUUUGACAGUUUUGACACAUUUUCGUAUUUCGGCUAUAACUUGAGCUAUAGUGAUCGGAUUGAGAUGAUUCUUGAACCAAUUUGAAGAUAAGAGAUAGAUCUACAACUUUGGUGAAGACAUAUGAAUCCGGUUUGAAGGUUUUCUAGGUCAAAAAGCCGAAUUACAGUAGCUAAUUUCUAUUGGUCGAUGCUGAAACAGGGCAAUUAGCAGUCAAGGGUAUUUCUAUCAUUUAUCAGCUUACACAGAUCCAAAUGAGGUGAUUCUUGAUGCAUUGGAAAGCUAACUCAAGAGCUAAAUCAGUAUUUAUCAUCAAGAAAAGUUCAGUUGAAGUUGACACAAAAUCGGAGCAGAGCUGGAAAUUGAACAAAAGUGCACAAAAUGUCACUGUAGCAAUCCGGCUGGAACUUGGCCGGAUUGUGGUCAGAGAAGGCUGCUCUUUACGUGGAAAACUUAUUUUAGCCUUCAAUAAGUCACAUGCAAUGCCAGACAUGUGAGAACUACUUUGCAGCUGUAAAAGGGUGGUGUAGGCCUCAUUUUCUUGACUUCUUUCAUCUUUAUAUAGCCAAAACUUGCAAGUUUGAAGGGAGAAUAGAGAGACAUACGGGAGACAGCUUGGAGUGCAGAAAUGUAGCUCUUGCAUUUUCUGAGUAUUAGGUUAGCUUAGUGUAGACUAGUAUAGUUCAUCCAUUCUUGUAUGUUGGCUAGAUUAGGACGAAGAUGGGGAUGAAGAAAGACGAGUUGAAGCUCAAGUGACAUGGGUUAUCUCUUCUCCAACUCUUUAUCUUUUGUACUUGAUUCUAAGUUCAGUUAAUAUGCAAGUUCUGGAUUUUGUGUUUAUUAUGUGUUUUUAAAGUUUAUGCCUUGGGUUUGGUUGAACUUUCUAUGAUUGUUAGUAUUUAUUAUUUGGUUAUUUGAUUGCUAUGAUUUGAGCAAGUUAUUUAGCACUUUAGCUCUUUCAAUCAUGAUUAAUUUGGUACCAUUAACUGUGAUUAUCUAAGGUGUUGUUUCUGCAAUGAAAAUUGAGAUUUAACACUGGUUCAAGAAGUGCUAAACAUAGGGAGUACACUCACGAGAGUAGAGGUGCACCUAUGUGGUUUUAGUGAUUCAUUUCAUGUCAUUUCAUUGAAGAAAUGAACUUGUAGCUAAUUUCAUAGCCAUGAGAAUAGGUAUGGAUUAGUUAUAAGUAUAGUUGAUUCACUACGAAAGUAGGUUUUAUAUGCAUAAGGAAAUUACACCAUAACUAGCCUAGAUAGUAGUUCUCAAUGAUCCAAAAAUAGCACUUGCAUGAGUAGUUAGGGAUACCAUAACCUAAGGAGCUUUCAUUUGUUAUUUUGCAUAAGUUCAGUAGGUUUCAUUUCUUGUAAUACAUUGAUAGUCUAAAUAAUAGAGAAGCUUUAGUAGUGCCGAUAAUUGCAAUCUUCCUUGUGGGAUCGACCCUUAAUACCCUAUACUCGCUCACGAUUCGUAUACUUGCGAUAAACUGCAUGUGGGGUAUUUAGGAGUUUAUAAAUAUAAAACUUGAUUAGGAUGAGCUUAAUGUUAUAUGUAUACCCUACGCCCGUCACUUAUGAACUACUACUUCAAGUAGAGUAUUGAUGUUUGAGAAACCUUUGCAGGGCAAUUGAAAAGAAUGCGAUGCGAGCGAUAGAUGAAGCCAUGUCCUGCCUUUGAACACACUCGAACUGUAACUUUGGUGGCGUAAACAUUGUUGGGGGACACGGCUUUUUAUACAGGAUGAUAGCCAACUGAAGCUAGCAUGAUUUUCCCCAGUCAUCCGUCCAUGUAAUAAUACAUAAAUAUUGUUUUCAAUAUUCAGGUAAACGUGAAAUUCUUAAUUCAACUUUUAAACCUUCUCCUUUUUUUCAUUCUUCUUACUAGAGAAGUCCCCUUAAACAAACGAAAAAAAAAUUAAUGAACUUUUUGGAAGUUUACAGGGCAGCAUUUAAGUAUUAAUGCGUAUCGUGUUUUAUUCAAUCACAUUAUCUUGCAUUUGUCAUCACCAUCAUUCAAUCAUGAUAAGUGACUAAUUUAUGUAAUAAUUGAAUGAUAUUUUAUGUAAUUUUUAGUCACUUUGGUUAUAUUAUUAGAAAAAAAUGAAUCAUUUUGACUAUAAUUGCUGAAAAAAUGUUCUUAAGUGAUUAAAUAUGGUUUUGCUCACUUUUUACUUAUAUUUUGUGCAUUUUUGAUAGUUUUGACACAUUUUCGUAUUUCAACUAUAACUUGAGCUACAGUGAUCGGAUUGAGAUGAUUCUUGAACCAAUUUAAAGGACCUACAACUUUGGUGAAGACAUCGAAAUCCAGUUCUAAAGUUUUCCAGGUCAAAAAGCUGAAUUACAUUAACCAAUUUCUAUUGGUCGAAGCUGAAACAGAGUAUUGUGCAGUCAAGGGUAUUUCAGUCAUUUCUCAGCCUACACAAAUCCAAAUGAGGUGAUUCUUGAUGCAUUGGAAAGCUAACUCAAAGAGAUACAAGUUUUAUGUUUUGGUCAAGAGUUAAAUCAGCUUCUAUGAUCAAGAAAAGUUCAGUUGAAAUUGAGGCAAAAUCGGAGCAGAGCUGGAAAUUGCACAAAAGGUCACUGUAGCAAUCCGGCCGGAACUUGGCCGGAUUGUGGUCAGAAAAGGCUGUUCUCUACGCAGACAACUUGUUUUCAACUCAAAAAAGUCAUAGCUAAUGCUAGACAUGUGAGAACCACUUUGCAACUGUAAAAGGGAGGUGAAAACCUCAUUCCUUGACCACCUUUGUCUUGAAAUAGCCAAAAACUUGCAAGAUUGAAGGGGAGAGACAUAUGGGAGAAAGCUUGGAGUCUGCAGAAAUAUAGCUCUUCCAUUUUCUGAGUGUUAGGUUAGUAUAGUAUAGGAUAGUUAGCUAGUUAGUUCAUCCAUCUUGUUUAUUAGCUAGAUGAAGAAGAGGUUGAAGGAUGAAGAAGGCAAGGAAAGAGCUCAUGUGACAAGGGUUGCUUUUCCUUUCCAACUCUUUAUCUUUUGUACUUGAUUCCAAGUUUAAUUAAGAUACAAGUUAUGGAUUUAUAUGUUAUUAUGUGUUUAUAAAGUUUAUGCCUUAGGUUUGGUUGAACUUUCUAUGAUUGUUAGUGUUUAUUAUUUGGUUAUUUGAAGUUAUGAUUUGAGCAAGUUAUUUAGCACUUUAACUCUUUAAAAUCAUAAUUAAUCUGGUACCAUUAAUUGUGAUUAUCUAAGGUGUUGUUUCUGCAAUGAAAAUUGAGAUUUAACACUGGUUCAAGAAGUGCUAAACAUAGGGAGUACACUCACGAGAGUAGAGGUACACCUAUGUGGUUUUAGUGAUUCAUUUCAUGUAAUUUCAUUGAAGAAAUGAACUUGUAGCUAAUUUCAUAGCCAUGAAAAUAGGUAUGGAUUAGUUAUAAGUAUAGUUAAUUCACUACGAAAGUAGGUUUUAUAUGCAUAAGGAAAUUACACCAUAACUAGCCUAGAUAGUAGUUCUCAAUGAUCCAAAAAUAGCACUUGUAUAAGUAGUUAGGGAUACUAUAACCUAAGGAGCUUUCAUUUGAUAUAUUCUUGUAUAAGUUUUGUAGGUUUUACUUGUUAUAAUUCAUUGAUAGUCUAAAUAAUAGAGAAGUUUUAGUAACACCGAUAAUUGUUUAAUCUUUCUCGUAGGAUCGAUCUGAUAUAUACCCUAAACUACUAGUUGACCUGUAUACUUGCAGUGAAAUGGGUGUAUUUCGAAUUUUUUAACUCUUACGUGUAACAAAAACCCGUCAAAUCAUAACGGGUUCUCUAAUAUGUUCGCAAGCAGAAUUCUCUUUGCCGGACUAAAUGGGUGUGUUUUAUAAGCCAUGGGAAUAUUGACGUGUUUGCUCAUCAUAGCAUGAAUUGAGAGUACUUAUACGUUUGAUAUUGGUCGUGCACUAAAAGUAGUAAUUCUUCUUAGAGACAUUACUCUGAAGGAAGAAUGUGCUCUUUGCUAGAAAUGCCUAAAUUUAGACGACUUUUAAGAAAACAACUGUUUUUAUUUUAUUUUUUUAUUUUUUUGAAUAAGCUUACGGGAAUUUAGCGCCAUUAGGUGCCCAUAACUAUAGGUGGCAAAUCAACUCAUUUAACUAAAUGUACCCAUACCCGCCCAUGAAUAUCUUAAAUUUUUGUAUAUGGGUAUAAAUGAGUUACCCAAUAAUACCCAUUUAGUAAAUGGGUAUCAUUGGGUAACCCAUCAAACCCAAUUAACCCAUUUAAAUUUUUCUUCUCCCAAGUCACCUCUCUUCCCCCACCCUUUUUUUUUUCAAAAUUUUCAUUUUGUCAAGAUGUUAACUACUUUUGUUUCAUUUUUAUUAUUAUUUGUUGGUUUUAUCUUAUCAUUUUAUUUUCUCUUAAUUUGUUAACUUGCUCAUUUUUCAGCAUUACCAAUUUAUGAUAAGUUUUAACCUCUUUUCUUAUCUUUUCAAAAUGAAAUUUUAAAUUUAUAUAUGAAAAAAAUGUUUAAGGGUUCAAAAUUUUUGGAUUAACUUUUAUAGUACCUAGUUCAAAUUUUUAUAUUCUUAUUAUUCAAUUAUUAAAUAAUAUGUAAUUUUGUGACAUAGAGUAUGGAUGGAAAAAAAUUGGUAAUUAGGCUUAUUGAGCAUUAUAAGUAAAUAUUUAAAACUAAUGAUGGGUCCAAAGAGCGGUAUAAAUUGAUAACUUAAUUUACAAAAAUGAAUUUACAAAAAAAAUAAAAUAAAUGGGCUAUAAAUGGGUAUUUGGGUUACCCAAUUCAUUUUUUGAUUUACCCAUUUAUACCCAUCUAAUUAAAUGGGUAUAAAUGGAUUGACUCACUUAUACCUAUUAUCCAUUUUACCCAACCUAAACCCGUUCAAAUCACCCAUUUUGACACCUCUACCCAUAACUGAUGCUUCAGCAAUUGAAAUGUUGUUUGGGUGGUUAUGUCCAUCUGAUUGAUUUUAAAAUUCGGGCUGGACCGAAUGGUCUAAUCACUUGAACCAAUACAGUUCGAGUUAUUCUUCCUUUUUUUAAAUUUUAUCCACCACAUUUUUUGGACCGUUUUUUUUUCAUAGUUUUUUGAGCUGUCGUAUCACUCAUGUUCUCUUGACCUGAGUUUGAUACUUAAAAAUUUUAAUUGCGCCAUGAUCUUAUGAGAAUAAAAAAUCAAUUACAUAUGCAUUUAAAAAUGGGCCAGAAAAUGUAAAACAGUCUACAAAAAGAGAAGCAACAAAAAAAACUCGGAUUUUUGGUUCAAAUUAAUGAUGCCACGAUGAGAAUAACAUAUCAAUUAGAUAUAAAUUUAAAAAUAGGCAAAAAAAAGUGAAAAACAGUCUACAAAAAGAGAAAAACAAAAACAAAAUAAAAACUCAGUUUUUCGAUUCAAACCCGAUUUUUGACUUAGUUUAAUCAAUGGCUGUCCAACUCAAUCCAUUAACAAGAACCAAAUAGAAUUUCUGAUUCAGUUGUUGGAAUCGGUUGGUCUCGUUUAAUUCAACAACACUGCUAUAUGGUGAUAGAUAAUAGGUUGUUAUAAAAUAUUAAUUAGAUUAAUUCAAAUUUAGUUAAUGUACUAGGGUUUGGUCAAUCCAAUUAAGGUUAGUCAAUCAGUAAGAAUAAGACCAUGGUCCCCCUGAUAUAUUAAUUAAUUUAAAAUCAAAAAGUUGUUUGAUAAUUUAAUUCAAUAUUUAAACUUAUAAUAAUAAUAAUAAUAAUAAAACACGGUAAGACGGACUUGUUAAAUUAUUAUGCUAUAGUGGUAUCAGUAGUAAACCUGCAGGAAUCAAUACGCCACGGAUGGUAAAUGUACCUGUCAAACAAAAAUUGUAUCUUUUUUUGAAAUAAAAAAUAAAAAAACCACACACACACACACACACACGUGUUACGGUCUUGGUGAGGCUUCGGAUCACUAGUAAGGCUCCAAAAUGCCUGACUUGGGAUAGAGCGCAAAAAGAUACAGCACUUUUAGUAUUCAUUUGGCCCGAUCAGGUGAAACCACUAGGUUUAGAUUUUCAACUACAUAUUUUGGGAGACAAGCUUAAUUUGGAGAGCCAGCGUGUGAUGAGUGGAGAUUGGAAAACUUUGAUUUAUUAACUCUAUGAUUGUCUGCCUACUUAAUUUUUAUAGUAAUUUUUCUGCUAAAUAAUUUUAUAUUAUAUUUUGGGUCGAGUUUACCCGAUACGCACUUUUUUGAGUAAUGACUAUGGUUCCUUAUAUAAAAAAAAUGUCUUGGAUGCAACGAUGGUUUCUUGAGAUUGAUUCCUCAUCAAGCACUUAUAUCUUUUGAGUGGUGGGUACUGUUUCUGCAUAAAACAAUUUAUUAUGCAUAAUAAUAGUUUCUGGAUAUCAAUGAUCUAGAGUGUUUGGAUAGGAGAUUACACGGAAUAAUUUUUUUAAAAAAAAUACUAUAAUAUUUUUUUAAUAUACUGUAUGUGAGAUAAAAAAAUAAUUAAAAAAAAAAUAUUAAUUAUGCAAUUAAAUCAGUAUGUAUAAAUAAAAUAUAAAUAAAGUACAAUCCAAACGUACUUAAUUUGCCGCUAUGUAGGGGCGUCCUCUUGACUUUGUACUUCGUACCCACAGAAAACAAUUAAAGAUAUAACUGCUUGAUUCCCGAGUUGAUAAACGAUUGAGUGUGUUGUAAGUGGUAAUUGCACCGCUUGAUCACAUUACUCUGGUUGUCGAUCUCUUUGAUUGAGAUUGCAAUCUUAUUCGAAUGGCUUUCAUUCUUUGAGAAUAUAUCUUCCUUGUGCAUUUCAAUCUUUACAGUUUCAUAAUUGUUUGGGUUAAUUUCACUUACCUCCCCUGAGGUUUUUGACAAUUCAGAAAGCUCCUUUCAAAUUCUAAAAAUUACAUCUAACUCUCCUAUUUUCACUCUUUAGAUAACAUUCUAGGCCCAAAAGGCUAUGCUUUUUCUCAAAAUUCCUAUAGUGCCCUUGAGUUAUAAUACACAACAAAAAUAUAAAUGAAAAAAAUGAUUUACAAUUUCUAUUUCAUUUUUCUUUACUUGCUAUCACUGUUACCUACCCAUCACAUCUAAACCACCAUUAAAUAAACACUUAUCUUUGUUCUAAUAUUUCUCUUUUACCUAAAAAUUUCUGAUGCAAACCAUUGUAUCAACCAUAAAUGCUACAUCAGAUACUCAAAAGUUUAUCUAUAAUCUUAUAUCAAUAUCAGCUGAUUUUACUUAAUACACAACAAUAUUCAUCAAUAUCCCUAAAUUUCAAUUCCAUGACUACCACCAUUUUAAUACAAAAGAAUCUAAACAAUCACUACUAAUAUCAAUAUCCAAUAUACUUCAUUGGCACAGAGUCCAAAAUCAUUCAAAUUCUCUUUAUAGGAAUAACAUUGAUAAUUGUAAAUAAAAAAUAGAAACACAAUGUAGUUAUAAAUAUAUACCGAGACCACCUUUUUUCAUGACAACCAUAACAGUAUAACCUAUAUUUAGUUCCUAUUCCACUUCUUAUCCUUAAUUUUAUUUUUUAUCAUUGUCACUCUCUUCAUCUCCAUCUAGUUUGAUAUGCAAUCAGCACUCAAUUUGUCAUUUGACAAUUUCAAUUUGUUAAUGCCUAUCAAAAAUUGGAAACAAAAAUGGGCACAAGGAAACUAUUUAAUAAUAAUGAAAAAUCUAGAAUUGAGAAUAGAUACCAAGAUAUGUAAGUAUUGGUGCUUUGGUAUGUAUGGUGAUUUUAUUAGUGGCAAUAAUACAUAUUUGGUUGGUAAUAAUAAAUAAAUGAGUUUGAAAAGACAAUAGAUGUAGAAAAAAGACGAUAGAUAGUUAAAUGGGAAAGAUUAUAGUUUGUAUUAUUGGUUGAUAAUAGAUGAGAGAACUUUAAUAUUUGGUAGAGUUUUUCAAUGAGUUAACAAUUAAUGGAGGGCAUUGUUAUCUUUUUAUCAUACCAAGAGAGGUCUCUGUAAUUAUGUAAAUCUCUAGGGAGUCGAGUGAAAUUGUCAAAAACCUCAGGGAAGGUUUCUGAAAUUAUCCCUAAUUGUUUUGUAGAUUGGAUUUACUAGUUAUGGUCCUAACAUGUUGGUUUUCUCAAGUGAUAGGUCCAAAUUAAAAUCUACAAAUAACACUCACAACCUUAAUAUAAAAUUUUGCAUGAAGUCGCUAUAACCGUGGGACACAUUGCCUGAUAUCUUGCUUACGGUUAUAUUUAAUUUAAGGGUUAAUCACAUUUUAUCCCCUUAAAGAAUACUCUAUUUUUCAGUUUACCUCCUAACAUUUAAUUUUGCUCACUUAACCCCCUUUAGGACAAAAUUGCCCUUGCAUUAUUUUGACUUUUCAUUUACCUUGUUUUCCUUUCUUUUAUUUCUUUUUCUCUUUCUUCUUUAUUUAAUUCUUCCUCUUUCCCACAAAAAUCUUCACCUUAAUGAUUGAAAUUAAAAAAAAGAAAUUGUAGAGAUCUAUCUUCUCCUUAAAUGAUUAAAAAAAAUAUUCAAAUCACUUUCCUAAAAUACAAUUUUUUAGCCUUUCAAUUCUUUUAAUUUUGGGUUUUCCUUUUUCCUUUAUAGUUUCUCAUUUUAUUCCCAAGAAAAUAUCUUAAGAUAAAAUUGUGACCUGAUUAAUAACCAUUAAUUGAAAUUUGUGACAUAUGGCAUCAUACAAAAAAUCAAAAUUAGUUUUUGAUGCCUUUUAAACCUUCACCCAGAUAUAUGCAAUUAAAAACUCAAAACAAAAAUUUUCGUUGAAAUUGAAUUUCUAUUGGGAAGGAUGAAAGAGAGAAGAAAGAGAAAAAGAAAUAAAAGAAAGGAAAACAAUUUCAUCUUAUGAUAUUUUCUUGAGAAUAAAAUGAGAAACUAGAAAGGAAAGAGAAAAACCCAAAAUUAAAAGAAUUGAAAGGCUAAAAAAAUUUUAUUUUAGGAAAGUAAUUUGAAUAUUUUUUAAUCAUUUAAGGAGAAGUAGAUCUCUGCAAUUCCUCUUUUUUAAUUUCAAUCACUAAGGUGAAGAUUUUUGUGGGAAAGAGGAAGAAUUAAAUAAAGAAGAAAAAGAAAAAGAAAGGAAAGAAAGGAAAAUAAGGUAAAUGAAAAGUCAAAAUAAUGCAAGGGCAAUUUUGUCCUAAAGGGGGUUAAGUGAGCAAAAUUAAAUAUUAGGGGGUAAACUGAGAAAUGGAAUAUUCUUUAAGGGGGUAAAAUGUGAAAAUCUCUUAACAUUGUUGUGCACGCAAGGGGAUAAAAUCUCUUAAUUUAAUGGUUAUUGAUUUGCAACGUUGUUGUGCACGCACAAAUUUUCAAGAGAUGUAAAAAGAGAUACUUGAGUUACAAAUUUCGUUUUAUAGCAAAAAACAUGGAAAAAUAAAUGAAUAAUUAGUGUGUAGUUAGCUAAUUUGGUUUAUUUUUUCUUAACUAGCUAUAUUUUCUAAGGAAAACAUUCUGGUAAAUAAAGUUAUGCGUACUGGUGUUAUGCAUAAAUUGAGUUAUAGAAACACUUCAGAAAACCAAAAUAAAGUUAUGGCUAUGUUAUAGAUGCUAUGCGCAUAUUAGGUUGGAUCUUAUUUCUCUUGAUUUCAUAUUAUUGAAAAUGACAAAGAAUAUUAGCAGAAAUGAUUUUGUAGGAUCGAGAUUUUAUUAUGAUUUAACAGUUUCUCGAGGUGAAGGAUGGGCGGGGUGGCACUGGUGAAGAAAGUAUAAGUGAGAAUUCUCAAGAAAUCUAGAGUUCGAGAAUUCUCACUAACAUUCAAAAACAAAAAAAAAUCUCGAGUAAAUAUAUGAUUAAAAAAUUAAUAUUCUCAUGUUAAUCUACUUGUUUAAUCUUGUUUUAGAUUUUAGUCUUUGAUCUGUUUUGUGAGACAAUGUUACUCAUUUUGUAACUUGCAUCCAUCAAAUGUAAUUGUAUUUUUAAUUAGAUAUUCAUUCCAUAAUCCCAAGAGGCAUGUUAAAACUGUACAAUGAAAAGAACUAAACAUUAUUUUUGUUAGAAGUCAUACAUUAAAAAUUUAGAUGUCAAACUGUAGGUCAUAUCAACUUAUAAGUUAGGGUAUUAAAAGACAUUUUUUUCGUAUACCAUUAUUUGUAGGAGAUUAAAAGAUAUUUCUUCUUUUUCUUUCUUCAGUUUUUUUAUUCUUCGUUAAUUAAAAAGUACAGCUAGAUACAAUAACGUGUCAGAUUUUACCCAAAUUGAAUUUAGACUCAAUGUCCUUACCAAGUUCAAUCUACUAAAUACCCAUUUUUUACUUUUAUUCAAUACGUUGAUUGUUGAUAAAUUUUACUAUCAAGUUUAAUUCCCUUAGCCUAAACAAUAUUGACUCAUUUAAGAAUCCUUAAAAAAAUUCAGUGUGGUUCAUUAAGGAAUUGAGAAUAACUUGAAACACUUUCAGAUCUUACUCCAUCACCACCGAAACCUCAGCUCCACCGACACCUCCAUCACCACCGACUGGAAUUCUCCUCUUCUUCCCUCUCAAGUGCGAAGUGUCCUUGUCGAUAAUGUUUUACCUCCCUCUUCAGUUUUACACUUCGCGGUAGCAGUUUUCCGCGACCUGGGUUCGGUGGCAGCAAAAGAGAAACCCAGCAACCAGUAAUGUUGCAGUGAAAGGAAACCAGUCCACCACCACUUGAUCAGCCGUUCCUUUCUUCCACGCCGUUGCCAGUGUCUAUCAUUUCCGAUUACCAGGUAAGGCUCGGACAUUAGGGUCCACCUACCAUAGUGCCAGUCAACAUAAUACUAAAGGACAGCUAAGAUCUCGUGAGAAAAGUUGGAGAAAAGCCAACACUGACGGAAAAGUAGUAAACCUUUGCGGAAAGUGCCCGACAAAUUAAUUGGAUUUGGUCGCCCUGCUUUGGCCAUCAGUCACGACUGAUGGCUGCGGUGGCUGCCCAUCCCUCGAGUGAGGGUGGGCGGCAUCCCUCCACGAUUCCAGCGUUCCGCUCCAAGUCCUUCUCGGAGCUUUUCUCUCCUCAGCAACGAACACAAGUUUUAGCGUCGCACUCAACUCACCGUGGGGAACCAGCGGUCUCCUUCCCCCAUGAUGUCAUUGAAGCUGUCGUGCAACCAUUCCGUUACGCGUUGGUGGGCAAGUUCUCCCGCGGCAGGCCCUGCAUGGAAGAUAUCCGUAAGUUUUCCUGUUCUCUGGACUUGAAAGACACCUUCACUGUUGGCUUGAUGAAUGCUCGGCACGUCCUCAUUCGGCUGCACAAUGAGGCAGAUUUACAUAUCCAGUUCACCUAAUUCUCGAAAGCCCGAUGCGAGUGUUUAAAUGGACACCCACAUUUCAUGUUGAUAGGGAGUCAUCCCUUGUGCCCGUAUGGUUCAGCCUGCCCAAACUUCUAGUUCAUUUGUUCGACAAGCAAUGCUUGUUCCCGAUAGUUUCUUGUCUAGGCCAUCCGUUGUUCAUUGAUUCUGCAACUGCUACGAUGUCUAGACCCAGUGUUGCUCGGGUCUGUGUCGAGAUAGACCUUUUGAAGGAGAUGCCAUUACGGGUGCGGAUCCAACUAGGGGAAGGCCACGGUUUUUUGCAGCCGCUUAAUCUAGAAAGUUUACCGAAAUAUUGCACCCAUUGUCAUCGUCAGGGCCACGAGCAGUCGGGUUGCUGCGUUAAACAUCCUGAACUUCGUGAGGAGAAGGUAGGAUCAAAGAGGGACACUCAACUAGCUGCGAGACCUUCACGGGAGAGUAAAGAUCAAGCAUUUGGCCUGGAGGGUGGAGGAGCCGUUGCUCUCACGAAUGUCGCAAGGGUCGAGCCAUUUCGCGUGGGAGGAGAGCAACCUGGUGCAGGUUGGGAGAGCGUGUUGGAGGUCGGACAGGCUCUUGGUGACGCUGACACGGGCCGUGGACAAAUGACGUCAGGAGUUGAGUGCCCUAUUGUGGGUGUGGAGGUCUAUUUGGAGGGUGGCAGGGGAGAUGGGCUUUUUCCACAGAGCCGGGAGGAGGGAGAAGGAGUACGGUAAGAUGCUGACCUUAGGGUAGUUGCGACCAUGGUGGUGGAGAGCGCUGUCCACGCUACUGCCGACGCCAUUAUCACCGAGCUGGCCACGUGGGUUGCAGAUGAAAAUGACUCCAUGGCUGGUGAAGAGGAUGAUGCGGCGGCGGUUGGGGAGGAUAAAGCUGACGAAGUACCGGAUGGUGUGGCUUUAGACACCACUACUUGUGCUAGUUCGUUAUCUCUACGGGGAUACAAUGGGAGAUGCAAUGGGGGAAAUGGAGGGCAUGGGGUUGCGGAGGCACUACACCUGGAUCAGGUGGCACUCCUACAACAAGGCGGCCAUCGUGUUAGAGGGCGGGGUGUCCGUGGCUCGGUCCCUUCAGAUAGAGAACUCAGGUCGAUAUCUAAUAAACCUCAAACUUCAUUCCAGCUUUUAUCUCAUGAUUAAUGCAUGUUUUUGGAAUAUUCGGGGAGUUUCCAAGCCUCCAAACCUUAGGAGACUCAAAAAAUUAGUUUGCAUGCACAAAUUAGCAGUGGUGGGGAUUUGCGAGCCCAAGUUACUUGUGGCUGAAAUUGAGUCGAUUCAUAUUCGGUUAAACUUCGAUUCUGUAGUGUAUAAUUCCUCAGGAGAGGUCUGGGUGUUCCUUCGGGCCCCCUUUGUUGGUCGAGUAAUAGGAGAAUCUGAUCAGCAUAUCUCUCUGCUCUUGGGACACCCUCGGUUUCCUAUUGAGGUUCUUGUUUCCUUUGUUCAUGCUAAAUGCCAGUUAGCCGAACGUGAAUGGCUCUGGGAGGGUUUGCUGCAAGAUAAGCCAUAGCAAGGGCUUUGGUAUGUGGUGGGGGAUUUUAAUCUUACCUUAUCGGCAGAUGAAAAGAGAGGGGGGAGGCGUUUUCAGCCGAUGGAGGGGUUAGAGUUUUCUCGCUUUAUGUGAUAAGUGCAUAGUUUACGUAUUUUUAGUGUAUUUUAUUAGUUAGUUUUGGUGUGUUUUAAUUAGUUUUAUAGCUAAUUAACUAAGAUUCUAGUGAAAAUAUGUAUUUAGAGGUUUAAGUGUUAAAAAUUGCAUUUCUAUGGAUUUUUAUGGUGAAAACUUCAUGUUUUUGUAGGUUUAAUGAUUCAAUCAUCAAAUGGCAUAAAUUGAGAAGAGAAUUGGAUGAUUGAUAAUGGUUUUAAGUGAUAAAAAGAGAAUAUGAAGUGCAAGAGAUGAAAUGCAAUCAAGUUCUAAAGAAAAGGAGUUUCACAGCUUUGACAUCUUGUGGUAUUUUGGUAAUAUCUCAAGCGACAAUGGUCGGAUUGAGGUGAUUCUUGUACCAUUUUGAAGCCAAGAGAUAGAUCUAUAUUUGGUUGAAGACAUUGAAGUCCAAUUCGGUGGUUUUCACAGUCAAAAAGUCGAAAAACUGAAGUACAUUUUCUAUGGUCGAAGCUGAAACAAGUUUCUGACCAGUCAAGGGUAAUUUGGUUAUUUCUCAGUCCACAGAGUUUGAAAUUAGAUGAUUCUUGAUGCAUUGGAAAGCUAACUCAAAGGGUUACAACUUUUGUGUUUUACACAAAAGCUAGUUCAGCCUCUAACAUCGAGAAAAUAUCAGUUGAACUGGACCAAAAACAGAGCAAGCGAUCCGAACCCAAAUCCAAUAUGAACCGAGCCCUCGUCUGAUCUUCUGGACAAGUGGAUCUGAGACCAUAGGAUCCGUGCUCGGAUCCACUGUAGCAGGCCUCGGAUCCCAAUGAACAGUGAAGGUAAAAAAUGAAGAAAAAUGCGAGGGGUAAUUUGAGUGAUCCGGGCUCGGAUCUAUCCCUCGGAUCACUACUUUUGGUGCACCAACUUGUGUUCUGUUCACACAAACUUUUUGACCAACCUUUCCUGCAAGAUUAUCGGUGGAAACAGCCCAAGACAGCUGCAAAAGAAGCUUUACAAUGCCAUUUUAGCUUAUUUAUGGGCUCAAGACAUGAAAAAACACUUGUCCAUUACAAGAAAUUCCUCUCUAAAUAUAAAGCCUUGAAGAACAUUUUCAUAAUUUUAGGGAGGCUAGAGAAACUCCACAAAAAUGUAGUUCUCACUAGUUUUUCUUAGUUGAAUUAGUUUAGUAGUUGAGUAUAGAGUAGUGUAGUUCAUCCUACUUGUUUAUUAGCUAGGCAAAGAUGAAAAUGGAGAUGAAGAAGGCAAGGAAAAGCUCAUGUGACAAGGGUUACUUUUCCUUUCCAACUCUUUAUCUUUUGUACUUGAUUCUAGGCUUAGUUAAUAUACAAGUUCUGGAUUUUGUGUUUAUGAUGUGUCUUUAAAGUUUAUGCCUUGGGUUUGGUUGAACUUCCUAUGAUUGUUAGUCUUUAUUAUUUGUCUAUUUGAUUGCUAGUAUUUCAGCAAGUUAUUUAGCACUUUAGCCCUUUAAAUCAUGAUUAAUCUGGUACCAUUAAUUGUGAUUAUCUAAGGUGUUGUUUCUGCAAUGAAAAUUGAGAUUUAACACCAGUUCAAGAAGUACUAAACAUAGGGAGUACACUCACGAGAGUAGAGGUGCACUUAUGUGAUUUUAGUGAUUAAUUUCAUGUAAUUUCAUUGAAGAAAUGAACUUGUAACUAAAUUCAUAACCAUGAGAAUAGGUAUGGAUUAGUUAUGAGUAUAGUUGAUUCACUACGAAAGUAGGUUUCAAAUGUUCAAGGAAAGUACACCAUAACUAGCCUAAAUAGUAGUACUCAAUGAUCCAAAAAUGGCAAUUGCAUGAGUAGUUAGGGAUACCACAACCUAAGGAGCUUUCAUUUGUUAUUUUCUUGCAUAAGUUCAGUAGGUUUUACUUGUUAUAAUUUAUUGAUAGUCUAAAUAAUAGAGAAGCUUUAGUAGUACCGGUAAUUGCAAUCUUCCUUGUGGGAUCGACCCUUAAUACCCUAUACUCGCUCACGAUUCGUAUACUUGCGAUAAAUCGCGUGUGGGGUAUUUAGGAGUUUAUAAAUGUAAAACUUGAUUAGAAUGAGGUUAAUGUUAUAUGUAUAACCUGCGCACAUCAUUAUGUAUGAUGGAGAGGUGUUUGACGCAGGAUUCACUGGUCCCACGUUCACCUGGUGUAAUAAUAGGUUAGGGCGAGCACGAAUCUAGAAACGUCUGGAAAGAGUAUUGGUUAAUAUGGCCUGCUUGAACUUUUCCUUAUCAAUCUCAGUCUCACAUUUAGUCCGUGCACCAUCGGACCAUGCCCCGCUCCUGAUAUCCUUUACUCCUAGGGCCAACAUUCGGUGUCGCUCAUUUCGUUUCUUAAACAUCUGGCCGGCCAGGAGGGAUUUUCUUGAUGUGGUCAGGUUGGCGAGUGUCUCUCGGGCCCUACAUCUGUGGAAUAAGGAGACGUUGGGGGAUGUUUUUGAGAAUGUGAAAAAAGGAGAAGCUGCGGUGGCGGCGGCUGAUCUCAAGGUACAAUCUGAUCCAUUCGUCGAGGCCUUUACUGAACUACAGCGGGCAAAAAGCCACUUGAAUAAGCAGUUAGCAAUUGAAGAUCUUUUUUGGAGACAAAAGGCUAGGAUCAAGUGGCUACAACAUGGUGAUCUUAAUUCAAAAUAUUUUCAUUCAGUUGUCAAGCAGCGGAGGAUCCAAUCUUUUACUCACAGGAUUAGGGAUUCUCGGGGAAGUGGGUGACGGACGAUGCAGAGACAGGGAAGGAAGCUAUCGGGUACUUUGGUGACUUAUUCACGGCCGGUCCUAUUGCUGAUUAUCAUCUCCUCCAUGUUAUCCCUAAUGAGUUCAGAUAUUGAUAAUACCAGAUUGGAGGAGGUCCCCUCCUUCGAAGAGGUAUGCAAGGUGAUUUUCGAGAUGGAUGGUGAUAGUGCAGCUGGUCCAGAUUGUUUCACUGGUCGAUUCUUUGUGGCUGCCUGGGAGGUUGUGGGUCAGGAUAUGUAUAGGGCAGUCGUUAGCUUCUUCUGCGGCGCGGAGUUGCCUCGUUUCGUCACGGCGACAUCUAUAGUCCUUCUGCCCAAAACUAUGAAUCCAAAUGACUUUAUGCAAUUUCGGCCCAUUAGUGUAUGUAACUUUCUUAAUAAAGUGAUUUCUCGAAUCUUGGUGGGUAAGCUCUCAGGUGUAUUGCCACGUCUCAUCUCACCGCAGCAAAGUGGAUUUGUCCAAGGUCGAUCUAUUUCAGAUAACUAUUUGCUUGCUCAGGAGCUAAUGUCCGAAAUAGGAAAGAAGUGCAGGGGGCAACCUAGCGUUUAAGUUAGAUAUGGCUAAGGUGUACGACCGGGUCUCUUGGGGGUUUUUUAUUGCCGUGUUGUGACGGUUUGGCUUCGGCGAAAGGUUCAUCAACAUGGUGUGGAGGUUGAUUUCCAAAGUUUGAUUUUCUGUGAUUAUUAAUGGCGUGCCCUAUGGAUUCUUUAAAUCCUCUAGGGGUCUCCGUCAGGGUGAUCCGUUAUCACCGGCAUUAUUUAUCAUCAGUUCGGAGGUUCUGUUCCGAGGCUUGAAUUUUCUUGUCAAUCAAUCCAGUUUCGCGGCGUUUAAGAUUCCUAGGCACUGCUUCCCUAUCACUCAUUUGGCAUUUGCAGACGAUGUCAUCAUUUUUGCUAAUGGGGGUGCGGCUUCCCUAAAGAGAGUGAUGCAGAUACUGGAGUGGUACCAGAAUGAUCCGGGGCAGUUGGUUAACGUGCACAAAAGUGGUUACUUUGUUCACCCUUGUCUUUCCCCGGCUCGGCAAGGGGUCAUUGAGCGGAUCACUAGAUUCCAAAAGAAAGAGCUCCCAGUUCGGUACUUAGGAGCACUGCUGUUUGUUGGUCGCGCAAAGGUUAGUUACUUCUCUGGCCUAUGUCAGAAGAUGCUUGACAAGGUUUUGUCUUGGAAGUCCUGACUUUUGUCGUUCGGGGGAAAAAUUGUGUUGAUUAAACAUGUCAUGUCUAGUAUCCCGAUCCACCUCUUGGGGUUGGGUGUGAUGCCUAAGGGAGUCUUCAAGGUUAUUGAGAGGGUUUGUGCGAACUUCCUUUGGGGAUCAGGUCGGGAAUCCAACAAAUUCCAUUGGCUCCGGUGGAAGGACUUGUGCUUUCCCACUGAUGAGGAUGGGGUGGGGUUGCGGUCGAUUAGUGAUACUUAUAGGGCCUUCUCCUGCAAGCUCUGGUGGAACUUCAAGUAUGGGCUUUCCUUGUGGGCAAGAUUCAUGCGAGCGAAAUACUGUCAUGGGCUUCAUCCUUGUCAAGUCUCCAUAUCUACAUUGGGAUCAGCAACCUAGAGGCGGAUGCUGGACAUUAGGGGAUUUGCGGAGCUACUGAUUGGUUGGAGGCUCUCCGUGGGUCAAUGCGACUUCUGGUAUGAUAACUGGAGGGGGCACGGGGCCUUCCAUCUACGCGUGUAGGUCCAGGAGGGUAUCUCAUUUCAGCAUGUUAUGGAUAAUGGGGGUUGGAUCCAAGGAAGGCUUGCGGAGCUUUUUCCUGCUGACAUGGUGCAACAAGUCCUGGCGGUGGUUUGUCCAGUCGGGGAUUCUCCGGAUAGAAUGGUAUGGACUGCAUCGUCUUCGGGUCAAUUUUCGCUGGCUUCGGCAUACAGUGAGCUCCGCGAAUGCAAGGCAUCCUCUUUUUUGUAUCGACAGCCUUGGCAUCCAAGGGUUCCCCAGAAGGUGUCCUUUUUUGUACUUCGGUUACUGCGGAAUCGUCUCCCCUUGGAUGACGUCCUAGCGUUAUACGGUUUCCACCUGCCCUUGAAGUGUUCUUGUUGCUUAAUUCCACAGAUUGAGUCAGUGGGACAUUUGUUCUCAGAGGUGGGUUUGGCGGUUGUAGUUUGAAAGUUUUUUGGUUCAGUUUGUGGGGUUUUCCCUAAUGCAGGUAAUGUUCGAGGGGUCUUCGGGAGUUGGUGGUUCAAGCGGGUCAAAUCGGAGAGGCUCAAAUUCAUCUUCCGACUCUUGCGUAGUCUUAUCUGCUGGUACAUCUAGAAGGCUAGGAACAAGGCGCGAUUCCAAGGGAUCGAGAUGAACCCGGUUAUUGUUUGUCGGGCUGUUUUUCGGGAUCUUAAAGAUGCCUAUGGCCUGGAGUUCAUGGAGUUGCAGCAGGUGUGGGAUUGGCCUACGUUCUUCGACAGGGUGGAGCAACGGCCUGUUGUCUUUCGAAUGAAGUUGAUUCGUUGGUACUCUCCUCCGCCUCGGUUUGUCAAGAUGAACAUAGAUAGAUGCUCAAAAGGUAACCCUGGGGUGAGUGGUGGAGGUGGGAUCCUUCGGAGCUCUGAGGGUAGAUUGCUAUUUGCGUUCUCGGGGUUCUUGGGGCAAUGUACCAGCUUACAGGCAGAGGCCAAGGCUUUGCUGCUUGGGCUGCAGUUAUGUGUACAAUGAGGCUUCUUGGAGAAUCUAAUUGUUGAAUCAGAUUCGUUGAUGCUAGUACAAACUCUCUAGCAAGAGUCCCAUUGUCCUUGGUCCAUCGAUGGGGAGGUGGAGAAGAUUUUACAUCUAACUCGUAGAGGGGUUCAGGUCGUGCACUGCUACAGAGAAGCUAAUACGGUGGCGGAUGUGCUGUCUAAUGUGGGCUGUGCCCAUAUCGAUAAGAGGAUUUGUGUGUAUGACACCUUCGCGGGCCUCCCAUUCUUAGCUAGGGGUGCUUAUCGUUUAGACAGAUUGGCUUUUCCUUCCUUUCGCAGAUGUAGGCCCUUGCGUCGGAAUUCCAAUGUGUAACACUCCUUUUUAAUUGAAUAAAAGUCCGAGAUUUUUUGGAAAAAAAAAAGGAAUUGAGAGUUUCUUACUUUGAUCUGAGUGGUCCAUUUUUCUUUAAAUAUCCUUUUUUUUCUCAUUAUUCUUUUGUCAUGACUAUACUAUUGCUAAAUAAAUGCUAUUGGUUUGCACUAAUAGCUAGUUGCCCAUGUUCUAAUAGAAACAACUUUUAUAUUUCAUACUUAUAAUUUGAUAAAGUAUUUGGGCUUACUAAUAUUUGUUGCGAAAUUAGAUUGAAACAUAAUUUUCAGUGCUUGUCAAGCCAAAAUUUUCAAACAUGGAGAGAUGUUUAUAGGGAUUAUUCUUACUAAUUUCUUUAUUUUGCUUGAUGUUUGGAGCUUGAUUUUUUUAUUUGUUAUAGAAUGAAAACUGAAAAAUAGUUAACUUAUUCUUACGGGAAUUUUGUCUCAUUUUACCGCUUAAUUUCUAUUGUUUGUAGCAAGAAAUUACUUUUCAUAAUUUUUUUUUGUUUUCAAAAGUCGUUAUAUUUGAAAUUUAUCCAAAAUCGAUUUUCUUAAUUAUUUAUUAAGAUUCUCCGUUUCUCUGAAUCCAUAAAGAUAUGUAUGUAUUUUUAAGUAAAUAUAUGAAUAUAAUUAUAGUAGUACAAGAAUCAAUUUAUUUAUUGUACAUAUCUGAGAUCUUGGCCACUUCGAUUCGAUGCAAUCAAAAUUGAUCCAAACAAAUAUAUCUCUUCACAACGAUUUCUUUGGCACCCAUAAUUUUUUUGUCUGAGCUUUUAGUUAUUGUGGGUACUCAUAAUUAAUUUCGUACCAAGUAGAAAUGAUCAAAAGGGCCUAACAAAUGUAUCACUUCGUUUCAUGAAUUGUCAAUUCUAUAUCUUGGAUUUGGAUUACGAUCUUUGCUUACUUGAGUGGUUUUCGGAUUGACGCGUACUGAACGUCCGCCCAUGAUGAGACUGGAACUAUUGCAAUGGCUCAUGGUUAUAUCACCAAAAGCCAUCUUUCUUUUGGUUAAUCUAUGAGUUUGUGUAAUAUACAUAGCCUUGAUCUACUGUAAAGGAAGGGUAAACUAGAGGUUAAGUUACCUCUUGUGGUUAGUGUCGCGGUGUCGCCCCACACAUCAUAUCCCUCUUAUUACACACACACAUAUAUAUAUACAUUAUUAUUAUUAUUAUUAUUAUUAUUAUUAUUAUUAUUAUUUUGUUAAAAUUAUAAGUAAUUCAAGAAUCAUAAAAUCAGUUAUCAGAUUUCAACUCAAGAAUGUCACAAAAUAAUGCACUAUUGGUGGGGUAAAGAUUAAUAUAUAGCUUACAUAUAGUCUGACUAAUAUAUAGCUUACAUAUAGUCAGACCAAACUCACCAUUGCAUGAGUUGGCUUGGGCGAAUUCAAGUAUUGCUAGUUUAUGAGUUGGAAAGACGUUGAGGAAAAGAAGAGUUCAUAUAUUGGUUUUGGCCAAAGGCAGGGUUUGGACCUAUGGUCAGGAGAUCCAACGGAAUAAAGAUUUUUUUGUAAAGUUUUAACUUAUUGUCAAUACGAGUUAGAGUAUAUAUUGCCGUAGGCUUUAAUUAUUAUGAUGACUAUAUUAUUUAUGAUAAAAAAAAGUUGAAUCUUCUUUUAUUUCACCACGAAGCGAUGUCUAUGUUUGACCUAAAAUAGAUCUAAUACUCUUGCAGAAAUUAUUUACCACAAAACUUGUUAUGAAGAAGAAAAUUUGAUGUAAUUUAAAAAGGAAGGAAUGAACAUUUUAAAAUUUAAAGGGGCAUAAUGUUGUAAAGGAAAGAAACUCUCUAAAAUUCAGGGGGGCAAACAAGGUACAAAACUGAAAAUAUCAUUUUAUAUCAAGCUUAUUGUGUAAUUUUUCAAAACCUGAGGGGGGCAAUUGCCUACCUUCAAGCGUGAAUGGCUCCGCAGUGGUUUUGGUAGGAAUGAACAUUUUAAUAUUUAAAGGUGGGAAAAUCAUUCAAAACGUUCUUCACAUUUUACCAAAUAAUUUUUUUCGACCCUCACUUUUAAAAAUGUAAUUUUACAUCCCUUAUAAAUUCACAAUGGUCAAUUUUGGUCCCUACUUAGGUUUUCAACUAGUUUUUUAUCAGAAUCCACCACGUGCCUUGCACGUGAUUAUAUUUUAAGGGAAAAAUUGUCAAAUCAAAUUUUAUAUAAUUCGAUUCAUAAUCCCUCACAUUUCACAAAAUGAAUUUUUUCGUCCCUUUCAUUUUAUAAAAUGAAUUUUUUCCUCCUUCACAUUUUUCAAAGUGAAUUUUUUCAUCUGUUAUUGAUCAUGUGUGUGAAUAAAUUUUUUUAAAAUUCAUGUAUAUAUCUAUUUGAUUUCACUUGAACAGUACGAAUAGCAUGUGAAAUCAAAUAGAGAUAUAUUACAUACUAUUUAUAUUGCUCAAGUGAAAUCAAAUAGAUAUAUACAUGGGUUUAAAAAAAUUGUUAAUUUUUCACUCAUAUUCAUUUUCUUUUACUUGAAAUUUGAAAAUAAAGAAGACAUUUAAUCCUAAAUAUUAUGAGUAUUUGUAUCGAAUUAAAUUUGGACAGAAAAAAUAAACAAAAGAAAAGUAUGACAAAAAGAAAUAAGUGAUUGGCGCUUUCAAAUUUUAAAACAAUCACAAGGCAAGUAAUUCAUCUGUUGGUCUCAAAAGUGGCGAGUAGAAAUUUCAUAUUUAAACUAAAUAGUAAAAAGUCAGGGAGGUAAUUGAAAAUUUGAAACCUUUGGGUUUUACAUAAUAUUGUUAGAAAUCUCAGGGAAGACUUCUGUGAUUAUCCCAAUUGCGUAUGCCUCCAAUUGUAAAUCUCUUUUUCUUGACUGGCAAACUUUAUAUCCAUGUAAUAUAGGGACUUUCAAGUCAUAUCCUAACCAAGACGAUGCACGAUUGCACAUAAUAUAAUUGAACUUUCACUUUGGGCAGAAUUUAUGCGAGCAAAAUACUGCAGGGGACUUCAUCCUUGUCAGGUGGAAUUGAAGCGGUAUGACUCGGUGGCGUGGAAAAGAAUGUUAAACAUAAAUCGACAAGUGGAACUAUCUAUGGUAUGGUUGGUUAACGCGGGUUCCUGUAACUUUUGGUAUGACAACUGGUUGGGUAGUGGUGCUCUAUAUCUUAAAACUACGGUGUAUCCAGCCCUAACUUUCAAGGAAUUCAUAUCAAAUGGGGACUGGAACAUUAACUUGCUCGGCCAAUAUCUAUCGCAAGAGUUUAUCCAUCCAAUAUUACAACAUCCGAUUCCAGAGGGAGAUUGCCGCGAUGAACUUAUAUGGAGGCAAACAGCAUCGGGAAGGUUCACAUUAUCAUCGGCCUUUCAGGAGGUUCAUCAAGCUCGUAAUUACUCUGUGAUUCAUUCUCAGCUAUGGCAUACUCGGAUUCCAUUGAAAAUAUCUUUCUUCAUGCUGAAAUUGUUAUUGAAUAAAUUGCCGUUAGCAAAUGUUUUGUGGAGGGUGGGUGUCCAAUUGGCAUCAAAAUGCUUGUGCUGCCAAGAGGAAUCAAAUGAGACAUUGGAGCAUGUUUUCUCGGAUGGUCAGGUUGCGAAGGGAGUCUGGAAUUAUUUUGGUAGGAUGUGUGGGGUAACAGGCUCAUCACUACGGACAUGGAUAAUGGUUUGGUGGAUGUCUUCACCUAGGUCUGAGAAAAGACGGUUCCUUUACUCAGUUCUCCCAAGUUUUAUAUGCUGGCAUAUCUGGAAGGCUCGGAAUAAAACAUACUACGAAGGGACUCAGAUGCGAGUUGCAAGAAUUUGUCAUGAUAUUUUGCUAGAUGUGAAAGCGGUAGUAGAAUUUCAGUUAACCAGAGGCUUGCGGUGCAAACGUUUCCUCAAUUAAACGAGUGGACAGCUCAACCGCCAACUUGUUAUACUUUUCAACUGGUGGGGUGGAGGGCGAAAGAGGCUGGAAUGUUAACAUUGAAUACGGAUGGAUGCUCCAAGGGCAAUCCAGGAUUGAGUGGUGGUGGGGGAAUACUAUGUGAUUCAUCGGGAACUCCAUUAUUGGCUUUCUCGGCUUAUUUUGGAGAAACUUCUAGUUUGCGGGCAGAAGCGAUGGCCUUGUUAACGAGUCUCCGAUUGUGCAAUCAAAAGGGAUUUACCAAUGUAAGUAUACAAGUUGAUUCACUAAUUUUGGUUGAAAUUCUUCAAAGACGACUCCAGUGCCCAUGGAUGAUACGAAGAGAGGUCAAACAAAUUUGGGACAUAGUUGAGGAUGCGACGCAUUUUGCUCAUUGCUGUAGAGAAGCUAACAAGGUGGCGGACAGACUGGCAAAUGUGGGUGCUUCUACCAGUGACCAUGACGUCAGCAUUUAGGAUCAUUUCAGUGCAAUUCCAAGAUUGGCGCGUGGGGAAAUUUGAGUAGAUAGGUUAGGCAUUUCGUCUAUCAGGAGGAGAAAAGUAGACUAACCUAUGGGAGGGUUUAGUCGAGAGUUUUAAUUUUAAUUCUUCUGGCAUUUGGGUUUGUUGGCAAUAUGUUUUUCAUCCAUUUGUAAGGGGAAACUCUGUCAAAAGUUUCUAAAAAUAAAAUAAAAUAAAAUAAAAAUAAAAAAAUACUAUAUAUGGGCGAUUGAUCUUCUGUGCAAAAAAAAAAAACUUUCAAAAUUUAGCUUUUUGUAUACUGUAAUCAAAAUUUAGUUUGCUCGUAGACUGUAAUUUAUCGUUCUUCCUCCAUGGGAGGGAGAUCUUCCUUUUCCUUUGUUUCUAUUUUAUAUUUAAUAAAGUCUGUCUUAAGCUAUUCUAGUAAGAGUUUUGUCUCCUCUAAUAUUUUGCUAGUGAGAGUUUUGUUUGUUUUUUUUUUUUUUACUUUUUCCUCAAAUCUAAGAGAUUUUUUAGAUCUAUAUGUUAAAUCUGAAAUUUCUUGAAUCUUCUCAUCAGAUCUUAACAUUGAUUUUGAGUUUGAAUCAGUAGAAUAAAAGAUAUGAGGGAAUAGACAUGCACAGAUAUCUAUUGGAGCAAUUCGUGCAAUUAGUCAGAUCCGAUGGUUUAUGAUUCAUAAUGUAAACUUUUAUAUUUUGUAACUCUGUUAAAUCUAAUGAUUUUUUAGAUCAAAUAUAUCUGUGACAUGUUUUAUAUAUUUUCUACCAUUAGUGUAGAUUGCUUUGUCAAACAAAUUGUGCUGGAUGAUUUUCAACUACUUUAUUAAUAAUAUUGGCUUCUAUUUUAUAUAAAAAAAAAUUAACCUACAUUGGUAUGCUCAUUUUGGAACAUUGACUAGCUUACUCCUACAUGUUCUUGCCACUUUUAGUCGAUUGUCCUAAUUUGCCACUUUAUCGAGAGUUUAAGGAACUUUAUCGAGAGUUAAAGGAACUAAGGGAAAAAUAAUAGUUAAACAGUACUAGUACCAGUCAAAAGUUACCAAGUAAUGUGGUAGGUCACUCUUUGUCUAGUAUUAAGUAGAUAAUGACCGACCCAUCACUAUAAUUUGAUUAUGAGCAAUUUUUUUUUUUUUUUUAGCAACGAGUGAUUGAAAUUAGUACACUGCGUGGCAUAUCAUAUAGCGUACAUGGUGUACCUAAUACCUUCCCAAACUAAGUUAGUUUGCUAAGCGACCAAAUAUUUGGGUUAAUCAUACUUUGCACUCUUUAAUUAUACUCGAAUUCUCAUUUUGAUCCCUAAACUUCAAAAUGGGAUACUUUAAUUCUUAAAUUAUAAAAUUUGUUGUACUAAAGUCACUAAAAUAUAGAAUUUGUCCAUUUUAGUUCCUCAAAUAUGCCCACUUAGGCAUAAAGUCUAUCUCACUUAAUGAUGUUAUUUAAGUGGGACAAAUUUUAUAGUUUAGAGAUUAAAAUGCUCCAUUUCAAGUUUAAGGACUAAAGUAGAAUUUAAGUAUAAUUAAAGAGUGUGAAGUGGAUUUAACCCCAAAUAUAUUUUGGGAAAGUUUGGGUAAGCGUAAUAGUAAGUUUUGAAAAUCAUUAAGAGGGUAUAAUUUUCACCUAGUUCGCAAGAAGGGAGUUGAUUGCUAUAUAUGAAUAUCAAAGAAUUAGGAGUUUUAACAAAAUUACCACCUUACUCUUCAAGGAUGGAAAAGAGAGCAGAUCCUCUGUCCAAUUUUUUGUGUCCAAUUUCCUGUCCAAUGUGAAACUACGUAGUUUCACUUAUUACACUGCUGGUGUGGCAACUAAAAAUAGGUGGCUGUUUGGCUGCCUUAUACUUCUUUUUCUUUCUAACGCCCUGUCAAAUAAUUUCCAUUCACCGUGAAUUCCUCCAAAGCAAAACCACUACAUAUUUCUUGUUGCCAACGUCACCACUACAUGAAAGCGAAGUUUGUUCGACUAACAUCAAUCUUUAGUGUAUGAUGGGGGAUGAACGUUGAGUGCAUCUAAAAAUUCUCACCGUGAGUGUUUCAAUGUCCUAAUGCAUUCCAUUUCUUCCUUGUUAAAAAUUGCUUUGUUGAAGAACUUCCUUUGUCUUCUAGGCGGAAAAUGGUGGCAACAGGUUUUGGGAAUUAUAACAGUAGCAAUAGGAUUUUGGGAAUUGUAACAAAGUUGUGUAAACAAAGGAAACCCAAAAAAGAAGAAAGAAAAAGAAGUAUAAGGCAGCCAAACAGCCACCUAUUUUUAGUUGCCACAUCAGCAGAUGUAAUAAGUAAAACUACAUAGUUUCACAUUGGACAGGAAAUUGGACACAAAAAAUUGGACAGAGGAUCUGCUCUCGAUGGGAAAUGUGUACCAUGGGCGGGCCCAUGAUGAGGUGGAUGAUCACACGUCAUGCCAGAUAACUAUAUGGGACCUACCAUUGAAUUUAACUACGCCUUCUAAUGAUUUAUUACUAAUAAAAAAUAGUGAAGUAGUUUGAAAUUAUUAAAGUUUUUAUAUAUUAUAAAUUUCCAAAAGCACAACUCAAUUUGCAUAACCACAAAAACAUUGAUAGGAAUCUACACUAACUCAUACAUCAACAUGUAUUUUUUGCCUAUUUAUAACCUAACAUAAACAAUCAUGUUAUUUUAAAAAUAAUCAAAUGUAUGUAAAAUAAUGUAAAAUAAACAGUUUUUUAAAAUCAAAAUAUUGUCACAUAAACUUUAAACCGAUGUUUCAUAAUUUUCGUACUCUGAAAAUUCCAUACAUAUUCAUUGGGUUCCAAAAUCAACGUGGGGUAGGUCUGGAUUUUGGUCCAUUAUUUUUCUUCCAAACUCAGUAUAGUUAUGAUCUAGAGCUGAAGAAAUUUAGUGAUUUUGGGGUUAGAUUCACUAGAUUGAGCCUAGUCUCACGCCUGUCCAUUGAUGUGAUUACAAAGCGCGCAAGAAAUAUGGGCGUAAACAAGCUUUAAUAAGCCAAACACCUUGAAGUAAUUUAGUGAUUUUGGGUCUAGAUCUACUAGAUUAAGCCUAGCCUCAUGUCUAUCCAUCGAUGUGAUUACAAAGCGCGCAAGAAAUACAGGUGUAAACGAGGUUUAAUAAGCCGAACACUCUAAAGUUUGUUUAAUUAUUUUAACAAGUUUGAAACUAUAUUUAAGCUUGAUUUGUUUAUUUAUUGAACCGAACUCAAACGAGCUUUUAUUAAGCUAAGCACGAGUCAAGUUUGAGUAGUUUGAAUUAUUUAUAUAUAAAUUCUAAUUUAUGAUAAUCGAGUUAAGUUCAAGUCGAAUUUGAAUGUUGAUAGAUUACAAAAUAUUGUUUAAACUUGGCUUGAUUAGUUGACAAAUUAAUUUCACGAGAAAUCUUAUUGAACGGAACUCAAUUUGACUAUCGAAUAGUUUGGUUCAAGUCUAAUUUAUGAUAAUUGAGUUAAGUUCAAGUCGAAUUUGAAUGUUGACAGAUUACAAAAUGUUGUUUAAACUUCACUUGAUUAGUUGAUAAAUUAAUUUCACAAGAAAUCUUAUUGAACGGAAUUCGAUUUGAGUAUCGAAUAGUUUGGUUUGUAUUUUAACCGUGACAAGAAACAUGCAUCUUUCAAUGGGUCAUAUUCUAGUUAUAGUAUGUUGAAAAACAACCUUCAAAGCAAGUACACUUUAUUUUUGCUCUUGCAAACACCUUCAAAGAGGAGUUGCGAGCUAGAUAAAUAAUAUCUACGAACUGAUGCAUUCCAAAGGACCUGCUUGUUGGAACGUCCUCUUUCAUCUGUUAAUUGUUCUGGUAAGUUGCUUUCCCUCUAUUUCUUUUUUGUGAUAUAUGGUGGAUUGAAUUCUCACUUUCUCACAACACUGCACAACCAUUACAGGGAACUUGUGAUUUUGUCCCCGUUGAUGGUACUAAUGCAAUCAGGCUUCAGCGCAUGGAUAUCAAUAAUCCUCAGAGAAAUAGCAAGAGAGAUCAUGUUGGUGAGGUCCAAGAAAAGAUGUCAAUGCAUGAUCAUUCUCACUCCUUAGCCCACAUGAUGCAUCAGAUGGAUCCACGAACAGCUGUAUUUUUCGUUUUGGAUGAUCUCAAGAUAGGCAAAGUAAUGACGAUCGUUUUCCCUGAUGGAGAUCCUAGUCCUUUGUCCUCUCCUUAUCUCUGGCCUAGAGAAAAAGCUGAUGCUAUCCCCUUUUCAUUGGCAAAACUUCCAGAAAUUCUUCAACACUUUUCAUUUUCUCAAGGAUCUCGAAAGGCCUAGGUGAUGGAAGAUACACUCCGAGCAUGCGAGACUAAGCCUAUCAAGGGAGAAUCCAAGGUUUGUGCAAUUGUGCCACAUCCUACGAGUCAUUGGUAGAUUUUGCACGAAAGAUCUUGGGAUUGAAUACCAAUAUUGAAGUUUUGCCAACGCAUCACCUCGCAAAACCUAAUGCUGCUAGAUUACAGAACUAUACAAUCACAGAAGCUCCUGAACGAAUUUCAACUCUAAAGAUGGUUGGCUGUCACACCAUGCCAUAUC
rnacentral:lncRNA from 1 species